CGUGUUCAUGGGCUUGCGUUAAUAGGAAGAUAUCACUCAACCCAUGGAGAGAAAACAUCAAGUGGUGAUCAUCAUCAAGAUUGCCGUAUGCAAGUUUAACUGGAGCAUCACGAAGAGAUCAAAUGCUUGAAGCUUGCCGUCCAUUUUGGUGUCAAUGGACUUGUGAAGAUGUGCCAAAGAGUGGCUCACCCAUAGUGGAGUAUGGGGGAGCAAUCAUCUAGUCUUCAUCGACCCAACGCAAUCAAGAAAGGUGGUCCAUCUUGAGGAGGACAAGUUCAUCAUCAUCUAGCUCAAGUGGACCAUGUGCAAGGCAAAGGUUUGCCCUUGAUAGGUUUUCUGUUUUACCGGUCUCAUGGUGGUAGUUGGGAGACCGAGUUUUAGGAUCGAUUGCCGUACUAUCAAGGGGGGAUCUCGAUGAGUAGCUUUAUCAUAUCAUUAGUAGAGAGCUCAAACCAUUGCAUCCUUGCAUCAUCUUUCUUGGUACUUGUUUGGUUCUCUUUGCGAGUUUUGGAGCUUAUGGUCAUCUUGAUGACAAGCUCGAGUUCAUUGAAAAUGGAGUUCACAUGCAUCUUCUAUGAUGUUUUCGAUGUUGGAGGUUCUGCCGGUUAUUUGCUGUUUUGAUGCUACUCGUUGUCUUGUAUCCAACAAGCUUGAGUUUGCUCAAUUCGGAGCUCAUUUGCAGAAGUUAUGGCAGUUAUGUUUUUAUUGGAUCCGUCCGUUGUCUUUAGCUACGUUUUGAAGGCAUCCAAGUUCUAAAGCCUCUGUGGCGUGCGGUAGUACCGCGGUCAGGGCGGUAGUACCGCCUAUCGAUGAUAGUACCGCUUGUUAGGCCGCUGGUACUACCGCCCCUGCUGUGGUCUCGAUUUUUCGUAUCGGGUUUCCUUAAAGGACCAGCCAGGGGAACGGUAGUAGGGACGGCAGUAGGGCGUGGUAGUACCGCUUAUUAGCGGUAGUACCUCUCCUACGUCUGCUCCAACUGUUGCUCAGCUCGAUGCCCUCCUCUGUUUUCCAGCGGCAGUAGGGAGCGGCAGUACCGCUUAUCGGUGGUAGUACCGCCCAUAGGGCGGUAGUACUGCCCUAGUGCAUGUACUUCUUCUCACUCAUCCCUGGUUGCCCCAUGUCUGCUUGCCACAACGGUAGUACCGCUGUGGCAGCGGUAAUACCGCUCCGGCAAUGGUAGUACCGCCCAGAUGCGGGCUGUGGGCUGCAUAACGGUUGGAUUUUUCCCCACCUAUAAAAGGGGUCUUCUUCCCCAAUGGACCUUAUCCUUUGAGCUCGUGUUCUUCCCCCAUUGUUGACCUUCUUCGAUCUUGCUAACUCUCGAUCCCUCUAAUGAUUCUUGCAAGUUCUUGAGGGAAAAGAGAGAGGAGAUCUAGAUCCACGUUUCCACCAAUCACUUUCUCCUCUAAGUGAGGGGAACCCCUUGGAUCUAGAUCUUGGAGUUCUUCGUGUUCUUCUUUCGUUCUUCCUCUCAUUUUCCUCCCUAGCCUUAGUUGCUUUUGUGGGAUUUGGGAGAGAAGGACUUGGGCACUCCGUGUGCCCUUGCCAUUGCAUUUGGUGCAUCGGUUUGAGUUCUCCACGGUGAUACGUGGAAGUGAAGUUUGAGAAGCUUAUUACUCUUAAGUGUUUGGGCACCCUAGAGCUUGUUCCUCUUGGGUGCCUUGGCACCCUAGAUGGUUGGUGUUGUUCGGAGUUCAAUCAUUGUGGUGUAAAGCUCCGGGCAAGUGUCGAGGUCUCCAAUUAGGUUGUGGAGAUCGCCCCGAGCAAUUUGACGGGUACCCGUGACCGCCCCCAAGGGUUGCCAAAGUGUACGGGUUCGGUGAACGCCCCCAAGGGUUGCCAUUUGUACGGGUUCGGUGACCGCCCUCAAGGGUCCCUUAGUGGAAUCACGAGAUCUUGCAUUGUGCGAGGGUGUGAGGAUAUUACGGUGGCCCUAGUGGCUUCUUGGGGAGCAUUGUGCCUCCACACCGCUCUAAACGGAGAUUAGCAUCCGCAAGAGUGUGAACUUCGGGAUACAUCGUCGUCUCCGCGUGCCUCGGUUAUCUCUUACCCGAGCCCUUUACUUAUGCACUUUACUUUAUGAUAGCCAUAUUGUUUCUUGCCAUAUAUCUUGCUAUCACUUAGUUGUUUAUCUUGCUUAGCAUAAGUUGUUGGUGCACAUAGGUGAGCCUAGUUGUUGUAGGUUUUGUGCUUGACAAAUUAACCGCUAGGUUUAUUCCGCAUUUGUUCAAGCCUAAACCGUAAUUAUUUUAAAGCGCCUAUUCACCCCCCUUUAGGCGACAUCCACGAUCUUGCACAUCUCCUUAGCGCAUUGAUUAGCUACAUCUAUGCGAGACUUUCUUCUUUUCGACUCCCUUAUUGAUCUCUAUCAACGCAUUCUAUUCCAUCUAUAGUGCUAUAUCCAUGGCUCAGGCUCAUGUAUUUCGUGGGGUUGAAAAUGCUGAAGCGCGUUAGAAGUACGAUCCGUUUUCCUGGUUUGACACCAGGGUGCUCAUGAUUUAUAUUUAUGUGGUGAAGGCGGAGUCGUGCCAUAUGCUAACAUGAUAAAAAUGAGUGGGGAUAACAUUCCUUGAGGAUAGUAUAUCUUGAAAAAGUAAUGAUUAUGUUUCUUAUAUUCAUGGAUAUUAUUGUGUUGAUAUUGUUACUUCAUCGUUUCUCAAUGAUUAUACCAUAAAGAGAUUACAUGAUACACAUGUUAUGUAGCAUUUCACCGGGCACGAAGCGAGGAGACGGUAAGGCAACAGGGCGCACCCUGUUACUUUGUGGGCUCCACAUGGCUCUGUCUGACCUAAUUCCACCUUUAUAAAUUCUCAAAUAUUUGGAAACCCCUAGAGAGCCACCCGAAACACUUUUUCCACUGUCGCAAGCUUCUGUUCUUCCGUGAUCCCAUGUGGAGGCCUUUUCUGGUACUCUGCCAGAGGGGAAUCAAUGACGGAGGGCUUCUGCAUCAUACUUGCUGCCUUCCGAUGAUGCGCGAGUAGUUCACGAUAGACCUAUGAGUCCAUAGCUACUAGCUAGUAGCUAGAUGACUCCUUCUCUCUCUUUGAUCUUCAAUACAAUGUUCUACUCAAUGUUCUUGGAAUUCUAUCCAAUGUAAUCUUCUUUUGUGGUGUGUUUGUUGGGAUCCGAUGAAUUGUGGUUUAUGAUCAUAUUAUUCUUGAGUCUUUUCUGAACUUUAUUAUGCAUGAUUGCUAUACCUUUGUAUUUCUCUCCGAUCCAUCCAUUUCAUUUGGCCAACAAGAUUGAUUUAUCUUCACUGCGAGAGGUGUUUUGUAAUGGGUUCAACCUUGCGGUGUGAUAACCCACAAGUAUAGGGGAUUGCAACAAUUUUCGAUGGUAGAGUAUUCAACCCAAAUUUAUAGGUUCGACACAAGGGGAGCCAAAAAAUAUCUCUAAGUAUUAGCAGUUGAGUUGUCUAAUUCAACCACAGCUGGAGAUUAAAUAUCUGCAGCAAAGUGAUCAGUAGCAUAGUAAUAUGAUAGUUUGAUAGUAGUAGUAACAAUAGUUGUGGUAACAGUAACAACAAUAACAGUUUUGUAGCAGUUGUAAUAGUAGCAAAAGUAAUAGUAACUUAGCAAUAACAAUAUGUGGAUAACUCGUAGGCAUUGGAUCAGUGAUUACGUUGGAUGAUAUUCAUCAUAUAAUAGUCAUAACCUAGGGCGACAUAGAACUAGCUCCAGUUCAUACAUAUAAUGUAGGCAUGUAUUCCAUAAAUAGUCAUACGUGCUUAUGGAAAAAAACUUGCAUGACAUCUUUUGUCCUACCCUCAUGUGGAAGUGGGGUCCAUAAGGAAACUAAAGAAUAUUAAGGCCUCCUUUUAAUAGAGAACCAGAACAAAGCAUUAACACAUAGUGAAUACAUGAACUCCUCAAACUACGGUCAUCACCGGAAAGUAUCCCAAUUACUGUCACCUUGGGGUUUACGGAUCAUAACACGUAGCAGGUGCAUAUGACUUGCAAGAUCGGAUCUAGAACAUAGAUAUAAUGGUGAAAACGUAAACAGUUCAGAUAUGAAAUCAUGGCACUCAGGCCCUAGUGGCGUGGAAUUGUCAUGAUAGAUGUCCUAGUGUGAGGGCUUAGUCGUGGAGCCAUCGCAACUAGGUUAGCUUAAAGGGGUUAAACGGGACAAAGGACACAUGAGUUUAUACUGGUUCGGCCCCUUGCGGUGAAGGUAAAGGCCUAAUCUAGUUUGAGGUGGUAUUGCUUAUGUCUCGAUUACCAGGGAGCAAUUCCGCUUGACCUAGCUUUCGAUCUCUUGUUUUCUUGCCUUGAACCGCCGCCGGGUCGUCCCUUUAUAUACACAGGUUGACGCCCAACGACUCACAGAGUCCCGGCCAGCUCAUAAACAACGUGUCUAGCUCGGUGACUAAAUACACUUGCCUUACAAUAUAAGUCAUAUAUCUAUGGAGGUUUACCCCUACGGGCCUUAAGUCGCCUUUGGGUCUUGGGCCCUUGCUAUGAACCGCCAUCUUCAACAUCUUCAUAGGCUUUGUAUUGAUGAACUGCCAUUGGUAUAACCCGGCCCCUCCUGGGCGGGUCAUACCCAAUAGUCAUAUCCCCAACAUUAGCCCCCAGAUUGAUUUGAACUUGUUCAUGUCAAUCUUCAACACUUAGAAAAAAUCCUUCUUCCUUUAUCCUUGCGAGAUCUCAUAACCCGCCAUGACGUCACCUCGUGUGAUUGUGGUAACCCGCCCUGACCGGCACCUAUCAUUAAUAUUACACAAAGCCUAAAUCUUAAUAAAUCUUUUCUUCUAAUGAAGCUCCAAAAAUCGAGGCGUUUGCGCCGUCACAUAUCCAUUUUUUGGUCUCCUCGAUUCCCACACAUGACACUUAUCCUUCCAGCCUUAUAAAUAGGGCCAAGGGUUUCUUUUCAUUCUCCCCCCUCUGCCUUCUCAUCUUCAACCUUGCGACGCAUCGGCGCAUCUGAACACCGCCGCCGCCGACCUCGCCAACUUCCUCGACUCCGGCCGCUGCAUCGACCUGAACGAGACCAGAGAAACACGACGCCUCUCUAUUGCUCAGCGGACCCAGUAAGCAUCUUAACUUCCCCGCCGUAGAUCUCCAUUAGGGUUUCUGAAGUUCUUCGGAGUUCUUCGUCGUUCUUAAUUAUACCUCCACUUAAUCCUUACUUGGAUCCAAAGAUGACCUUUAGAAUACGCGGAACCUGUUUUUAUACCUUCUCUUAAUCAAUGAAUAUGCUUUUCCCAUAUGCAGAAAUCUUGCCAACAUGCUAGCUCUUCCGCUGCUACAAUACUAGGCUUUGAUUUUAUUUUUAUUUUCCGAACAACGUCAGAUCCAAAACUGACUGUAUCAAUCUGUAAAACCUGUUUAUCCAACACUUAGCAAAAUUUUUCUUCUUGAUAGAUCUUAACUAUCAGCAUUUGUCAUGGCGGCUUACAUCACCAAUUAUAGCUAGUCAUAUGUCAUUAGGCCCCAUUUCAGCCGCCAAUAUAUACUGUUGACUUUUAUCUCCGUCUUAGCAAAUCAACUUAAACCGACCAUAUUUCUUUUAGGCUUUUCUCUUACGAUGCCGAAGACAGUUACCUCAUGCAAUUGGGUUCCUUCCAUUGUCACCAAAAAUACGCUCGAAGAUUUUGUCAAAAUCGACUACUUACCCACAAAAGAUGUCCUGUAUUGGCGCGCUCCAAAGCCAAAUGAGAAAAAACCUUAGCCGCAAGAUGGUGAGGUCAUUUUUUUACUGAUCAUAUGAACCGGGGCUUCUCACUGCCUGGAUCCAAGUUUUUUGAGAUGUGCUGCACUUCUUUCAAAUGCAUCCUCAAGAUAUCGGACCCAAGUCCGUGUCAAACAUCUGUAACUUUCAAGUAUUCUGUGAAGUAUACCUUCAAGAGGAGCCCAGUGUUGAACUCUUUAGGGAAUAUUUUUAUCUGAACCGGCAGAACGAAUUUACCAAUGGCCCCAACUUAGAACUUGGUGGGGUCUCAAUUCAACGGAGAAGAGAUGCUAUCUUCCCCUAUGCCCACUUGCCACGCCACCCCAAAGAUAGGAACCAGACAUGGUUUUAUUGUAAAGACACCUCUCCGGCUGACGAGAAUCCACUACCGGGUUAUCGUGUCCAGUGACUCGAUCCAAAACAUCAUCUUCCUGAAAAGCUUACUGUUGCUGAACGUGCCAAACUUGCACCCACUAUCGCAAAGGUCAAAGCCCUACUGGGGAAUGGGUUAACCGGAGUUGAUUUGGUUUGGUGCUGGGUUUCCUGGCGAAUCAAACCCUUGAGCCGCCGAUCCGGCUUAAUGUGCACUUAUACAGGUGAUGCAAAGGAUCCACUGUGCCACAACUCCGAUUGUUUAACUGGUAAUGCAGUCAAUGAAAUGAGAAAAACCCUUCUGAAUGAGAGCCUGGAGGACUACAGCAAAGUGGGAUUGAAUCCUUUCUGUGAAUCUAACCCGGCGCCAGAUGUAAGUCUCUAAAUCACUUAUUUUACCUUAUCAUUCAAAUGUUCUAUUAACUCAAUCUUUGAUGAUUUUCACAGGCUGAAUCCGAUUUUUGGAAUAAAGAAUAUGACCAUGAAGCUGCCAAGGUAGCUAGGGCCAAAACAAAAGCUGUCAAGAGAACCGCCAAGAAGAACAAGAAGAAAUUAAGUGCUUCCGAGAUGUUUGAACUGGACGAAAACUCUGAGUCAGAGGUAGCUCUUGAUUCCCUUGGCUCCUUUUUCAACUAUCUUAUUGACACUAAUUAUCAUCAGGACGACAUGGGGCCCAGUUAAGCGGUCGAAGAAGAGGUAACUAUCAUUUCCUCCAACUCAGAGCCUUUGCCAAGAUAGAAAAUUCGACGGGUAACCCAGAAAGUAAGCUUUUCACACCCCUUAGCUCAUCUGGAUCCUCACUUUCUUUUCAAGCAACAGCAACACGAGAACCGGCGACAAACUCGGACAGCAGUGGUGAAGAAUUAUCUUCCAGCUUACCAAAUACUCCAGCUGCACGGAAACGUCGAAACAAGGUCAUCCCAAAUUUAAACUCUUUUUAUCCUCUAGCGGGUCUCAUUCGCCAGCCACUUAAUUCUUACAAUUCAAACUAUCAGGAGACUUCUGGCUCCUCUUCCGGUGACUCAUCACAGACCCAGCUGCCGGCUUUCAAAACUGCCCCUGGGUAACAAUAAUUACUUAUUGUUUUCUUCCUCCACGGUCUCUUAUCCUUGUACUGACUUCUCAUAACUCAUGCAGUGGAAAAGCAAAAACUAGCAAGAAGGCAAAGGUGACCAAGCCGGCUGAAGACCCAAAGUCCCUCAACCGGAGCCACAAAUUCCAGCGCCUGACACCUCCGUGCCACAAGCAGAAAAACCUGUUCAUGAUGUUCCGCCAGAAAUUCCUGACCUUUCCAUUGACCAGACAAACAACAAUCCUUUGAAUACUGAAUCAUCAAGUCCAAUUAAACCGGAUGGAACACCUAUGAUGACGUGAUGAUCACUAGCAUCGACUUCAGAGAGCCAGGAAAACCUACUGUCUUGGCCAAACACUCUGCCAAAGAAGAAUAUAUUGAGAAGCAAAAAGUGAGAUUUGACAUUGCCUAUUGUGAAGUAUUAUCUGGUUAUCUCAACCAAGUGCACACCAGCCGCGACCUUGAAGUUGACAUGGUGAAGCAUAUACAUCAAAAAUAUGAGGUAUGAACUCCUUCUUUAAUGAGUUAUGCAUAUCCUGUCAGCCCCCAAGUCUACUGUGUAUGAUAGGAUUGAAUAUGCUGUAGACUUAGAAUAACCAUGAGUAUAAAUAGCACCCUUGAAAUAAUCCUUCAAAAUCCGGCUUUCACCAUCUGAGUUAAACCAGAUCUUUAACAAUUGUAUCCGUAGCCCUCAAGGGCCAGUUUAAUCAGCAUGAAUGAACCGACACUGUUCACCAUUGUUUAUAGAUGAAAGCUUACUUGUGUAGCCCCCAUGAGCCGGCUGUGAUUGUUUACAGCACAACCGAGUCAUCGUAAAACAAUAAUAAAACACAAGCAAUAUGCAUUAGCCACCAAGUGCCAAGUGCUCUUGCUUGCAAAGUGCUCGGGACUUGUUUAUAUGUACCUUUGUAUGAAGAAUUUUUUCGUACUCAUUAGCCCCCAAGUGCUGAGCAUUGUUGCUUGCAAAAGGCUUGGGACUUCAUUUCUGUAAUCCAAAUAUGAACAUGAUUUUAAACUGGUGCAUAUACAGGACACCAUUGCUCAACUUCAAUCACAAUUGACUGAUGUGAAAACCCGGUUGGAGCACCAAGAAUCUGAGACCCGGAAAACCGAUUCAAAAUUCAAAUUUAGUCUGGAUGAAACGGAAAAACUGAAGACCAGUUUUGAUGCCGAAAGAACUGAGGGAGUCCUGGAUUAAGGGGUCCUCAGACGGCGGACUAUUAACAUGGACUGGACUGUUGGGCUAUGAAGAUACAUGAUAGAAGACAUCUUCUCGUGUUCGGAUGGGACUCUCCUUUGAGUGGAAGGCAAGCUUGACAAUUCUGAUAUGUAGAUUCUUUUCUCUGUAACUGACUUUGUACAACCCUAGUCCCCUCCGGUGUAUAUAUAAACUGGAUGGUUUAUUCCAUAGGGCACAAUCAUAAUCCCUUAGGCUAGACUUCUAGGGUUUUAGCCAUUAUGAUCUCGAGGUAGAUCAACUCUUGUAAUACUCAUAUUCAUCAAGAUCAAUCAAGCAGGAAGUAGGGUAUUACCUCCAUAGAGAGGGUUGUCGGUGUCAAAACCGUCGGAUCUCGGGUAGGGGGUCCCAAACUGUGCGUCUAAGGCUAAUGGUAAUAGGAGGCGGGGAACACAAUGUUUACCCAGGUUCGGGCCCUCUCGAUGGAGGUAAUACCCUACUUCCUGCUUGAUUGAUCUUGAUGAUAUGAGUAUUACAAGAGUUGAUCUACCACGAGAUCGUAGAGGCUAAACCCUAGAAGCUAGCCUAUGAUUAUGAUUGUUGUUGUCCUACAGACUAAACCCUCCGGUUUAUAUAGACAUCGGAGGGGGCUAGGGUUACAACAGAGUCGGUUACAAAGAAGGAAAUCUACAUAUCCGAAUUGCCAAGCUUGCCUUCCACGCAAAGGAGAGUCCCAACCGGACACGGGACGAAGUCUUCAAUCUUGUAUCUUCAUAGUCCAACAAUCCGGCAUAAGCAUAUAGUCCGGCUGUCCGAGGACCCCCUAAUCCAGGACUCCCUCAGUAGCCCCUGAACCAGGCUUCAAUGACGAUGAGUCCGGCGCGUAGAUUGUCUUCGACAUUGUAAGGCGGGUUCCUUCUCCGAAUACUCCAAAGAAGAUCUUGAACACAAGGAUCGUGUCCAGCUCUGCAAAACAAAUUCCACAUACCACCGUAGAGAGCACAAUAUUCGACAAGUCUAAUCUGCUGACAACUUUUCAUAGCGUGACAUCACACCGCGGCCCAGUCAUUAUUCGAACCGUUUUUCCCAACCUACUACUGCACAUCUUGCGAGGCGGUUUCAUAGGCACGUCUCGUCGAAGCAGAGAUCGUGUCCCCUUAUCACGGGAUACUCAUCAAUACGGGUGUGGGUAACCCAACCGCACCAUUAAUCACGACGCUUGGGGGAUAAGCGAGUUUCUAGGGCAAGUGGGGAGACGCAGGAUCCCUGCUGCCUUUAUAAGGAGAUAAGGACUCCCCUUUUUCACCCACGCCUUCUUCUUCCUCUGCUCAUCCAUUCCCUCUCGCUCAAGCUCCAGCGCCCAAGCGUUCGCCUUCUCCGCCCACAAAGGCCCUCUGAAAAUGUUCAGAUCUGGAGCAGGAGGCAAGUGGAUGGCCUCUACCAUCCGGGAGAAGGAUAUUAAGAAACUUCAGGAGGCCGGGUAUCUGGCCAAGAAGAUCAAUCAUCAUCUCCCGACGGCGGAACAGAUCAUCCCUACUCCGGAACCCCAUGAGAGGGUUGUAUUCCUCCCUCACUUUGUCUGCGGGCUAGGGUUUCCCCUCCACCCAUUCGUUCGCGGCAUUAUGUAUUACUAUGGGAUCGAUUUUGAUGAUCUAUCCCCCAAUUCCUUCCUCAACAUCUCGAUAUUCAUCAUCGUGUGCGAGGCCUUCCUCCGCAUCCCUCUACACUUCGGCUUAUGGAUGAAGAUUUUCAGUGUGAAGCCCAAGGUAGUGAGCAGCGAGCAUGCUGAGUGCGGAGGAGCCAUGGUGAGCAAGAUGCCCAACGUCACAUGGCCACCAGGUACCUUCAAUGAUUCCGUCAAAGGGUGGCAACAGCAGUGGUUCUAUGUCACUGAGCCACGCGGCACAAAAUGGGCCGCAGCUCUCGAAUUCGAUCCGGAGCUCCACUGCGGCUUACAUCCUGGCCCAAGAAGGGCCUGAACUGGUCUUUGCUCGACGAGUUGUCGAUGCUCCAGACGCGCAUCAAGGGUAUGGAAGACAAGAAUAUCAAACUUGUCAAUGUAGUCCAGGUGAUGUUAGUUUGCCGGAUUCUCCCUUGUCAACACAGGGCCUGCAAUUUGUGGGAAUUCGACCCGGCCAAGCACCAGACCCUAUCAGGGCUUUUCGACUCAUCGCACAAAGACAUCUGGAAGGUGCUCUUUAAGUCCGGCAAAUCGAGACCGGAUUCAGCCGAGGACUGUGGGUACCAACUGUCCCGACCUGCGAGUUCUGUAAGUUUUCGUAUGUUGGCAAGUCAUAUGCUUUAUCUGCAUAAUCCGAGGGUAAGGAUGGCUCAUGGGUAGGGUAUGGAUAUAAUAUUGUACCCAUGGGUAUAUCCAAACCCGACCCGAUAGUAUGACUUAAUGGGCAAAAAUCGGCUAUCCCUACCCCACAGUUACAUGUCCCAGUGCAAUUUUACACUUUGUUGUCCAAAACAUGGAAAAGAAAUUACACAAUCCCCGUCAUAACUUUUAUUAGUUGACAUUCAAUACCCUCCGUGACAUACCCCAACGCCCUUCCCUUAUUUUUAUCUCCUUGUUAACUGACUCGUCAUUCUCAUAUGUUAGAAAAAUACUAAAUGAUCUUAUGUUGUUAGUGGAGGUUGAUUUACCAUAAGUGAAGCCUAGCAUGCCACGAAUUGAAGAAUGGAAGAGCUUAUGUUAACAUUGUGUUAUGUCUUAUUUAUAUGUCUAGAGAGGACCCAAUGGAUAUCCAGUGGGUAUGGAUAUUCAUUAGGUUUGGACAUGGACACCAUUUUUCACCCGCGGAUUUUUUCAUGGGUGGGCAAAGAAUGUCUUCAUGGAUAUGUAUAUGGAUUUGAUAUUGUUCAACCCGAUCCAAACCCGACCCAUUGCCAUCCUUAUCCGAGGGAAAUGCUUAAUGUGUUUUUCCACAACCCUCCCAGGGCUGGACGAAGAAGGCGAGGCAGAUCUACUGUCCGGCCCCGCUGCCAGAAGAACCAGCCGGCCCACCUCUAACGAAGAUGCUGGUCCCGGCGAGGCACCAAAGAAGAAAACCGAGAAGGAGGCCAAAGAGACCAGGGGCGGCCUUCGUCGCCGAGGCACUUCGGACACAAUAUCUGAAGACUCUGAUGACCGCUAUUCCUCCAGACAUGACGAGGAAGAGGAGGAAAACCAAUCCCCCCCAGCGAGCGGAAGAAAGAAAAGGGCGGCCUCCACACAAUUGGAGGUUGAGUCGCCUAAGAAGGGAAAAACUCCCCUUCCGGAGGAAUCCGCCACCGCUAUCGACAACAGCCUCGAGUGGGAUCCUAGGGUCCAGCCCCUGGUGAAGUCGUGAGUAUAUAAAAUCCAGACGCGUUUGCGUAUCCAGACUCACUAUUGUAUGAUGUUUAAUCAUUGGGCCACACUUUAUUGCAGUCCGGCGAGGUACCGCGCCGAACAAUCCUCAUCGGAGGAUUUACUAGGCUCGGAUGCUAUGGACAACGGGACACCCCCGAAGGCCCCUUCCCAAAAAGACGUGAACGACACCGAGGCAUCGUCCCAGAGGGACCCAGGCCAAGGAGGGGAAAAAAGACCGUCAAGGCGGCGCCAAGAGGUCAAACUUUGGUGGCCGGACACACGGGAGAUAAGGCUCCCAUGGACUCCGAUGGCGGGGGCUAUCUUGAAUUCGGCACCCAGCCGAACACAAUUCCGGAGACCGAUACGGCUCCGGAAUCAGGUAGGUAGCCUCCCUCGACAGGAGGGGGUGCGCCUAUUCCACCGACAACCUCUGCCCAACCAGAGGUGCAGGAUACCUUAUCCGCGACGCUGAAGAGCGCCUCCAUCAUUGAAGAACACCGUGCCCUUAUGGGUGCGGUGAUUAAGAAGAUUCAGUCUGCUGAGAGCGGGCUGAAUGAAGCCUGCAUCAGCCUUAUAACGGGCUUUGAGGUAUGUUGUGAGGUUUCAGAGAGUGUUAUAGUAUAGGUAGUAGCUCCUGAUACACUGUUCGCUGUUUGAAAGAAAGAACCGGAUAGAGGAUCAAAUACAUGUUCGCAGGAGUUUCACCUAAUGGCACCUCUCCCUUUUUUAUAAGCAGGCAUCUGUAGCGACUGCCACCUCUCAUACUACGGAAGUCUCUGGACUGAAGCAGUCUAGAGCGGGCCGAAGAAGAACUUGGCCAAUUGAAAAAGCAGUUGGAGGAUAACCAAGGUAUGCAAUAAACCUUGUUCCCGUUCAGCACGAAUGAAUAAUUGAGUAUGAUGAAAAUAUUUUCAUGAUGUUCUCUAGGGGAGACGACCGAAGUCGAGGCUCUGAAGAAGGCUGUGGUUGAGGCCGAGAAUUAGGCAGCCGCCAAGCAGGCUCUUUAUGAAAAGCACGAGGCCAGGGUUAUUGAAGCUGAGCAAGAGCUCCAAGAGGCCAUGAAGAAGUGCGAGACCUUGGAGCAGAGUUUAACAGAGAAAGAAUCUGAACUCACCAAGGCUCAUGCCGCAUGCGAUGCUCGGGGGAAGCCCAAGGCACCCUGCAGGAAAUCUAGGAGGCGAGGAAGAUCGCGGCGGGUAAGGCUUUUUCUAUGCAAAGCAAAAUAUUUGAAGGGAGAAAAUCACGUUACUAAUUUGAAUUUGGAUUUCUCCAGGGGUAUUUGCAGAACUGCUGCGCAGCAUAUUUGAUGCCGCACAAUUCUACCAAGCCGAAGAAAGGAGCACUGCGGAGAAGCUCUUCUGGUCGCAGUAUCUGGCGCCAAAGUAUCCAGUGCCCUUUGCCGAUCAACUGAAGCAGCUGAUCGAACUGCAUAAGGUGGCCGAACUAGCCAUGAAGGAUUUAAUUAUCCGGCUAUGGCCUGGCGAGCCGAUUCCCGGCAGCUACUUCGGGCUCGUGAAGCGGCUGGUAAGUGCCUGCCCUCGACUUGAAGUCCUCAAGCGGUCGGUCUGUAUGGAGGGUGCGCAAAUGGCCUUCGCCCGCGCGAAGGUGCAUUGGGCGAAGAUGGAUGCUGAAAAGCUGAUGAUCGAAGGACCGCCUGAGGGGACGGAGCACUGCAAGCCCGAGGUAUAUUAUGAUAGUGUCCUGAAAGGAUCCCGUCUUGUGGCGGAGCAAUGUGCCAAGGACAUUAUAUUCCCAUGAAUACAUUCAUGUUGUCCUAUGUAAUGUUCGAACAAGGUCAUUUAAAUGAUAUAAUGCCUGUUAUUUUGGAAAUUUUACCUCCUAUGCGGCCGUUUUAUAUAUUAACCCUGAGAGUUGGCCAAUCAUCAGCUUCUGCCCCCACGUAGGAAAUACAGGGGUGUUAGGGAUGAACCUGAGCACUCUUUACCCCAGUUUUGGGUCCUUGAAGGAGGUGUUCAGCGCAACGAACCAUGCAAUCGGACUAUAAGGCUUUAUCACCCUCACUUAGCCAUAGCAGUUUGACAAAAGAAUGGUAGGCGUAGCCCUUGGUGUUCGGAAGACCGCACUAGGGGCUCUAUAAGCACCUGAUCGGAAGAGAAAGCCGAUCUAUCGCACGCUGCAUUAGUUAUCACAUAGUGCAGAAGAAAUCCUUAAAUAUUUUUUAACCUCUCGAACAGCUGACCAGCUCUCGCCGUAUCAUGACAGUCACUUUUCGGCUUUCUCUACUGAGGCGCUCGUCCGGAAGAACCGGGACGCAAUCGCAGUAGUUCUCCCUUUACUACCCUAGCCGAUAUAGCGGAACUUAGGGUAGCAAGCACAGGAGCCGGGCAACCCAACUAUUGACCCAAGACAUGAUUCAGAGCCGAUGCAUAUAAUGCUAUAAGUUCGGGGUGCCAAACGACCGUGAGGGUGUCCGGACUUUAUUGCCGUAUUAUGGGUACAAUGAGGCCCCUGGCAUAUUAAGGCAUAUCAUAGUGUACGGAUGCCAUUUGACAAAGAGUGUCAAUAAGAAACAACAACAAAUGAGCGUCAUAUAAAGCCACAUGUUGUAAUUGAAUAAUACUUCGAUGCGUACGAGUACAUGUAAUGUGAUAAAAAUAAAUAUGACUUCAGAACCUGUUGAGACCAGGCGGGGCAGGCUGUGUGCGGAUCCGGGUUGUAAUCGGAUGGUCAUUGAGGGGAAUAUCUAAGGAUUCCCUUACGUGUUCGAGCUGUUUUGUCACGCCCAAUAUGCGAUACUAUCCUAAAGAGACUCGAAGGUCCCACCAAGGAUAGAACUGCAUAUUGAAACGCUUUUGCAAGGUGGAUAUCAUUACAUCAACAUCACAUAAUAGAUGGGGAUACAUACAAGAGGCAUACAAUGCCACACGAAUACAACAUCAUCUUACAGAAGAGUACCAUCCGACUACGGAUGAAACACAAACAGAAACUCAACAACAUCCAUCCUGCUAGCCCAGGCUGCCGACCUGGAACCUAUCCCUGAUCGAAGAAGAAGCAGAAGAAGUACUCCAAAACAAGCAAACAUCGCUCUCGCGUCAUGAUCAUCGCAAAACCUGUACCUGCAACUGUUGUUGUAGUAAACUGUGAGCCACGAGGACUCAGCAAUCCCAUUACCAUGGGUAUCAAGACUAGCAAAGCUUAAUGGGAAAGGAAGGGGUAAAGUGGUGAGGUUGCAGCAGCGACUAAGCAUAUAUGGUGGCUAACAUACGCAAAUAAGAGCGAGAAGAGAGCAAGCGGAACGGUCGUCAACUAGUAAUGAUCAAGAAGUGAUCCUGAACUCCUACUUACGUCAAACAUAACCCAAAACCGUGUUCACCUCCUGGACUCCGCCGAGAAGAGACCAUCACGGCUACACACGCGGUUGAUGCGUUUUAAUUCGGAUCUGGUGUCAAGUUAUCUACUACCGGACAUUAACAAAUUCCCAUCUGCCUAUAACCGUAGGCACGGCUUUCGAAAGAUUAUACCCUGCAGGGGUGUCCCAACUUAGCCCAUGAUAAGCUCUCGCGACCAACGAAGGAUAUACCUUCUCCCAGGAAGACCCGAUCAGACUCGGAAUCCCAGUUUACAAGACAUUUAGACAAUGGUAAAACAAGACCAGCAAAGCCGCCCGGAUGUGCCGACAAAUCCCGAUAGGAGCUGCACAUAUCUCGUUCUCAGGGCACACCGGAUGAGCGAAGCGUACAGGAACCAACGUAACCCAAGUUGCCAAGAAAUGGUCCCGCACGGUGCUCUAGUUUGGACCAACACUCGGAGGAGCACUNNNNNNNNNNNNNNNNNNNNNNNNNNNNNNNNNNNNNNNNNNNNNNNNNNNNNNNNNNNNNNNNNNNNNNNNNNNNNNNNNNNNNNNNNNNNNNNNNNNNNNNNNNNNNNNNNNNNNNNNNNNNNNNNNNNNNNNNNNNNNNNNNNNNNNNNNNNNNNNNNNNNNNNNNNNNNNNNNNNNNNNNNNNNNNNNNNNNNNNNNNNNNNNNNNNNNNNNNNNNNNNNNNNNNNNNNNNNNNNNNNNNNNNNNNNNNNNNNNNNNNNNNNNNNNNNNNNNNNNNNGAUGACCCUCAAGAGCGCGACUCCCAAGGGAAAAAGGGCUAGGUGAGGCAAAUGGUAAAACCAAGGUUGGGCCUUGCUGGAGGAGUUUUAUUCAAAGCAAUUUUUCAAGGGGUCCCAUAAAUCACCCGACCGCGUAAGGAAUGCAAAAUCCGGGAAAAUAACACCGGUAUGACGGAAACUAGGGGCGGCAAGAGUGGAACAAAACACCAGGCAUAAGGCCGAGCCUUCCACCCUUUACCAAGUAUAUAGAUGCAUUAAUAAUAAUAUAAGAGAUAUUGUGAUAUCCCAACCAAAAUCCUGUCCACCAUGGAGAAAUCUUCAACUUCACCUGCAACUAACAACGCUAUAAGAGGGACUGAGCAAAGCGGUAACAUAGCCAAGCAAUGGUUUGCUAGGAGGGGUGUCAAAGGUUAGAGGUUCAUGGCAAUUUGGGAGGCUUGAAGAGUAAAUGAUAGGUAGCGCAACAAAGCGAUAGAACGAAGCAACUAGCAUAGCAAUGAUAGUAGUGAGAUCCAGGGUAGCGGUCAUCUUGCCUGAAAUCCCGCAAGGAAGAAGAACGAGUCCAUGAAGAAUAUGAACGGAUGAAGCCGAACCAAGCGUAGACGAACGAAUCCUCACGAUCGCAACGAAACAGGAACUAUCGAAAAGAAGCACACAACAAGGUAAGCACACCACACAAGAACAAGACAUGAUGCUCAACCAAGUACGAUGCAUGACAAAGCUACAUGAAGCUACUCAUGGCAAGAGAUGAUGCAAACAAGAGCAACACAUCAAGGCAAGUUUAAAUGAGGCCGGAAACAAUAUAUAACAAUUCCGGUAAGUCCUCAUAUGCAAAUUUCGAAAUUGUUCCAGAUCUGAAUAAACCUUAUAUUAAAGUUGUUAAACAGCAAGUUAAAAUGCACCAAGAUGAUCUACACGAGAUUCUAGUCAAGUUACAUAUAAAGUUCAUUUAGUUCGGAGCUACGGCCUAGAAGAUAUGAGCAAAACAAGUUAAACAUGGCAUUGAUGCAAAAUGCAUUCAAACAUCAAGCAAACACACCAAAACAAGGAUGCAACAUGAUAAUAUGAAACUACAUGCAAUUCUAAGCAAGUUUCAUAUAGAGCACACUCAAAAUGGAGCAACGGUUCAACACACACACACAUGAAACAAGUUUAAAGGACAAGCUGUCCAAAACAGCAAGUAGGCAUAUUGCAAGCAUCAAAACAAUAUGCUACAACAUCCCAACAUGAGAACAAAAGACAUGGACAUGAUGUACAGGUAAAGCAUAACAAAACAUGAACACUGAGCUAUCUCCAGAAAUCACUAGAACAUGCUCAAACACACAUGGCAAGAUUGCAAAUGAUAACAGUUUCCGGUUUUGCAGAAAUAACAUCAGGUUGCAAUGUUUAGAGCUAUCAAACAACAUGUUACAGGAACUUAUCAUGGCAACCAAAGGCAUGGUAUGAUACUACUAAAUACAUAGAACAAAAGUCCCUUACUGAUCAUGAGCCAAAAAGGAUCAGAAGAUAUGAUGGCACCCAUGUAAACAUGGCAAGUUAUAUUACAGAUUCAUACAUUGCAGGGACAACGAUAAGAAGCCAUGUUGGUGAGCUUGUACCACUCACCACAGAGCAAUACACGGCAUGGCAAGGCAACCAACUGUAAUAAGACAUAUUUAUUAAGCUAAACAUGGCAAGAGAAAGUUCAUAGGGUGCAUGGAACACUAGCAACAAUCAUGGCAACAACUGAACUUAAUGUUAAUAGGCUGACAGCAACAUUAUUUAGCAACUUUGGAGCAAGAUUACAACAAGCUACAGCAGGCUAUAAUUACAACCAGGGGCAUGAAUGGAUAGAGGAAAACUAUAUGUUCAAAACAUCCUUACUGAAGUAUCUCAAAAUAAGCAUGGAUCUCUCUGUAGCAUCACGUUUACAUGGCAUCAAAAUAACAACAGAACAGGGACUAAAAUCAGCAACAUCACGAAGCCUAGUUUGCAUGGUUGUGCUAGUCACCAAAUUGUUCACAAAAAUACAUGGUAAGCACCUCUGUAAAGAUGGCAUGACAUAAUUCAAAACACAUAUAGACAUCAACCUCAUAGGAUGCACACAUCAAUCAUGACAAAAAUGACAAAUGAGCAAGUUCUGUUAACAGACAGCAGACAACAUCACCUAGCACUCUUGCAACGAAGAUUCAGGCAUCAAGAUGAACUCAAAUGAACAUGAUGCAAUGGAAUGAAAUGAAGUACUCGUUGAGUCGAACAAUUUGACAUAUUACACGCACAAAACGGAGUAGUAUGCAUGGAGAUAUGAUGCGAUGAACAGGGCAUGAUAAUAUGCAACAAUUCGGGGACUUGGCAGAUUAUCAGGGAAAAACAUACGAGCGUAAUAUAGCUAUUAGUCGCAUGGGCGCGGGAUUGCGGGGAUCACCAUGGGCUUCGGCCCAGGUCAUAGGGGAGGCUAGGCGGGCCGAGGGAGAUGGGCCGGGGAGGCCGAGGCCCACGCGGGGCUGGGCGGCCCCGAGCGGAGGCCGGCUGGAUCGGGCUCCUCCCGAUCCGUGGCGGCGGCGGCGCGUUCUCCGACGAGCUCGCCGACCGGAGGCAGGGCCGGACAAGGACGGGGAGGCGGCGGAGCGAGCGGGAUCUCGGGGCGGGGCCGGCUGCGGGCGACGGAGACGCGUGGCGCCCGAGGCGGAGGGCGGCAGCGGCNNNNNNNNNNNNNNNNNNNNNNNNNNNNNNNNNNNNNNNNNNNNNNNNNNNNNNNNNNNNNNNNNNNNNNNNNNNNNNNNNNNNNNNNNNNNNNNNNNNNNNNNNNNNNNNNNNNNNNNNNNNNNNNNNNNNNNNNNNNNNNNNNNNNNNNNNNNNNNNNNNNNNNNNNNNNNNNNNNNNNNNNNNNNNNNNNNNNNNNNNNNNNNNNNNNNNNNNNNNNNNNNNNNNNNNNNNNNNNNNNNNNNNNNNNNNNNNNNNNNNNNNNNNNNNNNNNNNNNNNNNNNNNNNNNNNNNNNNNNNNNNNNNNNNNNNNNNNNNNNNNNNNNNNNNNNNNNNNNNNNNNNNNNNNNNNNNNNNNNNNNNNNNNNNNNNNNNNNNNNNNNNNNNNNNNNNNNNNNNNNNNNNNNNNNNNNNNNNNNNNNNNNNNNNNNNNNNNNNNNNNNNNNNNNNNNNNNNNNNNNNNNNNNNNNNNNCCGCAGCGGAGGGAGGCGGCGGGGGACACGUGUCGCACGAGGGUUGGCUGGAUGCGACAACGGCGGACGUGUUCGGCACGAACGGACGCGUCCGGCGGCGGGAGGAGGACGAAAGCUAGGGUUUGAUCCGCAAAAAUGGACGGGGAGGACGUUUAUAUAGGCAUAGGGAGCUAGGAGAGUCCAAAUGAGGAGCGGUUUUCGGCCACGCGAUCGUGAUCGAACGACCGAGAGCAUGGAGGGGGUUUGGAUGGGUUUUGGGUCACUUUGAAAGGGUGUUGGGCUGCAAAGAGAAAGGGGGGUUUCGGGCUGCGCGGUUAACCGUUGGAGUAUCAAACGGACUCCAAAUGGCACGAAACUUGACAGGCGGUCUACCGGUGCUAUACCAAGGCCGCUUGGCAAACCUCGGUCCAUUCCGAGAACGUUUAACAUCCGCUCACAAUGAGAGACAAAAUGGAGAACGCCGGAGGGCAUAGGAGCGCCGGAUUGCAAAACGGACAACGAGGAAAUGCUCGGAUGCAUGAGACGAACACGUAUGCAAUGCAAUGCACAUGAUGACAUGAUAAAAAUGCAACACACAAGCAAAUGACAUGGCAGCAGCGAAGAAUAACUGGCAGACACCUGGUGCAUCGGAAUCGGGGCGUUACAACACUCCUCCACUAACAAGAGAUCUCGUCCCGAGAUCUUAGGACCGAGAUGGGAGAGAAAAAAGGGAUGAGGGAAACAAGAACUCAAGAGAAGAAGCAAAGAAUCGAGAGCACUCGAGAAUAAGAGAGGAAAGAUGAGAAUGACGAGAAUCGAAAGCUCACGGAAUCAGAUAGACUAUGAAACCACUCCGGUUAGAACGAGAUAAGAAACGAAUAAGACUGAAAGGAUUUAGGAAGAACUCUGACUGAACAUGGAAAGAAUAGAACAUGAACUUGAGAGGAUGAAAUGACACUUGACGAGAUAAACAACACAAUGCCUUCGGAAGAAUUGAAAGAAUAUUGAAUGAAAAGAAUUUAGAAGGAUUGAAUGGAAUUGUUGAGAAAAUUCAACAACGAAAAGAAUAAGCUUGUCGUGGACUUAUGGAUAACAUCUCAGAAAUUAUGAGGUGAUAACCAGCCGCAAACGGAAAUGAUUGAAUAGCUGAGAAGAACGAAGGAAUGCAAAACUCCAAUUCAAAAGAAUACAGAGAAUUAAUUACACUUCGAGACGCGAGAAGACAGAUACUUGAAUUCCACCAACAAAAUCUUGAUGAACUCUUGAAGAAUGAAUUAAAUCAAGAAGAACCACCAUGAAGAACUCCGGUAACAAAAAGGAUGAUGAGAUAGAAUGAAGGAAGAAAGAAUAAGAUGAGCUUUGCGAUGAUAUAGAUGGGGUUUCCGACGAGAUGGCCGAGGAAAUUGAACUCCGGAAAAGAAAAGAUGAAAGCACUAGGAACUAGAAUAUAUUCAUCAAGGACAAACUCCGAAUGAAGGGAUUGAUCACUUGGAUGAAAUAAGAAUAAGAUUUAUUGUAUGCUUAUCCUCAUCAAAUUUAAUUGAUGACAACCGGAUUUGGCAUGUAACUUAUUCUUCUUGAAAAGGAUUGAGAAGUGACAUAUCGCAAACUUGAGAAGGUCUUCAUGAACCACCGGUAGAAUUGAAAGAACGAAUGGAUUGAUACGAUAACAAAGGAAAAGAAUCUGAAUGAACCGCCAUAAGAAUUCGAAAAUGGUUGAGGGAAGAGAAUGAAUCACCGGGAAGAAUUAGAAGAACAAAUAUGAUUGAGGGGAUUUAGAUACAAGAGAACGGGAAGAACUCGAUCUGAAUAAAGAGCAGUUGAAUGAAGCACCGGGAUAAUUAGAGAACGGUAACUGGAAUGAUGCCUCCGGUGAAAAGAAAUGGGAAAACAACUUCUGACAUACUACGGAUGGUUAAGAAAAGAAUAUCUGACAAAUGGAAUAAUUCGAGAGGGUAACAAGAAGCUAGAACCACGAAUCUUCGGGAUAACGGGCAAGAUUUAGAGGAAAACUCUUCUUCGAUCUUCAAAUGACGACGAGAAACACCACCAAAAAUUACUGAGAUACUCCGGGAGAAUGAAAAGCGAAGGGGUUGAGCCAAUAAUGAAAAGAAUUUGAAAGCGAUCUUGGAGAAGGCAACUGACUGAUGAAAUUCAUACUUACGUCAAACUUGAAAAGAAUUGAGAAUAACUCCGGGGGAAUUAGAAGAGUCAGGUAAGAUCCUGGGAAAAUAUGUGGGUUAGGGCCCACUGAAGAGAUAACACCGUUGGAAAGGACUGUUGAAGAGAUAGAUGAUGCACCGAGACAAUUGAAAUAUUUGAAUGAGGUGACAACCUCGAAUUAAUUGGAACAUAGACGAAUCUCCUGAGAUGUCUUGAGCACUCCGGAAGGAUAAACUGGCGAGAGGCGAACGAGCAGGGAAAACUCUUGAGCCGAGGAAAGAAUGAAAUCACUACCAAAAAUUAGAAUUGAAUCCACCGGAAAAGAGAUGAAGAAUGUCCACCGAGACGAGAAUUCACCGGUUGAAAUGAUUUUCAGAAGACUGAAGAGGUUCCGCACGAAUGAGAUAGAUGGUCAAGAGAGAGACAGACUCCGGGAAGAAAAGCGUGGGAGGGCGGGAAAAACAAAGGCAACUCGGGAGGGGGACCCGACGAAUAUCUUGAAGAGGAAACACCGGGUGAAAUCAUUGAGGAGAGAAAGCAAAGACUUCGCACGAGUAGGAUGGAUACUCGAUUAUGGACUUCGGCUCCGAGAUGAAAAAGGGUGGGCGGGUGGGAAAGAAAACAACUGAGGAUUGAACUCAGACAUGAAGAGGCUCGAGUCAACUUGACGAAAAUGCACCGGAUGAAAAGAGCUGGGAACCAACGAUCGGAAAAACCAACUGCGUGAACCUAAAGAAAAAUUUGAAGGGGAAAAGGAGUGAUUCAAAACACCUACGUCAAGAUUCCUCACCAGAGCGACAAAGGGGCUGAGCAGUAAAAAGAAUUCCUACUCUCCGAUAUAACUAGACUUCGAAAACAGUUUUCUUCUAGACUCAACAACGGCCAAACUACACGAUCAAUCAAGGGGCUCCUAGGGUCGGUCGAGGCUCCGAUACUAACUUGUCAUGCCCAAUAUGCGAUACUAUCCUAAAGAGACUCGAAGGUCCCACCAAGGAUAGAACCGCAUAUUAAAACGCUUUUGCAAGGUGGAUAUCAUUACAUCAACAUCACAUAAUAGAUGGGGAUACAUACAAGAGGCAUACAAUGCCACACGAAUACAACAUCAUCUUACAGAAGAGUACCAUCCGACUACGGAUGAAACACAAACAGAAACUCAAUGACAUCCACCCUGCUAGCCCAGGCUGUUGACCUGGAACCUAUCCCUGAUCGAAGAAGAAGCAGAAGAAGUACUCCAAAACAAGCAAACAUCGCUCUCGCGUCAUGAUCAUCACAAAACCUGUACCUGCAACUGUUGUUGUAGUAAACUCUGAGCCACAAGGACUCAGCAAUCCCAUUACCAUGGGUAUCAAGACUAGCAAAGCUUAAUGGGAAAGGAAGGGGUAAAGUGGUGAGGUUGCAGCAGCGACUAAGCAUAUAUGGUGGCUAACAUACGCAAAUAAGAGCGAGAAGAGAGCAAGCGGAACGGUCGUCAACUAGUAAUGAUCAAGAAGUGAUCCUGAACUCCUACUUACGUCAAACAUAACACAAAACCGUGUUCACCUCCCGGACUCCGCCGAGAAGAGACCAUCACGGCCACACGCGCGGUUGAUGCGUUUUAAUUCGGAUCUGGUGUCAAGUUAUCUACAACCGGACAUUAACAAAUUCCCAUCUGCCUAUAACCGUAGGCACAUCUUUCAAAAGAUUAUACCCUGCAGGGGUGUCCCAACUUAGCCCAUGAUAAGCUCUCGCGAUCAACGAAGGAUAUACCUUCUCCCAGGAAGACCCGAUCAGACUCGGAAUCCCGGUUUACAAGACAUUUCGACAAUGGUAAAACAAGACCAGCAAAGCCGCCCGGAUGUGCCGACAAAUCCCGAUAGGAGCUGCACAUAUCUCGUUCUCAGGGCACACCGGAUUGUCCAAACUUCCGGUAGGCCAGCCCAGAGUUGCCCCUGGUGGCCACUGGCGGCUGACAGGUUGGACCAACACUCACAAUGAGCACUGGCCCGGGGGGGNNNNNNNNNNNNNNNNNNNNNNNNNNNNNNNNNNNNNNNNNNNNNNNNNNNNNNNNNNNNNNNNNNNNNNNNNNNNNNNNNNNNNNNNNNNNNNNNNNNNNNNNNNNNNNNNNNNNNNNNNNNNNNNNNNNNNNNNNNNNNNNNNNNNNNNNNNNNNNNNNNNNNNNNNNNNNNNNNNAAAAAGGGCUAGGUGAGGCAAAUAGUAAAACCAAGGUUGGGCCUUGCUGUAGGAGCUUUAUUCAAAGCGAAUUUUCAAGGGGGUCCCAUAAAUCACCCGACCGCGUAAGGAACGCAAAAUCCGAGAACAUAACACCGGUAUGACGGAAACUAGGGGCGGCAAGAGUGGAACAAAACACCAGGCAUAAGGCCGAGCCUUCCACCCUUUACCAAGUAUAUAGAUGCAUUAAUAAUAAUAUAAGAGAUAUUGUGAUAUCCCAACCAAAAUCCUGUCCACCAUGGAGAAAUCUUCAACUUCACCUACAACUAACAACGCUAUAGGAGGGACUGAGAAAAGCGGUAACAUAGCCAAGCAAUGGAUUGCUAGGAGGGGUGUCAAAGGUUAGAGAUUCAUGGCAAUUUGGGAGGCUUGAAGAGUAAAUGAUAUGUAGCGCAACAAAGCGAUAGAACGAAGCAACUAGCAUAGCAAUGAUAGUAGUGAGAUCCAGGGUAGCGGUCAUCUUGCCUGAAAUCCUGCAAGGAAGAAGAACGAGUCCAUGAAGAAUAUGAACGGAUGAAGCCGAACCAAGCGUAGACGAACGAAUCCUCACGAUCGCAACGAAACAGGAACUAUCGAAAAGAAGCACACAACAAGGUAAACACACCACACAAGAACAAGACAUGAUGCUCAACCAAGUACGAUGCAUGACAAAGCUACAUGAAGCUACUCAUGGCAAGAGAUGAUGCAAACAAGAGCAACACAUCAAGGCAAGUUUAAAUGAGGCCGGAAACAACAUAUAACAAUUCCGGUAAGUCCUCAUAUGCAAAUUUCGAAAUUGGUCCAGAUAUGAAUAAACCUUAUGUUCAAGUUGUUAAAUAGCAAGUUAAAAUGCACCAAGAUGAUCUACAUGAGAUUCUAGUCAAGUUACAUAUAAAGUUCAUUUAGUUCGGAGCUACGGCCUAGAAGAUAUGAGCAAAACAAGUUAAACAUGGCAUUGAUGCAAAAUGCAUUCAAACAUCAAGAAAACACACCAAAACAAGGAUGCAACAUCAUAAUAUGAAACUACAUGCAAUUCUAAGCAAGUUUCAUAUAGAGCACACUCAAAACGGAGCAACGGUUCAACACACACACACAUGAAACAAGUUUAAAGGACAAGCUAUCCAAAACAACAACUAGGCAUAUUGCAAGCAUCAAAACAAUAUGCUACAGCACCCCAACAUGAGAACAAAAGACAUGGACAUGAUGUACAGGUAAAGCAUAACAAAACAUGAACACUGAGCUAUCUCCAGAAAUCACUAGAACAUGCUCAAACACACAUGGCAAGAUUGCAAAUGAUAACAGUUUCAGGUUUUGCAGAAAUAACAUCAGGUUGCAAUGUUUAGAGCUAUCAAACAACAUGUUACAGGAACUUAUCAUGGCAACCAAAGGCAUGGUAUGAUACUACUAAAUUCAUAGAACAAAAGUCCCUUACUGACCAUGAGCCAAAAAGGAUCAGAAGAUAUGAUGGCACCCAUGUAAACAUGGCAAGUUAUAUUACAGAUUCAUACAUGGCAGGAACAACGAUAAGAAGGCAUGUUGGUGAGCUUGUACCACUCACCACAAAGAAAUACAUGGCAUGGCAAGGCAACCAACUGUAAUAAGACAUAUUUAUUAAGCUAAACAUGGCAAGAGAAAGUUCAUAGGGUGCAUGGAGCACUAGCAACAAUCAUGGCAACAACUGAACUUAAUGUUAUUAGGCUGAGAGCAACAUUAUUUAGCAACUUUGGAGCAAGAUUACAACAAGCUACAUCAGGCUAUAAUUACAACCAGGGGCAUGAAUGGAUAGAGGAAAACCAUAUGUUCAAAACAUCCUUACUGAAGUAUUUCAAAAUAAGCAUGGAUCUCUCUGUAGCAUCACGUUUACAUGGCAUCAAAAUAACAGCAGAACAUGGACUAAAAUCAGCAACAUCACGAAGCCUAGUUUGCAUGCUUGUGCUAGUCACCAAAUUGAUCACAAAAAUACAUGGUAAGCACCUCUAUAAAGAUGGCAUGACAUAGUUCAAAACACAUGUAUACAUCAACCUCAUAGGAUGCACACAUCAAUCAUGGCAAAAAUGACAAAUGAGCAAGUUCUGUUAACAGACAGCAGACAACAUCACCUAGCACUCUUGCAACGAAGAUUCAGGCAUCAAGAUGAGCUCAAAUGAACAUGAUGCAAUGGAAUGAAAUGAAGUACUCGUUGAGCCGAACAAUUUGACAUAUUACACGCACAAAACGGAGCAGUAUGCAUGGAGAUAUGAUGCGAUGAACAUGGCAUGAUAAUAUGCAACAAUUCGGGGACUUAGCAGAUUAUCAGGGAAAAACAUAGGAGCAUAAUAUAGCUAUUAGUCGCACGGGCGCGGGAUUGCGGGGCUCACCAUGGGCUUCGGCCCAGGUCACAGGGGAGGCCAGGCGGGCCGAGGGAGAUGGGCCGGGGAGGCCGAGGCCCACGCGGGGCUGGGCGGCCCCGAGCGGAGGCCGGCUGGAUCGGGCUCCUCCCGAUCCGCGGCGGCGGCGCGUUCUCCGGCGAGCUCGCCGGCCGGAGGCGGGGCCGGACAAUGACGGGGAGGCGGCGGAGCAAGCGGGAUCNNNNNNNNNNNNNNNNNNNNNNNNNNNNNNNNNNNNNNNNNNNNNNNNNNNNNNNNNNNNNNNNNNNNNNNNNNNNNNNNNNNNNNNNNNNNNNNNNNNNNNNNNNNNNNNNNNNNNNNNNNNNNNNNNNNNNNNNNNNNNNNNNNNNNNNNNNNNNNNNNNNNNNNNNNNNNNNNNNNNNNNNNNNNNNNNNNNNNNNNNNNNNNNNNNNNNNNNNNNNNNNNNNNNNNNNNNNNNNNNNNNNNNNNNNNNNNNNNNNNNNNNNNNNNNNNNNNNNNNNNNNNNNNNNNNNNNNNNNNNNNNNNNNNNNNNNNNNNNNNNNNNNNNNNNNNNNNNNNNNNNNNNNNNNNNNNNNNNNNNNNNNNNNNNNNNNNNNNNNNNNNNNNNNNNNNNNNNNNNNNNNNNNNNNNNNNNNNNNNNNNNNNNNNNNNNNNNNNNNNNNNNNNNNNNNNNNNNNNNNNNNNNNGCUUGCGCGGGCCCCGGAUGGGCCUGGCGGGCCGCGGCGGAGGGAGGCGGCGGGGGACACGUGUCGCACGCGGGUUGGCUGGAGGCGACAGUGGCGGACGUGUUCGGCGCGAACGGACGCGUCCGGUGGCGGGAGGAGGACGAAAGCUAGGGUUUGAUCCGCGAAAAUGGACGGGGAGGACGUUUAUAUAGGCAUAGGGAGCUAGGAGAGUCCAAAUGAGGAGCGGUUUUCGGCCACGCGAUCAUGAUCGAACAACCGAGAGCAUGGAGGGGGUUUGGAUGGGUUUUGGGACACUUUGAAAGUGUGUUGGGCUGCAAAGAGAAAGGGGGGUUCGGGCUGCGCGGUUAACUGUUGGAGUAUCAAACGGACUGCAAAUGGCACGAAACUUGACAGGCGGUCUACUGGUGCUAUACCAGGGCCGCUUGGCAAACCUCGGUCCAUUCCGAGAAUGUUUAACACCCGCUCACAACGAGAGACAAAAAGGAGAACGCCGGAGGGCAUAGGAGCGCCGGAUUGCAAAACGGACAACGAGGAAAAUGCUCGGAUGCAUGAGACGAACACGUAUGCAAUGCAAUGCACAUGAUGGCAUGAUAAAAAUGCAACACACAAGCAAAUGACAUGGCAGCAACGAUGAAUAACUGGCAGACACCUGGCGCAUCGGAUCUGGGGCGUUACAUGUUUCCCUUCUUGGUAUAUUCGUCCGUUCAUGGGUCUGGCCGCCAUGUCGCCAGUCAUGGCUUACUCAAAAUUGGACCUGCAAAGAAAAUGCAAAAACGUUUGUGUGCCACGGAGCGGUUAAGCCGCAUUGCGUGGCCUAUCCUAGCUUUGCCUCCGUCUACUGCCGGAGUAUUUGAUUGAGCUCUUUAUGAGCCGGGCUAUCCUGUCGCAAAGUAGUUCAGACUCCUUUGAUGGUGUCCGGAAGCUUGGCUGUCGACUCAAGGUUCGAUUGAGAGAUGCCACUAUGUGCUUCUACUGUUAAGGCGACGGUGUAUUCUUCGGCACAGAGGGAGCGUUCAGCCUUGCCAUUAACUGUUAUGACGCCGCGCGGACCGGGCAUCUUAAGCUUAAGGUAGGAAUAAUGUGGUAUCAUGUUGAAUCAAGCAAACACGGUUCGUCUGAGAAAUGCAUGAUAGCUGCUGCAAAAAGGGACGAUGUCAAAGAUUAACUCUUCAUUGCGGUAGUUAUCCGGUGGUCCGAAGACUACCUCCAGAGUGAUGGAGCCUGUACAACGGGCCUCCACACCCGGUAUAACACCUUUAAAGGUAGUUUUAGUAGGUUUGAUCAUUGAAGGAUCGAUACCCAUCUUGCACACUUUGUCCUGAUACAGCAGGUUCAGGCUGCUGCCUUCGUCCAUAAGGACUCGUGUGAGGUGGAAUCCAUCAAUUAUUGGAUCAAGGACUAGUGCAGCUGAAUUGCCCUGACUGGUAUUGGCCAGACGAUCUAUACGGUCAAAGGUGACCGGGCCGGACGACCAUGGGUUAUAUUUUGGGGCGACUGGCUCCGUUACGUUGACAUCCCUAAGUGUGCACAUCCACUCCCGCUUGGGAAUAUGGGUGGCAUUUAUCAUGUUCACCAUUUUGAUUUGCGGGGGAAACUUCUUUUGCCCUCCUGUGUUUGGUGGCCGGGGCUCCUCCUUGUCGUCAUUGCUUUGCGACCCCUUCUCCUUGUUUCCGGCACCUGACCUACCGGCUUGUUUGAAGACCCAACAUUCUCUGUUGGUGUGGUUGGCUGGUGUUCCUGGGGUGCCAUGAAUUUGGCAUGGAUGGUCGAGUAUACGGGCCAAACUGGACGUGCCCGGACUGUUUCUUUUGAAUUGUUUCUUCCUUUGGCCGGUAGUAGAGCCACUGAAUCCGGCAUUGACGGUCGUGUCUUCAGUGUUUUCGCCAUUAUUACGACGCUUGUGUUUGCUGCGUCUGGGCUUCCCGUUGUUAUCUCUUGGUCCAGAAGUCCCAGGCUUGCUUGAGACGAUGUUGCUAUGAGCUAGCCAGUUGUCCUCACCCGCACUGAAGCGGGUCAUGAGUGUCGUAAGGGCUGCCAUGGAUUUCGGCUUCUCUUGGCCGAGGUGUCGGGCAGGCCACUCGUCACAGAUGUUGUGCUUAAAGGCCGCUAGGGCUUCGGCAUCCGGACAAUCGACAAUUUGGUUCUUUUUAGUUAAGAACCGAGUCCAGAAUUUCCUGGCUAACUCUCCGGGCUGUUGGGCUAUGUGACUUAAGUCAUCAGCGUCCGGUGGUCGCACAUAAGUGCCCUGGAAGUUGUCAAGGAAUGCGUCUUUGAUAUGUCCAUUUUGCAUCAUGCUUUUAUAUCAAUAUUUAUUGCAUUAUGGGCUGUUAUUACACAUUAUAUCUCAAUACUUAUGGCUAUUCUCUCUUAUUUUACAAGGUUUACCAUGAAGAGGGGGGAUGCCGACAGCUGGAAUUCUGGCUAGAAAAGGAGCAAACGUUGGAAACCUAUUCUGCACAACUCCAAAAGACCUGAGACUCCACGAAUUUUUUUUGGAUUUAUUAAGGAAUUAUGAGCAAAAGAAAUAGGCCAGGGGCCCACACCCUGUCCAGGAGAUAGAGGGGCGCCCCCCUGGGGCGCGCCCUCCUAUCUCCUGGGACCCCUGCUGGGCCUCCGGCGUCCAUCUUCUGCUAUAUGAAGGGUUUUGUCCUGGAAAAAUUCGUGGGCAAGCUUACGAGAUGAAACUCCGCCGCCACGAGGCGGAACCUUGGCGGAAUCAAUCUAGGGCUCUGGCGGAGCUGUUCUACCGGGGACACUUCCCUCCGGGAGGGGGAAAUCAUCACCAACGUCAUCACCAACGAUCCUCUCAUCGGGAGGGGGUCAAUCUCCAUCAACAUCUUCACCAGCACCAUCUCAUCUCAAAACCCUAGUUCAUCUCUUGUAUCCAAUCUUGUAUCAAAACCACAAAUUGGUACCUGUGGGUUGCUAGUAGUGUUGAUUACUCCUUGUAGUUGAUACUAAUUGGUUUACUUGGUGGAAGAUCAUAUGUUCAGAUCCUUCAUGCAUAUUAUUACACCUCUAAUUAUGAACAUGAAUAUGCUUUGUGAGUAGUUACGUUUGUUCCUGAGGACAUGGGUGAAGUCUUGCUAUUAGUAGUCAUGUGAAUUUGGUAUUCGUUCGAUAUUUUGAUGAGAUGUAUGUUGUCUCUCCUCUAGUGGUGUUAUGUGAAUGUCGACUACAUGACACUUCACCAUUACUUGGGCCUAGAGGAAGGCAUAGGGAAGUAAUAAGUAGAUGAUGGGUUGGUAGAGUGACAGAAGCUUAAACCCUAGUUUAUGCGUUGCUUCGUUAGGGGUUGAUAUGGACCCAUAUGUUUAAUGCUGUGGUUAGGUUUACCUUAAUACUCCUUUUUGUAGCUGCGGAUGCUUGCAAGAGGGGUUAAUAAUAAGUGGGAUGCUUGUCCAUGUUAGGGCAGUACCCAAGUGCCGCUCCACCCACAUAUCAAAUUAUCAAAGUACCGAACGCGAAUCUUAUGAACAUGAUGAAACUAGCUUGACGAUAAUUCCCAAUGUGUCCUCGGGAGCUUCUUCCUUAUUAUUAGAAUUUUUCUAGGCUUAUCCUUUGCUACAUAAAGGAUUGGGCCACCUUGCUGCACUUUAUUUACUUUAUUUACUUUUGCUCGUUACUAUUUAUCUUAUGACAAAACUAUCUAUCACCUACUAUUUCAGUGCUUGCAGAGAAAACCUUACUGAAAACCGCUUAUCAUUUCCUUCUGCUCCUCGUUGGGUUCGACACUCUUACUUAUCGAAAGGACUAAGAUAGAUCCCCUACACUUGUGGGUCAUCAGUCUUCCAGGUUCUCCCAACUGCCAAUGGAGUUUGCUAGCAGGCUAUUCAGCCAAUGCUGAGCCGGUCCCUUGAGUUUUAGUGGGAGGUACUUGAUGGCAUGCAGAUCAUCGCCGCGGGCCAUAUGAAUGUGGAGAAGGAAAUAUUCAAUCCAUACCGCGGGGUCUGUUGUCCCAUCAUAUAGUUCGAUGUUCAUGGGUUUAAACCCUUCUGGGAACUCAUGCUCCAUUACUUCGUCAAUGAAGCAUAGGGGGUGUGCGGCGCCUCUAUGUCAGGCUACAUCGUGCCACAGUUCCAAUGAGUCUGGUCUGCUGUAUUCGGCCCGGCCGGAUUUGUAUUAAGUAUAUCUGGCAUGGCGGUCAUCAUCACGUGUUGGGGCGUGCCCCCGUGAUCCGUAGAUCGAUCUUGACUGUCCUGCUUUGUUUUCCAAUUCAUCUCGCAGGUCCUGCGUGUAGCCCCAGGCCAUCGUGUUUUUAUUUGUUUGGUGACGGGGUGCGGGCUGGUGUUCGGGCUGAUACGCCGCCUUGUCUCGGCCAUGAGGUGGCCGGUCAGCUGCAUCCUGCGCUGGUAGUGUGGGCUCUAGUGACUCAUCCUCGAAUUGAGGUAACAACCUGCGCCUCGGGUAGCUUUUGGUUGGGUGCUCGAGUCCAUAUUCCUCGGCUGCCAUGACCCGAGUCCAUCUAUCAGUUAGCAGAUCUUGAUCAGCUUGAAGCUGCUGCUAUUUUUUCUUCUGGCUCUUUGCAGUGGCUAUAAGUCGGCUCUUGAAGCGCUCCUGCUCGACGGGAUCCCCAGGCACGAUAAACUCCUCGUCGCCGAGGCUCACCUUGUCUUCGGAGAGGGGCAUGUAAUUGUCAUCCUCCGAGUCUCCAUCCAUUGCCUGUUCAUUGGGGCUAGCUUGCCCAUCCUCCCGUCCGGCUUGCUCGAAGCUUGGCUGGACGGGAUUGUUUUCGUCUUUGGCAUCAUCCGUAGUGUUAUUGUCUCUUGUGCCGGUAUCGCUAUUUUUGCUAUGGCGGGGCUUAGAGCGGCGAUGCUGACGCCGGUGCUUAGAUUGCUUCUCAAGGGGAUUAUCCUCCGUUGCCUCAUCGCCAUUGCUUUCUUUGGGUAUGUCCACCAUAUAUAUAUAUAUAUAUAUAUAUAUAUAUAUAUAUAUAUAUAUAUCAUAUGAUGAAGUGGCUGUCCAGUGCCCUGUGGGCGGUGGUUCUUGUUCUUCUCCAGCAUCGUCGUCCAUACCGUCGAUGUCUUCGUAGUCGAAAUCAAGCAUGUCGGUUAGGUCGUCGACAGUGGCUAUUAAGUGGGUGGUGGGUGGGUAACGAAUUUCUUCGUCGUCCGCUUCCCACUCAAGCCGGACAUAGUUCGGCCAAGAGUCUCCUGACAGGUAGAAUGACUUUAAUGAAUUUAGCACAUCGCCCAAGGGCGAGUGCUGAAAGAUAUCCGUGGAGCUAAACUCCAUAAUCGGUGCCCAGUUAGACAUGAUGGGCACGGAUGUACAUGGUUUGGAACCUAUGACCGGAGACGAGUCCGGAGGUCCGUUGACACAGACCUCGUUGGAAGUGAGAUCCGUGUUCGGCUCUAUCGCCGUUGAGUGUGCGGCCUCCAUGGCGGGGUCCAUCUACCCAUCCUCGGAUGGCACAGUCUGCUCCCGAUUUAGAGCCGGGGCAGCUGUACGUGUGAUCGCCCAAACACCGUCCGAUGGCAGAUCUAAGUCAUGCUCAUCGUGAUUGUACGGCGCACCUGUCAUGGGCUCGAAUCCGUCGAAGAUCAAGUCUCCGUGGAUGUCGGCAGUGUAGUUCAGGCUUCCAAACCUGACCUGAUGGCCAGGGGUGUGGCUAUCGAUCUGCUCCAGAUGGCCAAGCGAGUUGGCCCGCAGUGCGAAGCCGCUGAAUACGAAGAUCUGUCCGGGGAGGAAAACCUCACCCUGGAUCGCGUCGCUGUAGACAAUUGAAGGAGCCAUCAAGCCUUACCGUGACAACACAGUGGAACUCUCAAUGAAAGCACCAAUGUCGGUGUCAAAACCGGCGGAUCUUGGGUAGGGGGUCCCGAACUGUGCAUCUAAGGCUAAUGGUAAUAGGAGGCGGGGAACACAAUGUAUACCCAGGUUCGGGCCCUCUCGAUGGAGGUAAUACCCUACUUCCUGCUUGAUUGAUCUUGAUGAUAUGAGUAUUACAAGAGUUGAUCUACCACGAGAUCAUAGAGGCUAAACCCUAGAAGCUAGCCUAUGAUUAAGAUUGUUGUUGUCCUACGGACUAAACCCUCCGGUUUAUAUAUACACUGGAGGGGGCUAGGGUUACAACAGAGUCGGUUACAGAGAAGGAAAUCUACAUAUCCGAAUUGCUAAGCUUGCCUUCCAUGCAAAGGAGAGUCCCACCCGGAUACGGGACGAAGUCUUCAAUCUUGUAUCUUCAUAGUCCAACAGUCUGGCAUAAGCAUAUAGUCCGGCUGUCCGAGGACCCCCUAAUCCAGGACUCCCUCAAGGGCCCGAACCUGGGUAAACAUUGUGUCCCCCGUCUCCUGUUACCAUCGACCUUAGAUGCACAGUUCAGGACCCCCUACCCGAAAUCCACCAGUUUUGGCGCCGACAUUGGUGCUUUCAUUGAGAGUUCCGCUGUGCCGUCACCAAAAGGUUUUAUGGCUCCAUCAAUCAUCUACAACAAUGCAGUCCAGGGGGAGAUUUUCCUCCCCGGACAGAUCUUCGUAUUCAACAGCUUCACACUACGGGCCAACUCGCUUGGCCAUCUGGAGCAAAUCGAUAGCUACGCCCCUGGCCAUUGGGUCAGAUUUGGAACCUUGAAUUACGUGGCCGAUAUCCACGGAGACUUGAUCUUCGAUGGAUUCGAGCCCAUGACGGCCGCUCCCUGUCACCACGAUGAACAUGACCUAAAUCUAUCGUUGAACCAUGCUCAGGAGAUAGCACCUACAACCGCUCUGGCCCUAGAUCCAGAGCAGAUCACGCCAUCCGAGGACGGGAUGCUCAACCCCGCCAUGGAAGCCGCAGACUCAGCAGCGAUAGAUCCGCACACAGAUCCAACCUCGAGUGGGCCCUGUGUCAUCGGAACCUCAGAUUCGUCUCCGACCAUAGGUUCCGAGCCACGUGCAUCCGUGCCCAUCGAACCCGAUCGGGCGCUGACCGUUGAGUUUAGCUCCGCGGACAUCUUCCGGCACUCGCCUUUUGGCAACAUGCUGAACUCAUUAAGAACCCUCUCCUUGUCAGGAGACUCACAGCCGAAUUAUAUUUGGCUCGAAUUUGAGGUCGAUGACGGAGAAUCCCGCUUCCCACCCACCACCCACUACAUAGCAACUGUCGUGGACUUAACCGACAUGCUUGACUAUGACUCCGAAGACAACGACGGUAUGGACGACGAUGCCGGAGAGGAGCAGGCACAAAAACCACCGCUUACAGGGCGUUGGAUAGCCACCUCCUCGUAUGACGUAUACAUGGUGGAUACACCCAAAGAGAACAACAACGACAAUGAAAAUCUAGUCGAGGAUAAGCCUCCUGAGAUACAACCAAAACAUCGACGUUAGUGGCGCCGCUCUAAGCCACACCGUGGUAAAAACAGCAAUACCGUCACAGGAGAAAAUAAUACUUCGGACGACGCCAAAGACAAUGAAGACCCCGUUGAGCCAACCUCCGAACAGGACGAACAUGAAGAUGGGCGAGUCAGCCCUGAUGAACAAGCCCUGAAUGAAGACUCGGAGGACAGAAACUACCUUCCGCUCUUCGAGGACGAGGUGAGCCUCGUUGAUGAAGAUUUUAUCGUGCCUGAGGAGCCUGUGGAACAGGAGCGCAUUAAGCACCGGCUAAUUGCCACUGCAAGGAGCCUGAAAGAGAAGUAGCAGCAGCUUCGAGCUGAUCAAGAUCUGCUCAAUGAUAGAUGGACUCACGUCCUCGUAGCUGAAGAAUAUGGCCUCGAGCGCCCAACCAAAAGCUACCCGAAGCGUAAACUACCACAGUUUGAUGACGAGGCGCUGUAGCACAUCCUACUAGCGCAUAAUGCGGCUGACCGGCCACCACGCGGCCGGAACAAAGCGGCACCUCGAGCCAAACACCAGCCCGCACUACCUCGCCGUAGAAACAGAAAUACAACAGCUCGGGGAUACACACAUGACCUGCGGCGUGACUUGGAAAACAGUGCAGGUCAGACAAGAUUGAUCUACGGAUCGCGGGGGCGUUCCCCUACGCAUUAUGAUAGCCACCUGGCGGACGUGACAAACAUAAUCAUGACCGCGCCGAUGACUCUAGAUGAACUCCAUCUGAACUACGUCAUGACCUGGCCCGAUACAGAGGCGCCGCACACCCCCUCUGCUUCACUGAUGAAGUAAUGGAGCACUAUUUCCCAGAAGGGUUUAAACCCGUGAACAUUGAAUCAUAUGAUGGGACAACAGACCCCGUGGUAUGGAUUGAGGAUUUUCUUCUCCAUAUUCAUAUGGCCCGCGGUGAUGAUCUUCACAGCAUCAAAUACCUCCCGCUAAAACUCAAAGGACCAGCUAGGUACUGGUUGAACAGUCUGCCCGAAAACUCCAUUGGCAACUGGGAGGACUUGGAGGAUGCUUUUCUCGACAACUUCCAAGGUACAUAUGUCCGACCUCUGGAUGCCGAUGAUUUAAGUCACAUAGUCCAACAACCCAGAGAAUCAGCUAGGAAAUUCUGGACUAGGUUCUUAACUAAAAAGAACCAGAAUGUCGAUUGUCCGGAUGCCGAAGCCCUAGUAGCCUUUAAGCACAACAUCCGUGACAAAUGGCUUGCCCGACACCUUGGCCAAGAAAAGUCGAAGUCCAUGGCAGCCCUCACGGCACUCAUGACCCGCUUCUGUGUGGGCGAAGAUAGCUGGAUAGCCUGUAGCAAUAACAAUAAAAGCGAACCUAGCACUUCUGAAGCCAGAAACAGCAACGACAAGCCCUGACGCAACAGACACAAGCGUCAAAACAACAGUGACAACACCGAAGACACGGCGGUCAACGCCGGAUUUAGUGGCUCUAAGUCCGGUCAGCGGAAGAGGCCAUACAAAAGAAACAAUCCGGCCCCGCCCAAUUUGGACCGCAUACUCGAUCGUCCAUGUCAAAUCCACGGCACCCCUGAUAAACCAGCCAAUCAUACCAACAGAGAGUGUUGGGUCUUCAAACAGGCCGACAAGUUAAAUGCCGAGAACAAGGAGAAAGGGUCCCAAAGCGAGGACGGUGAUGAGGAGCCCCGGCCACCGAACACAGGGGGACAGAAGAAGUCCCCCCCCCCAAGUUAAAACAGUGAACAUGAUAUAUGCCACCCAUAUCCCCAAGAGGGAGCGCAAGCGCGCACUCAGGGACAUCUACGCGAUAGAGCCAGUCGCCCCAAACUUUAAUCCAUGGUCAUCCUACCCGAUCACUUUUGAUCGCAGGGAUCAUCUGACCAGUAUCCGUCAUGGCGGUUCAGCCGCACUGGUCCUUGACCCAAUUAUUGAUGGGUUCCAUCUUACGCGAGUCCUCAUGGACGGUAGCAGCAGCCCGAACCUGCUUUACCAGGAUACAAUGCGCAAAAUGGGUAUCGAUCUCUCAAGGAUCAAACCCACCAAAACCACCUUUAAAGGUGUCAUGCCAGGUGUAGAGGCCUGCUGUACGGGCUCAAUCACACUGGAAGUGGUCUUCGGAUCUCCGGAUAAUUUCUGAAGCGAAGCAUUGAUCUUUGAUAUAGUCCCAUUCCGCAGUGGCUAUCACGCACUGCUCGGACAAACCGCAUUCACUCGAUUCAAUGCAGUGACGCACUACGCCUAUCUCAAGCUCAAGAUGCCCGGACCAUGCAGUGUUAUAAUAGUCAAGGGAAACAGGAAACACUCCCUCCGUACCGAGGAGCACAUCGCGGCCCUUGCAGCAGAAGUACAGAGCGGCCUUUUCAGGCAUAACCGCAAUUCAGCGGCCAAGCUCCCGGACAUUGUCAAACAAGUCUGAACUACUUCGCAGCAGGACGUCCAGUUCGUCAAGGGCUUGACUAGCAAUUCGGCCUCCGUCCGAGUCCCAACCAAACAGCGGCAUUUGUACCAUGUGUACAUAACUUCGCACUCAAAAUACCAUGGGCAUAGACGGAGGCACAACUAGAACGUGGUCCACAAUACGGCUCAACCGCUCCUGGACCCGCAUACUUUUACUAUUUCUUUUUCUUUUUAGGUUUCUUUUUUCCCCCAGGCCUUUUCCUGAUAACCUGAUCAUCGGACCUAUCAAGGGACAGAUACACCAAGAAGACAAGAAGCUUUGACGUAUAAGGGAACCCCCAGGUGGUCUCUGCUAACGAUCUUUAUACCUGUUUUAAAAACCCGCACGCAGCUCGCCCUUGGUCAUGGCAUGUCAAAUAGCCCUAUUUUGCUUAUCGCAUUACUUGUACAAAUACGCCUUGACGUAUUAGUCAAAUUACAAUGGAAAAUAAUUUGCGUCUCAAUGUUUGCGGCGUCAGCCUAUUGCUUGAUUUUUUCCUUUUCUUUAUAUUCUUAUCAAUUACGCCGUACACUCUGGUACGCCUUAAUUCGCCAGAGGCUUCAUCAUACCCCACAAUACGACAAUAUAGUCCGAACACUUUUACAAUACAGUUCGGCACCCCGAACUUAUAACAUUAUAUGCAUCGGCUCCGAAUCAUGUCUUUGGUCAAUAGUUGGGUUGCCAGGCUCCUAUGCUUACUACCUUAUGUUCCGCUAUAUCGGCUAGGGUAGUAAAGGGAGAACUACUGCGAUUGUGUCCCGGUUCUUCCGGAUGAGCACCUCAGUAGAGAAAGCCGAAAACUGAUUAUCAUGAUGCGGCGAGAGCCGGUCAGCUGUUCGAGAGGUUACAAAUCUUUAGCGAAUUUUUCUGCAUUAUGCGAUGAAUCGGUUUUUAUCCGAUCAGGCAUGUAUAGCACCCCAAGUUCGGACUUCCGAACACCAGGGGCUGCGCCUAAAUUUUUCUUGUCAAACUCCUAUGGCUAAGUGAGAGUAAUAAAGCCGCAUAGUCUGAUUGCAUGGUUUGUUGCACUAAACACCUCCUUAAAGCACCAAAACCUUGGAUAAAGAGUGUUUAGAUUUAUCUCGAACACCCCCGUACUACCUACAUGGGGGCAGAAGCCGACGACUGGCCAAAUCUCAGGUUUAACAAAAUGGCAUAUUUUAAAUAACAAACAUUAUAUUACACAACAGAUCUGUUUCAUAUUACAUGACAGAAUAACAUGAGUGUAUUCAUGGGAAAAUGGUAUCCUUAGCACAUUGCUCCGCCACAAGGCAGGAUCCCUCCAGGACACUGUCAAAAUACAGUUUGGGUGUGUGGUGCUCCUUGCCCGCGGGCGGUCCCUCGGUCAUCAGUUUCAUGGUGUCCAUCUUUGCCCAGUGCAUCUUGGCAUGGGCAAAGGCCAUUUGCGCACCUUCGAUACAGAUCGACCGCUUGAUGGCAUCAAGCCGAGGGCAGGCUUGAUGUCUACUACACAACCUUCUUCUUGUAGACUUUGUUGGGUCUGCAAGUGCACAAGUUUGUAGGACAAUAGCAAAUUUCCCUCAAGUGGAUGACCUAAGGUUUAUCAAUCCGUGGGAGGCGUAGGAUGAAGAUGAUCUCUCUCAAACAACCCUGCAACCAAAUAACAAAGAGUCUCUUGUGUCCCCAACACACCCAAUACAAUGGUAAAUUGUAUAGGUGCACUAGUUCGGUGAAGAGAUGGUGAUACAAGUGCAAUAUAGAUGAUAGAUAAAGGUUUUUGUAAUAUGAAAAUAUAAAAACAGCAAGGUAACUAAUGAUAAAAGUCAGCGCAAAUGGUAUUGCAAUGAUAGGAAACAAGGCAUAGGGUUCAUACUUUCAAUAGUGCAAGUUCUCUCAACAAUUAUAACAUAAUUGGAUCAUAUAACUAUCCCUCAACAUGCAACAAAGAGUCACUCCAAAGCCACUAAUAGCGGAGAACAAACGAAGAGAUUAUGGUAGGGUACGAAACCACCACAAAGUUAUUCUUUCUGCUCGAUCUAUUCAAGAGUCCGUAGUAAAAUAACACAAAGCUAUUCUUUCCGUUCAAUCUAUCAUAGAGUUCGUACUAGAAUAAUACCUUAAGACACAAAUCAACCAAAACCCUAAUGUCACCUAGAUACUCCAUUGUCACCUCAAGUAUCCGUGGGCAUGAUUAUACGAUAUGCAUCACACAAUAUCAGAUUCAUGUAUUCAACCAACACAAAGUACUUCAAAGAGUGCCCCAAAAUUUCUACCAGAGAGUCAAGAUAAAAACGUGUGCCAACCCCUAUGCAUAGGUUCAUGGGCGGAACCCGCAAGUUGAUCACCAAAACAUACAUCAAGUGGAUCACGUGAUAUCCCAUUGUCACCACAGAUAAGCACGGCAAGACAUACAUCAAGUGUUCUCAAAUCCUUAAAGACUCAAUCUGACAAGAUCACUUCAAAGGGAAAACUCAAUUCAUUACAUGAGAGUAUAGGGGGAGAAACAUCAUAAGAUCCAACUAUAAUAGCAAAGCUCGCGAUACAUCAAGAUCGUGCCAUCGAGAGAACACGAGAGAGAGAGAGAUCAAACACAUAGCUACUGGUACAUACCCUCAGCCCCGAGGGUGAACUACUCCCUCCUCGUCAUGGAGAGCGCCGGGAUGAUGAAGAUGGCCACCGGUGAGGGAUGCCCCCUCCGGCAGGGUGCCGGAACGGGCUCCCGAGAGGUUUUUGGUGGCUACACAGGCUUGCGGCGGCGGAACUCCCGAUCUAUCUCCUUCGACGGUUUUAGGGUAUAUGGGAAUAUAUAGGCGAAAGAAGUCGGUCGGGGGAGCCUCGAGGGGCUCAUGAGAGUGGAGGGCAUGCCUGGGGGGGGGCCCUAUCUCAUGGCUUCCUCGGCGCUUCCCUGGCUUGCACUCCAAGUCUCCUGGAUCAUGUUCAUUCCAAAAAUCACGCUCCUGAAGGUUUCAUUCCGUUUGGACCCCGUUUGAUAUUCCUUUUCUUCGAAACACUGAAAUAGGCAAUAAAACAACAAUAUGGGUUGGGCCUUCGGUUAAUAGGUUAGUCCCAUAAGUAAUAUAAAAGUGUAUAAUAAAGCCCGUAAUCAUUCAAAACAGAUAAUAUAAUAGCAUGAAUGCUUCCUAAAUUAUAGAUACGUUGGAGACGUAUCAAGGCACUGACAAGCCGCUUCACGACUCCGAAGUAGCCGCUGGGAAUGGCUUCGGCAGGCCAUAGCCGGAUUAUUAAAUCCUUCAUCACUAGUUCGGCCGCCCUAUGCAGCUCGACCAGCUGUUUUAGCUGAUCGCUAAAGGGCACCGAAUGUUCUGGCGCAAGGUGUUGCGACCAAAACAGCUUCUCCGUAGAGCUCCCCUCUUCGGCUCGGUAGAAUUCUGCAGCAUCUGACACACUGCGCGGCAGAUCCACCAACGCCCCUGGAGAACUCCAAAUCCGGGUCAGUAAGAGGAACCUUUCCUUCACACAUAUGCUCUGCAUAAUAAAAGCCUUACCCGCCACGAUUUUCUUGGCCGCCUAGAUUUCCUGGAGGGUGCACUGGGCUUCGGCUCGGGCAUCGUGUGCGCUCUGGCGGGCCUUGGCAAGUUCGGACUCUUGAUCCUUAAAGUCGCGUCCAAGGACUCACACUUCUUGACGGCAUCCUGGAGCUCUUGCUGGACCUCACUGACCCGGCCUCAUGAUUUUUGCGUGCGGCUCGUUCCUUCGCCGCUUUGUCCUCGGCCUCGGCCAGCACCUUUGAAAGGAUCGAUAUAGUUGACUAGAGGGGGGGGGGGUGAAUAGGCAACUAACAAUUUUUAGCUUUUCUUUACCAAAUUAAACUUUGCAUCAAAGUAGGUUGUCUAGAUAUGCAACUAGGUGAGCAACCUAUAUGAUGCAACAACAACAACCACACAAGCAAGCAAGGGAUACAACACAAAUAAGCUUGCAAAAGUAAAGGCACAAGAUAACCAAGAGUGGAGCCGGUGAAGAGGAGGAUGUGUUACCAAAGUUCCUUCCUUUUGAGGGGAAGUACGUCUCCGUUGGAGCGGUGUGGAGGCACAAUGCUCCCCAAGAAGCCACUAGGGCCACCAUAUUCUCCUCACGCCCUCACACAAUGCGAGAUGCCAUGAUUCCACUACUGGUGCCCUUGAAGGCGGCGACCGAACCUUUACAAACAAGGUUGGGGCAAUCUCCACAACUUAAUUGGAGGCUCCCAACGACACCACAAAGCUUCACCACAAUGGACUAUGGCUUCAAGGUGACCUCAACCGUCUAGGGUGCUCAAACACCCAAGAGUAACAAGAUCCGCUAGGGAUUAGUGGGGAGAAUCAAAUUUCUCUUGGUGGAAGUGUAGAUCGGGGCCUUCUCAACCAAUCCCGAGCAAAUCAACAAGUUUGAUUGGCUAGGGAGAGAGAUCGAGCUAAAAUGGAGCUUGGAGCAACAAUGGAUCUUUGGGGUGGAAGAGGUAGUCUACUAGAGGAAGAAGACACCCCUUAUAUAGUGGAGAGACAAAUCCAACCGUUAUCCACUUAACCAGCCCGCGACCUGUGGUACUACCUCCCCAGACAAGCGAUACUACUACAAGGGCUCAUGGUACUACCGCGGCGGACCGCGGUACUACCGCUGCAACGACAGGAGCUAGUUCAGGCCUGAGCCGCAAAGGCUGAGGGCGGUACUGCCGCUGACGCGGUACUACCGCUCCCCCUUGUGGUACUACCGCAAGGCCGGAUUGGACUAGCCUGGGAAGGGCGCAGAUGAAUAAAAAUACAUCCGUGCCUACUUCCGCUGAAAAUCAAACAGUGCAAAAAUCUGACACGGUACUACCGCACCUGGCAUGCGGUACUACCGCGCAGGGAGCGGAUGUAAAAAAAUACAUCCGCCCCUACUUCCGCUUGUGUUGCUAUGCUAGACCAGGACUCACGGUACUACCGCGCGCAUGGGGCGGUACUACCGUGUAGGGCGCGGAUGUAAAAAAUUACAUCCGCCCCUAUAGCCGCAUGAGCGGCUGAGUCUGGUCCGAGGCCAUGGUACUACAGCUCCUUAGGAGCGGUACUACCGUGUGCACCUACAGUACUACCGCAAGGGCGUGUGGUACUACCGCGGGGGCCUGCGGUACUACCACUCCUAAGAGUAGUACUACCGCAUUCCUCAGAACAACAACACUAGGAAUCCUUCUCUUUGCAAAAUAUGAAGAAAACGGAGGAUGCUCCAAAGCGCAAAGGGAAAGGCGGUGCAAAGGGAGUAAACGUGUACGUGAUGAUUCCACCCGAACCUUUCCAACGCGGACCCCCUCUUAAUAGUACGACUUUCUUACGACUCAAAUCCACCGAAAAGAAAUGUAGAAAAAUCUGGUCUUCAAUAGUCUUCGAGGGGUACCAAACCAUCUUGUGCUUAGUGAUGAAGCAUCUGAAAUACUCAAGGCACAUGAUUAGUCCGCAAAAGCAUUGUCAUCAAUCACCAAAAUACCCUAGGGAUAAAUAUGCCCUUACAAGCUACCCCUUUUUGGUGGAUUGAUGACAAUACGGGAUUUGCACAAGGGGAAAUAAUAUAGACAUAAGGAAACCCCACAUCUCUAAAAUAUAGACGAGCUCCCCCUAGAUGAGUGCUAUCUAGAUAAGUGCUUUGGACUGCAUGACACGUAUACUAGGAUCAACACUCCCCCUAUAUUUUAUAAACAAUGCAUAUCUUGCAACAAUAAGGCUAACACUAAACAAGAUAGUAAAUAUGAGCAUAACAUAAAUAGCACAAUAUAUCAUAAGCUCAAUAAGGUACGAUAGAGUGCAUAUGUCUUACACCAUAUGAUAGACCAAGUCUCACGAGCAAACUAAACCAUAGCAAGCAAGGUUCAACGGAACAAACGCGAGCAAAGCAAACACAAGCAUGACACAAGAAGCACGACACAAGACUCGCAAAUCCCUACACUCUCUCCCCCUUUGGCAUCGAGACGCCAAAAAUGUAGAGAGGACACCUACAACACAAGUGGUGGCUCAAGCGAAGUAAUCAGUCGCACGCUCCUCGUCAGACUCGGCAGCGGGAGCGGUCUCCUCAUUGUCCUCCUCAGAAUCAGUCCACUUGAAGCCUUGUUUUGCCAUCCACUCCGCCUCUGGAGUGAUGCGCUCCUCAGAACCGCCAGAAACAUCCUCUCCAAAAAGGGUCGUAAUCUUCUUGUCGCGACGGCGACCCUCCUUGGAGGCAACAUGAGUCCUGUACUGCCCCUUUGCCUGCAUGCAAAACAAGGUCUUCAUCUUGUUCUUCAGCCUCUUAGCCCAAGAUGGCUCAAAGGUGGGAGGGAUGUAACCCUCAGAGCUGUCCUCGUCCGUUGUCUCCUCCUCAUCCUCAUCCGCAUCCACAUCCAUGGCAACCGCGGCCUCAGCACGAGAAGUGGUGUUAGCCCACUGAGUCUUGACACGGAGCCUGAUGGACUCAUGUCGAAUCCAACCAGGGGCCUCAAAAUCAUCCUGAGGGUAGAGCUUCUCCCAAGUUGCUGAGAUCAAAUGAAACAAAUAAGGUCCAUAGAUGGGGACCUUGCGGUUGAAGACUGCAAACCGAAGCUCACACCACAUGAUAUGUGAGACAUCAAGUGGUAGCGUCUGAGAGUUGUGCGCUUCCUCACACAGGAGCAGCAUGUCCACAAGAGAAGCAUGCACCUUGUCCUUGUCACCAAUGCAUGGGAAGAGAGAGUUGCGGAAGAUCCGGUACAUGAUGUCAAGGAAGGAGUUGAGCACCCAAGAUGACUUGCCACUAGAGAGCUUCUUCUCAAUGAGGAAGGGCUGAAGCUUGUUCUUGUUGGCUGACUCGGGAUUGGCAUGAGGACGAACACCUUGAGAUGUGGCGAGCCCCUCAUCCUGAACACCAAGCAAAUUCAUGAACUCCUUCCAUGUAGCAGUCAGCUGCCGACCAUUGGUCAUCCAAGUCAUAGUCCAUUCCUCAUUAGGAUGGAAGUACACCGAGGCAAAGAACUGAGCCACAAUCUCAGGAUCAAAGUCUUUGUGAAAAGAGAUGAUGUGCUCAAUGCCAAAUUGCUCCACAAGAUCCAAAGUCUCACCAAAGUAGUCCCAGUGCUUCUCUUCCCUCAUAUGAUGCAUGUCAAUCCAGUGCACAUCCACAUAGAUGUUUCGCUUGGCCUUGAUCACAUCCAAAUAAAUGAGAUUUUGCUGCUUGGUCCAGAACAGGUCAUUCCCUCAAAAGUUGGCACGAGGAUGCACAUAGGGAUUGAUCUUCCUUCGAGAGAUGAACUCAGAAAGUGGCAUCUCAUCCAUGCCCAUGAUGGGUUCCUUGUCCUUGGUGGCGGUGGUCUUGGUCCUGCGUUGGGGGGCACUGGAGCCCUCUAGAGCUUCAUCUUGAUUUUGCAAACGCUUGGAGCCCGUGUCACGGCUUGGAUUGGAACAGCGAGCAGAGGCACCAGAGCCACCACCUAAGACACAAAACACAAAAACACGCACAAAAAGCGAGAAAGAUCAAUGCAAAGAACACAACAAAGCAGUUAAACAAGUAGAACUCGCACUUGAUAAUUGCCACAUGAGAGGUUUGACAAUAACAGUAGCAUUGCUUGGUCACGCGGUACUAAAAUUUUAGUGCCGCUCCAAGUCACGGUAGUACCGUGCGGGCGGUAGUACCGCAUGCUGUCAGAUCCGAAACUGCCAGUGGAUCUGAGUACUACCGCGACAACAAAGCGGUACUAUGGUCGAUCAAAUCUACCAUGGGGAAACAUAUCAAGUAGGAUCUCUACGCAUUACUACUCUCCUACACCCUACUCUUGCAAAGAUUUAGCCUAAAAUCUCAAGAACCGCAUGCANNNNNNNNNNNNNNNNNNNNNNNNNNNNNNNNNNNNNNNNNNNNNNNNNNNNNNNNNNNNNNNNNNNNNNNNNNNNNNNNNNNNNNNNNNNNNNNNNNNNNNNNNNNNNNNNNNNNNNNNNNNNNNNNNNNNNNNNNNNNNNNNNNNNNNNNNNNNNNNNNNNNNNNNNNNNNNNNNNNNNNNNNNNNNNNNNNNNNNNNNNNNNNNNNNNNNNNNNNNNNNNNNNNNNNNNCUUGGUCACGCGGUACUAAAAUUUUAGUGCCGCUCCAAGUCACGAUAGUACCGCGUGGGCGGUAGUACCGCGCUAGAGGUGCGGUAGUACCGCACGCUGUCAGAUCCAAAACUGCCAGUGGAUCUGAGUACUACCGCGACAACAAAGCGGUACUACGGUCGAUCAAAUCUACCAUGGGGAAACAUAUCAAGUAGGAUCUCUACGCAUUACUACUCUCCUACACCCUACUCUUGCAAAGAUUUAGCCUAAAAUCUCAAGAACCACAUGCAUCUCCCCAAAAACCUAGAAACAAAAGAACGAACCAACAAGAGAGGGAUUUGGGGAGAAACCUUGGUCCAUGGCAAGUGGACGUGGUGGGGAACGAUCCCACCAGUUGGAAUCCGAGGAGAGCGGCCGGAGACGGAGAUCCGGCGAGGGCCUCCGGCAUCGUUCUUGGGCAGGAGAGAGAGAGAGGCGGCGUGGGGAGAAAGAGUGAAUGGGUAUGGGGGAGUUAGAACCCCCCUGCCCGCUCUUAACCCCCACGCGCUCGCUACUCUGCGGUAGUACCGUGCGUCAUUGCGGUAGUACCACACCAUGGGCGGUAGUACUGCUCCACCAGCGGCGGUAAAAAAUUACUGUCGUGCUGGUUGCGGUAGUACCGUGUCCUUGCGGUAGUACCGUGGCAGGCCACGGUAGUAUCGUGAACCCAAGAAAAUGCAGUUUCAAACAAAAGGAAGAAACACCUUUGCACGGGAUCUUCAAGCGAACGAACACACCAAUGAGCUAACAAAUGAGACACCACAAGCACAAGCUUGGGACGAAGAGAGAAAAGCAAGAGACAACAAGGACCAACAAUGAGACACAACCUCUCCAAGGAGAGGGCGGUGGCCGGAGCCACCUAUGUUUGAGUCGAUUGGUAUGGCACCGCAAAGAAUUAUCCUUGGGCCCAUGACCAAAACUCGUCUUUGAAGCACACGUACCAUCAAAAAUGGCUAAUGUGAAAGAGUUGAUCAAUUUAUGCAUAAUGGGGGGAGGGAGAGUUCAUUGAGAGAACAACACUCUCCCUAUGUCCAUGCCUACACCUAAACUAGACAACAAGUUGAGUGUGGUGGGGUGUGCAAGGGUUCAAGUCACAUUGCUCGAAUCAAUGAUAUUUAGCUCAUGCCGUAACUCGCAAAAUCUUGCUUCAUCCAAGGGCUUCAUGAAAAUAUCUGCAAGGUUAUCACGAGUGUUGACAAAGUUGAGCUCGAUCUCCCCUCGCCUAAUAUGAUCCCGGAUGAAGUGAUACCGAAUCUCAAUAUGCUUCGUCUUGAAGUGUUGCACCGGCUUGAGAGAAAUCUUGAUGGCACUUUCAUUGUCACACAAAAGAGGCACUUUGUCACAAAUGACACCGUAAUCCUUUAAAGUGUGCCUCAUCCAUAAGAGUUGUGCACAACAACUACCGGUCACCACAUACUCCACUUCGGUGGACGAGAGAGACACACAACUUUGCUUCUUGGAAGACCAACUCACCAAAGAGCAACCAAGAAAUUGGCACCCUCCGGAAGUGGACUUCCUACCCACUUUGUCUCCCGCCCAAUCGGUACCCGAAUAUCCUACAAGCUUGAAGUUUGCUCCUCUUGGGUACCAUAAGCCAAUGUUUGGGGUAUGAGCCAAAUAUCGAAAGAUUCGUUUGACCGCCACAAAGUGGCUCUCCUUAGGUGCGGCUUGAAACCAUGCACAAAUUCCCACACUCAACAUGAUAUCCGGUCUAGAUGCACAAAGGUAAAGCAAGGAUCCAAUCAUGGAGCAAUAUACAUUUUGAUCCACCGCUUUACCAUUGGGAUCAAUUUCAAGUUGGCACUUGGUGGGCAUUGGAGUGGAAGCCGGCUUGACAUCACUUAGCUUGAAUCUCUUGAGCAUGUCUUGAGUGUAUUUGGCUUGGUUGAUGAAGGUUCCUUCUCUUCUUUUCUUGAUUUCAAACCCGAGAAAGAACUUCAACUCUCCCAUCAUAGACAUCUUGAUCUUUGAGGUCAUGAGAGCGGAAAAUUCUUCAUUGAAAGCUUUGUUAGGGGAACCAAAAAUAAUAUCAUCAACAUAUAGUUGGCACACAAACAACUCCCCUUUGACCUUAUUAGUAAAAAGAGUGGGGUCGAUUUUCCCAAUUUCGAACCCAUGAUCUUGUAACAACUCCGUAAGAUGCUCAUACCACGCAUGUGGGGCUUGUUUAAGGCCAUAGAGCGCCUUAUGGAGUUGUUACACGUGAUCGGGGAAAUAGGGAUCUUCGAACCCGGGGGGUUGUUUGACAUACACCAACUCAUUAAUGGGACCAUUAAGAAAAUCACUCUUCACAUCCAUUUGUUGCAAUGUGAAAUUAUGAUGAGAAGCAUAAGCAAUCAACAAACGAAUAUAUUCAAGGCGAGCAACGGGAGCAAAGGUUUCACCGUAGUCGAUACCCUCGACUUGGGAGUAGCCUUGUGCCACCAAACGAGCCUUGUUGCGAACAAUGAUCCCAUGACCAUCUUGCUUGUUCUUGAAUAUCCACUUGGUUCCAAUGACAUUAUGAUUCCUGGUUGGCCUUGGCACUAAUUUCCACACUUGGUUAUGCUCGAAGUUGUUGAGUUCUUCAUGCAUGGCAUUGAGCCAAUCCGGGUCCUCGAGCGCCUCAUAAACCUUUUGGGGUUAGACACAAGAAAAAAAUGCAUGAUGUUCACAAUAGUUUGCUAAUUGUCUACAAGUGCUUACCCCCUUUCUUAGGUUUCCAACCACAUUCUCCAUAAGAAUACCCUUGGUGGUGAUCUUGGAAGCGAUCUUCGCGGCACGACGCUCUAAUUCCUCCUCGGAUGUGAAAAUAGGAGGAGCAUCAUCUUGAGCGCCGUCUUGAGCUUGUUCUUGAUCUUGAGCUUGCUCUUGAUCUUGAACUUGCUCGAAGGGGAGAACUUGACCUUGGGCAUCAUUUGGUGGUUCAUCACCAUCUUGAGGUUGAUCUUUCCCUUGAUCUUGUUCAUGAGGUUGAGGGCCUUCACUUUGUUCUUCAGAAGCGUGUGGGUCUUGGGUUGGUGAUGGCUCCACUUGAGUGGAGCAUUGUCGUUCUCCUUCAGCCACAAGGGGUUCCUCAAUGGGUAGAAUAUUACCAACACCCAUUCUUCUUAUGGCUUGGGAGGAAUUUCAUCACCUACAUCACAAGUACCACUUUGCUCUACUUGGGAGCCGUUAUUUUCAUCAAACUCUAUGUCACACGUCUCCUCAAUGAGUCCGACGGACUUGUGGAGAACACGGUAAGCAUGAGCGUUUGUAGCAUAACCAACAAAUAUGUCCUCAUAAGCUCUAGCCUCAAAUUUAGACAAAUGAACACCUUUAUUGAGAAUGAAACACUUACACCCGAACACCCGAAAGUACUUGAGGUUGGUCUUGUUAUCGGUAAGUAUUUGAUAAGGAGUCUUGUUCAAGCCUUUGCGGAGAUAGAGCCGAUUGGAUGCAUGACAUGCUGUGUUGAUGGCUUCGGCCCAAAAGUUGUAUGGAGACUUGAACUCUGCCAUCAUGGUGCUUGCCGCAUCCAUCAACGUCCGAUUCUUCCUCUCCACGACACCAUUUUGUUGAGGGGUAUAUGGUGCAGAAUAUUGAUGCUUGACCCCUCAUCACUAAGAAAAGCAUCCAAGGUGUAGUUCUUGAACUGGGUGCCGUUGUCACUUCUUAUUGUCAAGAUCUUUGCAUCAUGUUGACGUUGAGCUUCAUUUGCAAAGUCGAUGAUGGUUUGUUGAGUCUCACUCUUCCUCUUGAAGAAGUAUACCCAAGUGUAUCUUGAAUAAUCAUCCACAAUCACCAAGCAAUACUUUCUACCUCCAAGACUAUCAAUGGAUGGAAGCCCAAAGAGAUCCAUGUGAAGGAGCUCCAAGGGUCUCUUCGAGUAGAUGAUAGUCGUGGGAGGGUGAGCCUUCUCAUGAAGCUUUCCUUUGAUACAAGCACUGCAAGCAUGAUCUUUGGCAAAACUAACAUUUGUUAGUCCACGGACAUGGUCCCCCUUGAGAAGACUUUGCAAAGAUCUCAUAUUGAUGUGGUCUAAACAACGAUGCCAAAGCCAUCCCACAUCAACUUUAGCCAUUAGGCAUGUCGCGGGCUUAGUGGGUCGCUCCGAAAAGUUAAUCACAUAAAGACCGUUCUCGACAUGCCCAACAAAGGCUACUUUAAGAGUCUUUCUCCACAACAGGGCCACGAUAUCAAUAUCAAAGAAAGUGGCAAAGCCCAUGAGUGCAAGUUGACGAACAGAAAGUAGAUUGUAAGCAAGGGACUCAACAAGCAUGACUUUCUCGAUUGUUAGAUCGUGAGAAAUGACAACCUUGCCAAGACCCAAUACCUUAGAAGAUGAGGCAUCACCCAACUCGACGUUGGUGGGCAUAGAAGGGAUCUUGUGCACGUCCACCACCAAGUCCUUGCUUCUGGUCAUAUGAUUUUUUGCUCCACUAUCGGGCAACCAUGAUCCUCCACCGGAAGCAAACACCUACAAGAGAUCAAUGCUUGGUUUUAGGUACCCAUUUUGUAAUGGGUCCUUUGAUGUUAGUAACAAGGGUCUUAGGAACCCAAAUAGACCAUUCAAUGUACUCAUAAGGAGAACCAACAAAUUUAGCAUAAACAUGCCCAUCACUAGCACGACACAACACAUAAGAAGGGUUAAAGUCGCCGGCUUUGUUGGAAGGGGUGGCAUUGCCCUUUUUGACAUUACGACCUUUCACAUUGUUCUUCUUCUCCUUAGGAGCACCCUCUCCCUCCUUCACAAAAUUUUGCUUGGGAGGGGGAGGUCGUUUGGCCUUGUCGUUCUUCUUCUUAUUCUUGGACUUGGGUACGAACCCAAUUCCCUCCUUGGCCACAACUUCCUUUUGAUUGCUCAAAAGGUCAUUGAGGUUCUUUUCACCUUGUAUGCACGUCACAAGGCCUUUCUCAAGUUGCUCCUUCAACUUGGCAUUCUUCUCCACAAGAUGCACAUGCUCACAACACGGGUUAGUGGCAUUUGCAUUAUCAAUUAAUACCAUAUGAGGAAAGGUGGUUUUUUCUUUGGUUAGCUUCACUUGGAGUUGAUCAUGAGACUCCUUGAGGCUAGCAUGAGCACCCUUCAAGACAUUGUGGGCCUUGUCGAGUAUAUCAAACUCCUCCUUGAGUCUAGCAUGGUCAACGCCAAGUUUAGCCUUCUCGGAAGUUAGUACACGAUAUACAACAAGAGCAUGAUCAAGAUCUUUCUUUAACUUAGCAUGGUCAUCGUUAUGUGAUUCCUCAAGAGCCAAAUGAUUCCCACGCUCUUCCUCAAGAGCAUUAGAGAGAUCCGAUAUCUCAUCAGCAUAGUUACGACUAUGACCUUCCAUCUUAGAGAUGGUUUCUUCAUGAGCCUUGAUCAUGUCAUUGGCUUCACCAAGUUGUUCCAAGAGAGCAACGAAGUGCUUCUUGGAUUUUCCCUUGAGCUUACUCAUAAAAUACUCAAAUUCAUUCACUUCCUCAUUAGACCCCUCACUUUCAUCAAUGUCAUCCGUCAAGGAGGGAUUAGUAAUGAUGGUGGUUUUGAUGUUGGGGGUUACCUUGUUGGCGGCUUUAGCCAUGAGACACUUGGCGAUGAUGUUCUCAUUGGGCGAGUCGAAGAGGGACACCCGUGGAGUUGUGGCAAUGGCAAUGGAGGCCAUGGCCAUGGCUUCACUAUCUUCAUCAUCAUCGUCAUCCUCAUGGUACUGUUCUUGAACCACCAACCCUCGAGUAGGAGUCUUUUUGGUGAAGUUGUUCUUGUUUGGGAAGGACUUGGCUUUGUCUUUUUGGAUGAGCUUGCCACCAUUGUCUUCCCGCUUCUCGUAAGGGCAAUCCACAACAAAGUGGCUCACAUUGCCACAAUUGUAACAUGUUCUCACACGUUGCUUGACCAUGAACCCACUUGAGUUGUUCUUGUUGAAGUUGGGACUUGUGUUCUUCUUGCUCCAAAAUUGCCUUGAAGCAAGAGCCAUGUGCUCACGAUAAUCAUAUAUUGUAUCUUCGGGGUUGAUCUCCUCAUCUUCCUCUUAUUCCACAAUAACCUUGGCCUUCAAGGCAAUGUUGGGCUUCUUUGCUCUUUGAGAAUGCAACACCGCAUUGUCGGCAUUUUUUUCCAAGAUCCUCAUUGCCACAAACUCAUCCAACACUUCAUUUGAGGUCAAGGAGUGGAAGUCCGGUCUUUGACGGAUGAUGGAGGACAUGGCCUUGUGGUAAGGCAUCAUUGCUUUGAGGAACUUGCGCCUGAUCCAAUUUUCAUCCGUGUCCUUGCUCCCAUGAUCUCGGAGUGAGACUGCGAGUUUGGUUACUCUCCGAAAGAGCUCACGAGGUUCUUCAUCUUCUUUCAUUGCAAACUCAUCGGCUUCAUCUUGCACCACUUCAUAGUUGGAGCGUUGAAUGCUUGUGCUUCCCUUAUAGAGGGAAACAACACAAUGCCAUGCAUAUUUGGCCAUGGCGAAGGGUCGAAGAUGAGGGAGAGCUUCGGGUGGAACCGCAUCUUGAAUGAUGAAGAGAGCAUUCUCAUUGAAUUGAUUAUCCACGGCUUCUCUCGGGGUGAAGUUGCUUCGGUCAUGUGGAUGGAAACCUUCUUCAAUGAUUAUCCAAAGAUUAGUAUUCACAUGAUUUAAAUGAUUCUUGAAGCAAUAAACCCAAGAAUCAAAGUCCUCAUUUUUCACAAUCUUAGGAGGAGGGCCGGCAUGAUUUAAAUGAGUGGAGGGAAUCGGUCCUCCAUAAAUUGGAGGUUCCACAUUGGCAAAGAUGCCGGUGCCAUUUCUACCACUAGUAAAAGGACUCUUUUCACUAGUAGCACCUUGUUAGUGGGAUCACCCACUUUCAUCGGUGAGGUAGAUAGUUUAAGUCCUUCUAAGAAUUUAUUAAACAUGCUUUCAACCUCGGUUGUCGUGGAGGUUUUCAAUGUGUCCAAAGCCACAUUGAAUUCCUCACGAGAAACCGCGGUUCCCCCAUCGGCCGUAGACGAGCCCGGAUUCACACUGGAGUGCUCCUCCACACCAUCUACGGUGUCAACCAUACUCUUUGGACGGCAAAGUCCUUAAUAAAGAGACGAGGCUCUGAUACCAAUUGAAAGGAUCGAUAUAGUUGACUAGAGGGGGGGGGGUGAAUAGGCAACUAACAAUUUUUAGCUUUUCUUUACCAAAUUAAACUUUGCAUCAUAGUAGGUUGUAUAGAUAUGAAACUAGGUGAACAACCUAUAUGAUGCAACAACAACAAGCACACAAGCAAGCAAGGGAUACAACACAAAUAAGCUUGCAAAAGUAAAGGCACGAGAUAACCAAGAGUGGAGCUGGUGAAGACGAGGAUGUGUUACCGACGUUCCUUCCUUUUGAGGGGAAGUACGUCUCCGUUGGAGCCGUGUGGAGACACAAUGCUCCCCAAGAAGCCACUAGAGCCACCGUAUUCUCCUCACGCCCUCAUACAAUGCGAGAUGCCGUGAUUCUAAUAUUGGUGCCCUUGAAAGCGGCGACUGGACCUUUACAAACAAGGUUGGGGAAAUCUCCACAACUUAAUUGGAGGCUCCCAAUGACACCAUGAAGCUUCACCACAAUGGACUAUGGCUCCGAGGUGACCUCAACCGUCUAGGGUGCUCAAACACCCAAGAGUAACAAGAUCCGCUAGGGAUUAGUGGGGGGAAUCAAAUUUCUCUUGGUGGAAGUGUAGAUCGGGGCCUUCUCAACCAAUCCCGAGCAAAUCAACAAGUUUGAUUUGCUAGGGAGAGAAAUCGGGCGAAAAUGGAGCUUGGAGCAACAAUGGAGCUUUGGGGUGGAAGAGGUAGUCUACUAGAGGAAGAAGACACCCCUUAUAUAGUGGAGAGACAAAUCCAACCGUUAUCCACUUAACCAGCCCGCGACCUGCGCUACUACCAUCCCAGACAAGCGGUACUACCGCAAGGGCUCACGGUACAACCGCGGUGUACCGCGGUACUACCACUGCACAACAGGAGCUAGUCCAGGCCUGAGCCGCAGAGGCUGAGGGUGGUACUGCCGCUGACGCGGUACUACCGCUCCCCCUUGCGGUACUACCGCAAGGCCGGAUUGGAGUAGCCUGGGAAGGGCGCGGAUGAAUAAAAAUACAUCCAUGCCUACUUCCGCUGAAAAUCAAACAGUGCAAAAAUCCGACACGGUACUACCGCACCUGGCAUGCGGUGCUACCGCGCAGGGAGCGGAUGUAAAAAAUUACAUCUUCCCCUACUUCCGCUCAUGUUGCUGUGCUAGACCAGGACUCAUGGUACUACCGCACGCAUGGGGUGGUACUAUCGCGUAGGGCACGGAUGUAAAAAAUUAUAUCCGCCCCUACAGCCGCACGAGCGGCUGAGUCUGGUUCCGAGGCCACGGUACUAGAGCUCCUUAGGAGCGGUACUACCGUGUGCACCUACGGUACUACCGCAAGGCGUGCGGUACUACCGCGGGGGCCUGCGGUACUACCGCUCCUAAGAGCAGUACUACCGCAUGCCUCAGAACAACAACACUAGGAAUCCUUCUCUUUGCAAAAUAUGAAGAAAACGGAGGAUGCUCCAAAGCGCAAAGGGAAAGGCGGUGCAAAGGGAGUAAAUGUGUAUGUGAUGAUUACACCCGAACCUUUCCAAUGCGGACCCCCUCUUAAUAGUACGGCUUUCCUACGACUCAAAUCCACCAAAAAGAAAUGUAGAAAAACACCAUCUUCAAUAGUCUUCGAGGGGUACCAAACCGUCUUGUGCCUAGUGACAAAGCGUCUGAAAUACUCAAGGCACACGAUUAGUCCGCAAAAGCAUUGUCAUCAAUCACCAAAAGACCUUAGGGAUAAAUAUGCCCUUACAACCUUCUUGAGGGCCUCUACUUCGGUCGUUGCCCCUAAUAAAUAUCAUGGCACUCUAGUCAGCACAAAUCAUUCAUCCUUCCUGAAUAUAUAAAAGGUUACUACAUACCUUCACUGUCCUCCAACUGCUUCUUCACGCAGCCGAGCUCUUCCUCGGCCCGCUCCAGACUCUGCUUCAAUCCAGAGACUUCCGUAGUAUGAAGGUCGCAGCCAGUAGCGACACCUGCUUAUUCACAUAGACAUUUUAGAUUAGUCUCCUGUGAAAAUUAUUUGAUCCUCUGCCCAGCUUGUCUUUUCGAACACCGGGCAAUGUCUCGGGGGCUACUGUCUAUACUGUGACAUUAUUUUUAUACAAUUACAUUACUUACCUCAAAGCCUGUUAAAAGGCUAGUGCAGGCUUCGGUCAGUCCGCUUUUUGCGGACUGGAUCCUCUCAAUCACCGUACCCAUAAGGGUACGGCGUUCCUCGACAAUGGAAGUGCCUCGCAGCGCUUCCAGCAAAGUGUCCGUCACCUCUGGAUGAACAGAGGUCACCAGUGCAAUAGGCUCCUUUCCUUUGGAAAGGGGUGCUUGCCUGAUUCCGGAGCCGCAUGGGUCUCCGGAAUUAUAUUCGGUUGGGGACCGAAUUGGAUACGGCCCCAAUCGUUAGUAUCCAUGGGGGUUUGCUCCCCCAUGUGUCCGGCAGCCGAGGCUUCACCCUCCGACGCCUCCCGGACGGCCUCUAGAUUCUCUCCCGGGCCUGGAAUUCUUCGGGACGACGCCUCGGCGCCAUCCGUUUCCUUGGAAGAGGAGGCUGCGGGAAGGGUUCCGCUGUCCAUUGCGUCCGGGUCUAGUGAAUCCUACGAAGAUAGGGUCCGCUCAAGGUUGGACCCAGCCAGACUGCAAAUACAUAAUUCAGGACAUUAAAACAAUGAAGUAAAGAGGCUGGAUACAUGAACAUGUCCGGAAACUUACGAUUUGGCCAGGGGCUUGUCCCAGGGCUCCCACUCCCAGCUGCUAUCGGUGGCUGCUGCGGAGCUGUCCGGAAGGGAGGUUUUCCCCUUCUUGGACGCCUCGGCCUCUAGAUGUGUGGAGGCCGUCCUCUUCUUUCUCCCCCCUGCAGGGGGAAUGGCUUUCUUCUUCCUCCUCCUCUUCCUCGUCGUCCUCAGUGGCGGAGGAGUGCGCCUCGGCUUCUUCCGACAUCACAUACAAAUUGCCCUUGCGACGGAGACCAGCUCUGGUCUGUCACAUCCUUAGCUUCCGGCAAUGCACUAGGCUAGCCUCAUGAGUGUUAUCAUGUCUAAGUUUCAAAUUAACUUGAAAUGGGGACUGCCUAAACCCUAGCAUCAAGAGAAUUCACUAGGUUCACCUAAAAUAUUUUCAGUAAAUCCAAAUGGCUUUCAAAAAUGUUCAUCAUUUAUGGAAAAUGCUGUAAAUAGCAACCAGAGGUGAUGCACAUUUUUCUAUGACAUAUUUGGGCUCUGAAUUAAAUCAUAUUGUAUUUGCAGUUGGGCAUUUAAAUGCUAAAAAUAUUUUAAGUGCUCAAAUAAUCAUAAACUAAAAUGUUUGCUGUUGGUUAUUUUCCAAACAGUGGCAUUGAGAAGUUUCAUGAUUUCUGGAUCUGUCUAGGUAUUUUUAAUAAAGCCCAUAACAAAAUAGCAAAAUAGAAAAACAGAAGAGAGAGAGAGAGAGAGAGAAAGAGAGAGAUAGAGAAGGACUCACCUGGUCUCACCUUUGCAGCCCACCUGACUGGCCCAGGAGCUGGCCCAGCCCACCACCGCCACCUCCUUGUCGUCUUCCUCCCCCGCCAGAAGGACGGAGGCGCGUGCCCGCCCCGCGCCGGCCACCUCGUCCCUCCCUGCCUUCCUGGCUCCUCUCCAGUGCUCCUAGACGAUGCCAGGGAGACGCCACACAACCCCAAGACCCCUCUCACUCUCCCUGUGUCGGUGUCAAAACCGGCGGAUCUCGGGUAGGGGGUCCCGAACUGUGCGUCUAAGGCUAAUGGUAACAUGAGGCAGGGGACACGAUGUUUUACCCAGGUUCGGGCCCUCUCGAUGGAGGUAAUACCCUACUUCCUGCUUGAUUGAUCUUGAUGAUAUGAGUAUUACAAGAGUUGAUCUACCACGAGAUCGUAGAGUCUAAACCCUAGAAGCUAGCCUAUGAUCAUGAUUGUUCUCGUCCUACGGACUAAACCCUCCGGUUUAUAUAGACACUGGAGGGGGCUAGGGUUACACAGAGUCGGUUACAGAGAAGGAGAUCUACAUAUCUGAAUUGACAAGCUUGCCUUCCACGCAAAGGAGAGUCCCAUCCGGACAUGGGACGAAGUCUUCAAUCUUGUAUCUUCAUAGUCCAACAGUCUGGCCAAAGUAUAUAGUCCGGCUGUCCGAGGACCCCUUACUCCAGGACUCCCUCAGUAGCCCCUGAACCAGGCUUCAAUGACGAUGAGUCCGGCGCGCAGAUUGUCUUCGGCAUUGCAAGGCAGGUUCCUUCUCCGAAUACUCCAUAGAAGAUUUUGAACACAAGAAUCGUGUCCGGCUCUGCGAAACAAAUUCCACAUACCACCGUAGAGAGCACAAUAUUCCACAAAUCUAAUCUACUGACAACUUUUCAUAGCGUGACGUCACGCCACGGCCCGGUCUUUACUCGAACCGUUUUUCACAACCAGCCACUACCGUGCUGCGAGGCAGUUUUAUUGGCACGUCUUGUCGAAGCAGAGAUCGUGUUCCCCUUAUCACGGGAUUCUCAUCAAUACAGGUGUGGGUAACCCAACCAUGUUUGUUUAAUAUGACUCCUCGAUUUUAGGCAAGUCCCAAACGGUCACGCGGGGGACAUUUGAUAUUCGUCCUCUUUAUAAGGGGGCCAAGGCCUGUCCUUUUCUUCCCAUGCUCGAUCCUCCUCCUCCCGCAUCUCGAGUUCCAACACCCAAGGCUGAAGCUAGGCAAUUUGAACCUUCAACCAUGUCCGGAUCCAACCUUCAAGGCCGAUGGAUGGCCUCCUCUGCCACAGAGGAGGACAUCAAGAAGCUUAGGGAGGCCAGGUAUCUCACCGCCGAAAUCCCGCACAGGCUGCCUGCUAAAGGGCAGGUCAUCCCCACUCCCGAACCCAACGAGAGUGUCGUAUUUAUUUCCCACUUCCUCCGAGGGCUAGGUUUUAGUCUUGAUCCCUUCGUGAGAGGGCUCAUGUUCUACUACGGGCUAGAUUUCCACGAUCUAGCUCUGGACUCCAUCCUUCACAUCUCGUCGUUUAUUGUCGUGUGUGAAGCCUUCCUCCACAUCACCCCCCACUUCGGCCUAUGGCUCAAGACUUUCAAUGUGAGGCCGAAGGUGAUCGACGGGCGUCACGCGGAGUGCGGAGGCCCUAUAAUAAGCAAAGGUGCUGAUGCCCCAUGGCCAAAGGGUUCCUUUACAGAAACUUCUGACUUAUGGCAACAAGAGUGCUUUUACAUUAUGGCUCCCCAAGGUACAAAGCGGGUGGCCGCUCCAAUGUUCCGCUUGGGCCCUCCACCGCAACUGGCAUCAUGGGUCAACAAGGGGCUGGACUGGGGGCCAGUUAAUGACGUGCUAACACUGCAAAGCCGCAUCCAAGACCUUCUUAAGAAGGAUGUCAGUCUCGUCAAGAUAAUGCAAGUAAUGCUGGUUCAUUGGGUCCUGCCCUGCCAACGUCGACCUCUCCGCAUGUGGGAGUUCAACCCGGAAGGACCGUGAACCAUUCAACAAUUCUUCAGCCUGACGCUCGAAGAGAUGUAUGGGUUGUUCUUCGGAUCACGAAUAAAGUGUCCGGACGCCACCGAGGACGUGGAUCUCAACUGCAACCGUCCGGAUACCCAAGUAAGUAAUUCUUUUACCGAACACACCGUCCUUAACAUUUGUUGUAAUAUCAUUUUGAAAAAUUAUCCUCUGCCAUGACUGGAUAAGGAAGGCGAAGAGGAUUAGGUGUUCGGCCCCUCUCCCCAAAGGCUUGCCGGAUCCUUUGUUGAUCAGGAUGCUUGAGCGCGUGCCGUAUCAGGUGCCAUCAGGAGAAGAUGAGGGGAGGAAUAGAGAAGCCAUCGAUGGGCUUCAUACUUUACACAUCCAAAUCGGGGGAGUAAGUGCUCCGCAAAGGAGGAUAAUCGGGGAGGUGAAUCCGAAAUCCCCUCUCCCCACGGUAAGAAAAGGGCUGCCUUCGAAGACUUGGAAACAGAGGUUUCUAAGCGAGGGAAGAAACCCUCACCAGGGGCCCCUGCGCCAGAGGGCGUCCUUACCGUACAACACCCGCAAGGGGGCCAGUCCUCAACCGAGUUGUAAGUGAAAAAAGGUACUUUGGUAAGUAUAUCCUGUUUUGUCUUUGAGAAUAAUAACCGAGACAUAUUUGUUCCAGUUCGGCUCAUAGCCCUUCUCCGCAGAGUUCGUCUUCGGGGGAUCUUCCUCCGGAGAUGAUGGAGAGUGAAACGCCUCCUCCUGCCUCCCCGCCACAUGGGGCGGACGACCCCGAGGUGUCGUCACGGAGGAUUUCUCCUGAUCCGCCAAGGCCAGAAGUUGACACUUCGGCUGCCCAUAGUCCGGAAUGUACGACUCCCAAGGAGAGCUUUGGGAGGAGUCCGGGAUUGUCCGUCUGAAAGUGCAACUAUCCCUAGGUGGUUUUGGUAAUUCAUAACAACAUAUAGCUCAUUGAGCUAAUGCUAUUCCAAGACUAUUAUUUCAAGAAGGUCAAUGAAUGGCAUGGCAUGGAUGAUGAAAGUGGAUCCCUCAAAAUAUCAAGGACAAAGGAUUGGCUCAAGCUCAAAAGCUCAAGACUCUUCAUUUUACAUUUUAAGUGAUCCAAGAUCACAUUGAGUCUAUAGGAAAAGCCAAUACUAUCAAGGAGGGAUGAGGUGUUGCUUAAUGAGCCUCUUGCUUCAUGUGCUUAGUGAUAUGCUCCAAAACCCUCAACUACUUUCUCACAUCCACAUAUGACCUAAACCUAAUGCCAAAUCGGUCACACCGAUUCUUUCUAUCCGGCGCCACCGAGUUCAGAUGUCAUAGCCACUGCCACAAACCCUAGGCAAAUCGGUCUCACCGAUAGGGAUCUCGGUCUCACCGAGAUGGGAUUGUAAUCUCUCUGUUUCCCUUCGUAAUGUUUCAGUCUAACCGAAGUGAGCGAUCGGUCCCAUCAAGAUUGCAAUGUAAACUCUCUGUUUCCCUUUUGUAACAUUUAGGUCUCACCGAAAAGAGCAAAUCGGUCCCACCGAGUUUACCUGACCAACUCUCUGGUUAGCUAAUUACCAAAAUCGGUCUCACCGAGUUUGUGUAUUCGGUCUCACCGAGAUUACGUUAUGCCCUAACCCUAACCAUAUCGGUCCUACCGAGUUGCAUUUCGGUCCCACCGAAAAUCCUAACGGUCACUAGGUUUACUAAAUCGGUCUGACCGAGUUUGUUGAUUCGGUCCCACCGAGAUUGGUAAAUUGUGUGUAACGGUUAGAUUUUGUGUGGAGGCUAUAUAUACCCCUCCACCUCCUCUUCAUUCAUGGAGAGAGCCAUCAGAACAAACCUACACUUCCAACUUACCAGUUCUGAGAGAGAACUACCUACUCAUGUGUUGAGGCCAAGAUAUUUCAUUCCUACCAUAUGAAUCUUGAUCUCUAGCCUUCCCCAAGUUGCUUUCCACUCAAAUCUUCUUCCCACCAGAUCCAAAUCCUAUGAGAGAGAGUUGAGUGUUGGGGAUACUAUCAUUUGAAGCACAAGAGCAAGGAGUUCAUCAUCAAUGCACCAUUUGUUACUUGUUGGAGAGUGGUGUCUCCUAGAUUGGCUAGGUGUCACUUGGGAGCCUCUGACAAAGAUUGUGGAGUUGAACCAAGGAGUUUGUAAGGGCAAGGAGAUCGCCUACUUCGUGAAGAUCUACCGCUAGUGAGGCAAGUCCUUCGUGGGCGACGGCCAUGGUGGGAUAGACAAGGUUGCUUCUUCGUGGACCCUUCGUGGGUGGAGCCCUCUGUGGACUCGCGCAACUGUUACCCUUCGUGGGUUGAAGUCUCCAUCAACGUGGAUGUAUGAUAGCACCACCUAUCAGAACCACGCCAAAAACAUCCGUGUCUCCAACUGUGUUUGAAUCCUCCAAACCCUUCCCUUUACUUUCUUGCAAGUUGCAUGCUUUAAUUUCCACUGCCUAUAUACUCUUUGCAUGCUUGCUUGAUUUGUGUGAAGAUUGCUUGACUUGUCCAAAGAUUGUUAAAAUCUGCCAAACUCUUAAAUUGGGAAAAGUUAAGUUUUUAAUUGGUCAAGUAGUCUAAUCACCCCCCCUCUAGACAUACUUCAAGGUCCUACAUCGUCACACAGCCGGACACACUGAUGGGUCUUCUGGAGCGAGCGGCCAUCUCAGAGACACAUCGUGCCUUAAUGGGUACGGUGGUUGAGAGGAUUUCAUCCACCCAAAGUGGUUUGAAUGAAGCUUUUAUGAGUCUGCUAAGAGGUUUUGAGGUAUGCAAAAAAUAAUACAUGUAUUUUUUAUGGUACCGCACAUGCUAGGUGUGCCCUGUAUAGAUAGUAGCCCCUGAGACUCUGGUUACCAUCCAAAGGUGGCAAAUAGAGGAUCAUAAUCUCUGGUAAUAAUCGUGCUGCUUUAUGUGCAGGCGGCUGAGGGUCCGGUGGCUGACCGGACUGCUGAUUUUGUCGAACUGAAGCGGCAGCUUGACGUGGCCAAUGCCGACAUCGUGCUUGUUAACAAGCGGCUUGACGAGGCCCAGGGUAUGUAUGUUCUUGUCAGCAAAUUUUUUAAGAGGAGCACGAUGCUAGUAUCUAUGAUAUGCGUGACUGCAGAUGGAGCUGCCGCUGUAGAGACCCUUCGGCCGGAGCUUGCCCGAGCCAAGGAGCAAGCCCGAAUAAGUGAUGCGUCCGCUCUGAAGGCGGUCGAAGAGUUAAGAGCCGAACAGGCUGCUCAUCGCCAGAGUGAAAAAAAGAUAGCCCAGAUGGCUGCUGAGCUGAUGGGUGCCGCCGACCGCCAUGAGCUCCUUGAAAAGGAAAACCAAGUGAAAGUGGCUGACCUGAAGAAGGCCCUGGAGGCAGCCAAGGAAACCCGCUCUGAAAUGAGAGGGAUAAGGGAGGAGCUUCGUGAAGCCAGAGAUAUCAUGGCUGGGAGGCCUUAUUUGUUGCGAAUGAAGUUCGGAGACCCGAAGUAUGCCCCUCUGGAUCAGUUGUGGAGUGCUGCGGACACGUAUGCGGACAUGGCAAAGAGUGCUGCUGAUGCGAACGAAUUUUACAAAGAUCGGAAAGACAAUAAGGUGGAAAGGUUAUUCUGGUCGCAGUUCAGUGCCCCGACUCGUCCUCUGCCCUUGAAUGAAAGGAUGGCUGCAUGGGCCGAGCUCCAUAGGUUCUCUGGGCUUGCUAUGAGGUCUGUCAUGGAUCAUCUUUGGCCACGGGGACCAAGGCCGGACAGUUAUUUUGGAUUAGUGCAACAAUUCCUUGGUGCUGUGUCGCAUAUCGAUGCUGUUAAGAGGUCGGCAUGCAUAGAGGGUGCGUGGAUGGCUCUUGCCCGUGUUAAAACAUACUGGGCAGGGAUGGAAACCGCCGCUAUUGUAACCCGGGGUCCGACGGGAGGCCAGGACCCAGCCGGGCACUAUUUUGAAGAAGUCCUAGAAGGUGCCAGUUUAAUAGAGGCUCAGUGCUCGAAGAGUGCCAUGUUUGAGUGACAUGUAUCUCCAUUGUAAAAACAAUGCUAUUUUGAUUACAAAGGUUGUGUUUAUACGUUUGCCCGGAAGUAUUAUAGUGCCUCCUAUGCGGCCGUUUAUGUAUGUAUAUAACCUGAAAGUUUGCAGUCGUCGGCUUCAGCCCCCACGCACAUAAUGCGGGGGUGUUCGUGAAAACGCGUAGUCACACUUGAUCCAACGUCUUGGUCCAUUAAGGAGGUGAUAGCGCGGCGAACCAGGCAAUCGGACUAUAUAGCUUUAACACUUUCACUUAGCCAUAGGAGUUUGACGAUGGGGCUACUAUAUAUCCCCUGGUACUUCCGCAUUCAUCCGAAUAUGGUGCGCAUAUGUACGUGACCGGGAAGCUGGUCCUUCAUUAAUGCGGAGGAAUCAUGAAGAUUCCGCUGAGUCAUCGAGUGGUUGACCAGUCUCGUGCUGUAUCAUGACAGUCAGUUUUCGGUUUUCUCUACUGAGGUGCUCAUCUAGAUGAACCAGGGCACAAUCGCAGUAGUUCUCCCGGUGCCGCCUUAGCCGAUAUAGCGGAACGUAAGGUAGCAAAACACGGGAGCUGGGAAAACCCAACAUUUGAACAAAGACAUGAUUCAGAGCUGAUGCAUAUAAGGCCAAACUCGCGAUGCCGAACACUCCCUAAGGUAUUCAGACUUUACAACAUAUACUGGGCUGAAUAACGCCCUCGAUAAUGAGCCCUGUGUUUCUAGGUACAUGCAUUAGUCUGGCGUGAUGAAGUGUCAAGAGCGCUAGUAUCCCUCCUGGUUGUGUUAAGUGUCCGGAGGGGAAGAAGCAACAAGAGACAUUAAAAAAGGCUUACGCAGGGUCUUAAUCUAAAGAGAAACCUUUGAGCGGGGCCCUGCUGCACGUUUGCGCCUUUGUCUCCGUUGUGCCAUAUCCUGGAAGGGUGUAGCAUGAUGAUCAUAUGUAAAAAGGGGAAAACCCAGGUGAAAGACUUUGUGCGAAGAGUUGGUUAAUCUGAAUGAACCAUGAAAAUGCGAUAUGCUAUUAUAUUAAUAGGGUCGAGCCAAACUAUGGGCUUCUUCUUUUUUGUGAGCAGCCCCUAGCACCACUUAUGGGGGUAUCCCCAGCUUAGGUUUAUCUGGGCUGGUAUAUCUUGUGGAGCGCCGGACUCGUCUAACCGUGUCCGUGGUCUUGACGACAAUUUAUUCUUGUAGGAGGGGCCGCUCAGUGUUCGGCUACUAGAGCCGCCACAUAUUCUUCCACGCAUAAGGAACACUCUGUGUUUCCGCUAACUGUGAUGAUGCCACGUGGACCAGACAUCUUCAGUUUAAGGUAGGCGUAGUGCGGUACUGCAUUAAAAUAAGCAACGACCGUUCUUCCGAGUAGUGCGUGAUAGCCGCUUCGGAAUGGAGCGAUGUCGAAGAUUAGUUCUUCGCUUCUGAAGUUGUUUGGAGAACCGAAUACAACCUCUGGUACUAGAGAGCCCGUACAGCGGGCCUCGAUGCCUGGUAUCACUCCUUUAAAGGUAGUAUUGCUUUGGCUGGUUCUUGACGGGUCUAUCCCCAUUUUGCGGACAGUGUCCUGAUAUAUUAGGUUUAGACUACUGCCGCCGUCCAUAAGGACUCGGGUGAGAUGGUAUCCAUCAAUUAUUGGUCGAGCACCAAGGCAGCCGAUCCUCCGUGCCUGAUGCUAGUCAGAUGAUCCCUGCGAUCAAAAGUGAUUGGGCAGGCCGACCAGGGAUUGAAUUUGGGGGCGACGGGCUCCACAAUGUAUACUUCUCGGAGUGUGCUUUUGCGCCUACUCUUUGGAAUGUGAGUUGCGUAGAUCAUAUUCACUGUUUUGACUUCUGGUGGGAAUUGUUUCUGUCCCCCAGUGUUCGGCUAGCGAGGCUCAUCCUCGUCUUCACUUGGCGUCUCCCUCCCCUUGUGUUUGACAUUUAGCUUGCCGGACUUCUUGAAAACCCAGCACUCUCUGUGGGUGUGAUUUGCAGGUUUUUCGGGUGUGCCAUGGAUCUAACAUAAUUUGUCUAGAAUCUUAUUUAGGCUGGAUGGUCCUUCUCUGCUGCCUUUAAAUGGCUUCUUCAGUUGACCGGGUCGGGAGCCCCUGAAUCUGGCGUUGACCCUCGUGUUAUCUGGGCUGUCUUCAUUGUUUUGACGCUUAUUUUUAUUGUGUCGUGGCUUCCCAUUGCCAUCCCUGACUUUGGAUGUACCUGGGUUGCUGGUGCCGCUACGGGCCAGCCAACUAUGCUCGCCCAUGCAAAAGCGGGUCAUGAGGCUUGUUAAGGCUGCCAUUGUCCUCGGCUUUUCCUGUCCGAGGUGUCUGGCGAGCCAUUCGUCCCGGAUACUAUGCUUGAAGGCCGCUAAGGCUUCGGCAUCUGGGCAGUCGACAAUUUGAUUCUUCUUAGUAAGAAAUAUGUUCCAAAGUUUUCGGGCUGACUUUCUGGGCUAUUGAAUUAUGUGACUUAGGUCGUCUGCAUCCGGAGGUCGGACAUAGGUCCCUUGAAAUUGGCCCUAAAAGCAUCCUCAAGUUCUUUCCAACUUCCAUUUGAGUUUUCAGGAAGGCUUUUCAACCAGUGCCGAGCUGGUCCUUUCAACUUGAGGGGUAGGUAUUUAAUGGCAUGGAGAUCAUCUCCGUGAGCCAUGUGGAUGUGAAGGAUAAAGUCCUCAAUCCAGACCCCAGGGUCUGUCGUUCCGUCGUAUGCCUCUAUAUUCACGGGUUUAAAUCCUUCCGAAAAUUCAUGGUCUAGCACCUCAUCGGUGAAGCACAGGGGGUGUGCGUCACCCAUGUAUUUGGACGUGUCAUGGCAUGCUGUCAACGGUUGUUGUGUUCGGUGCUGAUUCCUAGCUGGUAUUCGAUCAAUGUGAUCGUUUUGGUAGCUCUGAUCCUGUGCCGAAGUGCGCUUCCUAGAUCCAUAGACGGACCUGGCCAUACCGGACUUUUUGUCCAGGAGCUCACGUAAAUCAUGUGCUGACUUGUGUGUAGCAUCAUUAGCCGUCCUGUCGCGGCCACGGGGUGGUCGGUCCGGCUGAUCGGUCGUUUUCGGCUAAAUGGGCUCUAUGGCCUCGUCGUCGAAUUAGGGCAGCAUCUUGCACUUUGGACAACUCUUUGUGUGAUGAUCGCCGCCGUAUUUUUGUUCAGUCUCGAGCACUUUGUUCCACCUGCGGUUGAGCGUAUCUUGCGCGGCCUUAAGCCUUUGCUUCUGCUUCUUUAGGCUCCUUACGGUGGCAAUAAGCCUUCUGUGGAGGUUCUCUUAUUCCAAGAGUUUUUUUGGGAUGACGAGUGCAUCAUCGUCCGGACUGUUCUCCUCUACGGAGACAGGUUGGUGAAUUUUACCCUCGGGAUCGGUGUCAUCUGACGUCGGCUCCAGACUAUGUUCACCGUCCCCUGGCUCAUCCUGCUCCAUCGCUGGGUCCAUGGGGUCAUCGUUUCCUUCGACCGGGGUAUUAUUAUUUCUUGCGCUGUUGUCGCUGUUUUUACUGUGGCGGGAUUUAGAGCGACGCCUACGGUGCCGCUUUGGUGGCUUAUCAAGCGGAUUAUCCUUCGUUGNNNNNNNNNNNNNNNNNNNNNNNNNNNNNNNNNNNNNNNNNNNNNNNNNNNNNNNNNNNNNNNNNNNNNNNNNNNNNNNNNNNNNNNNNNNNNNNNNNNNNNNNNNNNNNNNNNNNNNNNNNNNNNNNNNNNNNNNNNNNNNNNNNNNNNNNNNNNNNNNNNNNNNNNNNNNNNNNNNNNNNNNNNNNNNNNNNNNNNNNNNNNNNNNNNNNNNNNNNNNNNNNNNNNNNNNNNNNNNNNNNNNNNNNNNNNNNNNNNNNNNNNNNNNNNNNNNNNNNNNNNNNNNNNNNNNNNNNNNNNNNNNNNNNNNNNNNNNNNNNNNNNNNNNNNNNNNNNNNNNNNNNNNNNNNNNNNNNNNNNNNNNNNNNNNNNNNNNNNNNNNNNNNNNNNNNNNNNNNNNNNNNNNNNNNNNNNNNNNNNNNNNNNNNNNNNNUGAGGUGGCAGUCCAGCGCCCAGUGGGCGGUGGUUCCUGUUCUUCUCCUGCGUCCUCGUAAAUACCGUCGACGUCUUCGGAGUCGAAAUCGAGCGUGUCGGUUAAGUCAUCGAUAGUGGCUAUGAAGUGGGUGGCGGGUGGGGAACGAAUUUCUUCGUCGUCCGCUUCCCACUCGAGCCGAACAUAGUUCGGCCAGGAGUCUCCUGACAAGGAGAGGGACCUUAAUGAAUUUAGCACAUCACCCAAGGGCGAGUGCUGAAAAAUAUCCGCGGAGGUGAACUCCAUGACCGGUGCCCAAUCAGAUUCGAUAGGCACGGACGUACGCGGUUCGGAUCCUGUGGCCGGAGACGAGUCCAAGGGUCGGAUGACGCCAUCCUUACAGGAGGUGGGAUCAGUGUUCGGCUCCAACGCCGAUGAGUGUGCGGCCUCCGCGGUGGGGCCCAUCCACCCGUCCCCGGAAGGCGCAAUCUGCUCCGGAUUGAUUCCUGGGGUCGCCGCAGGUGCGAUCUCCCGAACACUGUCUGAUGGCAGAUCUAAGUCAUGCUCGUCGCGACUGUUUGGCGUACCUGACAUGGGCUCGAAUCCGUCGAAGAUCAAGUCUCCGCGGAUAUCGGCAGUAUAGUUCAAGCUUCCGAACCUGGCCUGAUGGCCAGGGGCGUAGCUAUCGAUCUGCUCCAGGUGGCCAAGCGAGUUGGCCCGCAGUACGAAGCCGCCGAAUAUGAAGAUCUACCCUGGAAGGAAAACCUCCCCCUGGACUGCAUCAUUGAAGAUGAUUGAAGGAGCCAUCAAGCCUUAUCGCGACGGCACAGUGGAACUCUCAAUGAAAGCACCAAUGUCAGUGUCAAAACCGGUGGAUCUCGGGUAGGGGGUCCCGAACUGUGCGUCCAAGGCUAAUGGUAACACGAGGCAGGGGACACGAUGUUUUACCCAGGUCUGCGCCCUCUCGAUGGAGGUAAUACCCUACUUCCUGCUUGAUUGAUCUUGAUGAUAUGAGUAUUACAAGAGUUGAUCUACCACGAGAUCAUAGAGGCUAAACCCUAGAAGCUAGCCUGUGAUCAUGAUUGUUCUCGUCCUACGGACUAAACCCUUCGAUUUAUAUAGACACCGGAGGGGGCUAGGGUUACACAGAGUCGGUUACAGAGAAGGAGAUCUACAUAUCCGAAUUGCCAAGCUUGCCUUCCACGCAAAGGAGAGUCCCAUCCGGACACGGGACGAAGUCUUCAAUCUUGUAUCUUCAUAGUCCAACAGUCCGGCCAAAGUAUAUAGUCCGGCUAUCCGAGGACCCCUUAAUCCAGGACUCCCUCACCCUGUGCUCCUCCCCCUCCUCUGUUUCGCUCUCCCACGAACGACCGAAUGCCACCGUCGCCGCCGCCCCUGUUGCCGUGCCCAGAGCCUCUCCCUCGCCUCCCCGACGCAUUCCAGAGCUCCGCCUCGACCUACUCUUCCUCCUCACCGAUCCAAGUGAGACGGGAAGCCCUGCAUCGACCUCGUCACUGUCGUCUUCCACCUCGGGCUCCGACCACCGCCGCCGUUGAUUUUCCGCACACAAGACAUUCUCGAGCUUGCUGAGCUGUGCUUCGACCUCCCAGUGAGCUUCUUCACCAUUUCCCCCUGUCCCCAUGGCCUGUAGCUUGCCGUAGAGUCGUUUCCGCCGUCACCGAAGCUCGCCGUACGCCAUUGCCGAUGCUCCACCCACUGUUGAGCUCGCCUCACCUUGCGUUGCUAGCCGUCGUGCUCCGGGUAGCCCAGAGACGCUGCCCAGCCUCUCCGUUGGGUCUCUAGUACACCGCAGCCCCCUGCUCGUGCACGGCCGAGCUCCGGCCGCCGCCGCGAGCUUGACUCCGGCGAGUACAGCGCAUGCCGUCCACUCCUUCCUGCUCCGUUGGAUGCGGAAGAGCACAAGCUCCCUCCUGGUAAUCUCCCCGCACCUAAACGCAGCCCCUAGCGCCGCCCAGUAGCAGCUCUGCCGCGCAAAAUGGUCACCGCCGGCCAAACUCCGGCGAGCCGACGUGGCUCCGUCAUUAGGCGCUAACCCAGCCAGCUAAGCACCCUACAUCCACUGACAGUGGGCCCUACCCUUGGUCAAACCCCAGUUAACGCUGGGUUUGACCGGGAUUAGUUCAUGUGUCACUGACUUGUGGACCCCACACAUCAGGUUUGACCUGGACUAGCCCUGUUGACCUGCUGACGCAGUGCUGAUGUCAUGCUGACACAGUAAAUAGUUUCUGUUUUUAAAAUAAUUCAGAAAAUUCCAGAAAAUUGUAUAAACUUCUAAAAUUCAUAGAAAAAUAUCUGUAACUCCAAAUAAGAUAAAUUAUAUAUGAAAAAUGAUCAAAAAAAUCCAAAGAAUCUAUUUAUGGCAUUAUCAUGCAUGUAUGAACAACUUAAAGCUGCUAUAUACAACAAUUUGAAUUGAUGGCAUUUGAAAUGUCAUAUAUGGAGUUUGAAUUUGAAUCUUAGAUUCAAACCAACUCCAUUUAAUUUGCUGCUAGUUGCAUUAGCCCAAACCACAACAUAUUGCCAUGUCAUGAUCAUGCAUCAUAUUGUGCAUUGCAUUGAUUGUGUUCUUCCUUGUUUGCUGGUGUUUGUCCCCUCUCGAUAGACAUGGUUCCGACGAUGAGUUCGAUGAGACCGAUGAAGAACUAUGCUGUCUUCAGAAGUGCCAGGCAAGCAAAACCCCCAUGUUCAUUCCGAUACAAUCCCACUCUCUCGCUCCUGCUCUCUUUUAUUGCAUUAGGACAACAACGAUUCAUCUGUUACUUGCUACGGUAGUUGAACCCCUUUCCUCUGCAUGACCUGUCAUUGCCAUAGUAAAUAGAUGAAACCCAGUAGCAUGAGUGGGAGUUGUUUGAGCCCUGAUGUGCCUACUCAUUCAUGCUUGUUUGUCAUGCCUGCUGCUGCUUAGAGUUGAGUCAGGUCUGAUUCAUCGGGGAUGAAUCGGAGGUGUGUAAACAUGUCCUACUAUGUGAGCUAAGUGUGUGAACACGAUUUGGUAAAGGUAGCGGUGAGAGCCCAUGUAGGAGUACAUGGUGGGUUGUCUCAUUGAAGCCGUCCUUAGGAACCGAGUUCUGUGUUUGUGAUCCAUGAAUAGCUACUACCACACAUUGGGUUCCUUAAUUGACUCUUUCGGCUUCUUAACCACCCUUGUCCUUUGUCCAGGAGUUGCAAGUAGUUUUUGGUGUUCGUAGUAUGCUGGAGGCCGUGCACAGCGCUGACCCGAGGGGUGGGCUAUGAUGCGGUAGGCAUGUGGUCGGGUAUGCCGGGCGCCCGUUUGGUGUCGCGGAACCUUGUACACAUUGUUUAGGGCUGUAUAUGGAAACCUUGGUCGGACUCCCUGCGAAUGGAACCUGAAUAGGUGAUAAACCUGGACUAGAGACUUGAGUGCUUAGGUAGGACGUGACUGACACCCUCGCUGGGCUUCCACUUGAAGGUCGCCGAGUACAUGUAGUGUAAACGGCGGUAAGUGGUGAGAGCGUGUGUGAAGAAGUACACCCCUGCAGGGUUAACAUCAUCUAUUUGAAUAUCCGCGUUCGCUGUAAAGGACCUCUGGGUUGCCUAUACAGUUCAUAGACAAGUGAAAGUGGAUACCCUAAAAUACGCAAGAUAAGCGUGAGUGUUAUGGAUGGCGUUAUCGUAGGGAGACGGGAGCGGAUCCAUAGUGGUGUAUUGAUAUGGUGAAUAUGUGGACUCGUGUGCGCCACCUCAAAAGAGUUACUUGCAGGCAUAGUUCAGGAUAGCACCGAGUCAAAGCUGGCUUGUUGCAGUUAAACCCCACCACCCCCCUUUGUUGAUACUGAUGCAUAUGUAGUUAGUUCUGAUGUAAGUCUUGCUGGGUACAUUUGUACUCACGUUUGCCUAUUUUAUGUUUUGCAAAGAGACUUCAGUCUUGCUAGUAGUUCCGCAUGGAUUUCAAUGUUUAGCUUGUUACCUCAGCUAUGAUCUUGUUCCCUCGGCAGGAUCUGGUAGAUAGUCAGGCUCCUCAGCCUUUUUCAUUUGUAGAUGUCUGUACUCAGACAUGCUAAGAUUCCGCAUGUGCUUUGACUUGUAUGCUCUGAUGUUGGGUCAUGAGACCCAUGUUUGUAAUAUCUCGCUCCUCGGAGCCUACUGUAUAAAUACUUUGAGUCGUAGAGUUAUGUUGUGAUGCCAUGUUGUAUUUGCACAUAUCGAGCAUAUUGUGUGUAUGAUCUGAAAUGCUUGAUAUGUGUGGGAUCUAACAACCUAGUUGUUUAUCCUUGGUAGCCUGUCUUACCGGGAAAUGUCUCCUAGUGCUUCCACUGAGCCCUGGUAGCUUGCUACUGCUCUGGAACACUUAGGCUGGCCGGCAUGUGUCCUUCUUCAUUCCUGUGUCUGUCCCUUCGGGUAAAUGUCACGCGGUGUUUACCGGAGUCCUGUUAGCCUGCUACAGCCCGGUAUACCGGAGUCCUACUAGCCCAGUUGCUACAGCCCGGACUCACUCGCUGAUGAUCGACACGUUUGUCGCUGGGUCAUGUAUGUAUGUCCCUGUAAGUUAGUGCCACAUUGGGUUCCCGACUAGUCAUGUUAGCCCGGGUUCUUUGUCAUAUGGAUGCUAGCGGCACUAUCAUAUACGUGAGCCAAAAGGCGCAAACGGUCCCGGGCCAGGUAAGGUGGCACCCAUGGGAAUACCGUGCGUGAGGCCGCUGAUAUGGUGUGCUACAUGCUAGAUCGGUGUGACUAAGGAUCGGGGUCCUGACAUGGUCCCCUUGACCUUCUUCUUGGCCUUAUUCUCCGGCACCUAAUAAGGCACCGGAACGAGCAUCUUUGUCAGAAGCAAAACUUCUGGGUCCUCGGGUAGCGGAGCCAGACAGUUAAACCGCUCGGCCAUCUUUGUCCAGGCCUGAAAAAAUUAAUGGGGAGGCUUAGAUGCCUUCCUCGAGUAUGCAAGUAAAGGGUAUACCUUGAAAGCAUGAAAGAACUUACCAGACUAGCAGGGUGCAUCAAGUCAUGCCCGCGAUCCUCGAGCGUGGCUGGCAGCGCCUCAUUGGCCUUGAAGAGCACCUUCCAGAUAUCUUUGUGCAUCUUGCCGAAGAGCUCCAGUGGGGUCUGGUGCUUGGCCGGAUCAAAUUCCCAUAGAUGGCAAGUCUGUAAGGGCAUUCUUGUCCCUCAGUAGUUUUGGUGAUUGAUGACAAUUCCUUUGCGGACUAAUCAUGUGUAUUGAGCUUUUCAGAUAUAUCACGACUAAACACAAGACGAUUUGAUGCCCCUCGGAGAUUAUUGAAGAUGGCUUUUCUCUACGGUUCGGUUCGGUGGAGUUGAGUCGUAGGAAAGCCGUACUAUCAAGAGGGGGUCCGCUUUGGAAAGGUUUGGGUGGAAUCUCACGUACACAUUCCAUUUUGCACCGCCUUUCCUCGAGCUCCUCAGAGUGUUCCUCCGUCUCACCUUGUCUCUGCAAAAUGAAGGCCUCCGUCUUGCUCUUCUCAGGCUAGCGGUAGUACUGCUCUUCUGAGCGGUACUACCGCAAGAGCCAGCGGUACUAUCGCAUGAGCCAGCGGUAGUACCGGGCUCCGGCACGAUAGUACCGUAGGCACCCACGGUAGUACCGCUCCUCUGAGCGGUAGUACCGUGAGCUCUGGUCUGGCACCGCUGCUCAAGCGAUGGUAAGCGCGGAUGUAAUUGUUUACAUCCGCGCUCCACGCGGUAGUACCGUGUUGCGGCGUGGUAGUACCGUGGCACCAGACCAAGUUCAGUAGCAGGAGCGGAGUUAGGGGCGGAUGUAAUUUUUUACAUCCGCACCCUUCAUGGUAGUACCGCACCCUCGGUCGCGGUAGUUCCGUGUCGGAUUUUUGCACGACAUUUUCUCAGUGGAGGUAGUCACGGAUGUAAUUUUUUACAUCUGUGCCUACCGGGCCUGGCCUGUGGCUGUCUUCCGAUAGUACCGCAUGGGGCCGCGAUAGUACCACUCCUGCGGAUCUGCCGCGCCCUGUCGGUGCUCCUUUUUCCUGAUCUGGACUCUGCCGUUCUCAUGGUAGUACCGCGGUCCACCGCGGUAGUACCGCAGGCCCGUGCGGUAGUACCGUGCCUGUGGAGCGGUAGUUCCGUGGGUCGUGGGCUGAGUGGUGGGUAACGGUUGGAAUUGUCCCACCACUAUAAAAGGGGGUCUUCUUCUCCAAUAAGACUCACCUCUUCCAACCCUAAACUCCAUUGUUGCUCCAAGCUCCAUUUUUGGCCGAUCUCUCUCCCUAGCCAAUCAAACUUGUUGAUUUGCUCAGGAUUGGGCGACAAGGCCCCGAUCUACACUUCCACCAAGAGAUAUUCGAUUCCCCCCACUAAUCCCUAACGGAUCCUGUUACUCUUGGGUGUUUGAGCACCCUAGACGGUUGAGGUCACCUCGGAGCCAUAGUCCAUUGUGGUGAAGCUUCGUGGUGUCGUUGGAAGCCUCCAAUUAAGUUGUGGAGAUUGUCCCAGCCUUGUUUGUAAAGGUUCGGUCGUCGCCUUCAAGGGCACUAAUAGUGGAAUCACGACAUCUCGCAUUGUGUGAGGGCGUGAGGAGAUUAUGGUGGCCCUAGUGGCUUCUUGGGGAGCAUUGUGCCUCCACACCGCUCUAACGGAGACGUACUUCCCCUUAAAAGGAAGGAACUUCGGUAACACAUCCUCGUCUCCACCGGCUCCACUCUUGGUUAUUUUGUGCCUUUACUUUUGCAAGCUUACUUGUGUUGUAUCCCUUGCUUGCUUAUGUGCUAGUUGUUUUUGCAUCAUAUAGGUUGCUCACAUAGUUGCAUAUCUAGAGAACCUAUUUUGUUACACAGUUUAAUUUGGUAAAGAAAAGCUUAAAAAUUGUUAGUUGCCUAUUCACCCCGCUCUAGUCAACCAUAUUGACCCUUUCAAUUGGUAUCAGAGCCUCAUCUCUUUAUUAAGGACUUUACCGUCCGAAGAGUAUGGUUGACACCACAAACGGUAUGGAGGAGCACUCCGGUGUGAAUCCUACCUCGUCUACGGCCAAUGGGGGAACCUCGAUCUCUCAUGAGGAAUUUAAUGUGGCUCUAGACACAUUGAAAGACUCCAUGACGACCAAGGUUGAAAGCAUGUUUACUAAAUUUCUAGAAGGACUUAAACUAUCCACCUUGCCGAUGAAAGUGGGUGAUCCCACUAACAAGGUGACGGAUGCUACCUCCGACAAGGGGGAAGCUAACAGUGAAAAUGGUCCUUCUACUAGUGGUAGAAAUGGUUCCGACAUCUUUGCUCAUGUGAAACCUCCAACUUAUGGUGGACCGAUUCCCUCUACUCAUUUAAAUCAUGUCGGUCCUCCUCCUAAGAUUGUGAAAAAUGAGGAUUUUGAUUCUUGGGUGUAUCGCUUCAAGCGUCAUUUAAACAAUGUGAAUACUAAUCUUUGGAGAAUCAUUGAAGAAGGUUUCUAUCCACAUGACCCAAGCAACUUCACCCCUCGAGAAGCCAUGGAUAAUCAAUUCAAUGAGAAUGCUCUCUUCGUCAUCCAAGAAGUAAUUCUCCCCGAAGAUCUCCCUCAUCUUCGACCCUACGCCACGGCCAAAGAUGCGUGGCAGUGCGUUGUGUCUCUCUAUCGGGGAAGCGCGAGCAUUCAACGCUCCAACUAUGAAGUGGUGCAAGAUGAAGCCGAUGAGUUUGCUAUGAAGGAAGAUGAAGAACCUCGUGAGCUCUUUCGGAGAGUAAUCAAACUCGCGGUCUCGCUCCGAGAUCAUGGGAGCAAGGACACGGAUGACAAUUGGAUCAAACGCAAGUUCCUCAAGGCCAUGAUGCCCUACCCAUGUCCUCCGUCAUUCGUCAAAGAUCGGACUUCCACUUCAUGACCUCAAGUGAAGUGUUGGAUGAGUUCGUUGCCAUGAGCAUCUUGGACAAGACCACCGAUAACGCAGUGCUCCUGUCUCAAAGGGCAAAUAAGCCCAGCCUUGCCUUGAUGGCAAGGUUAUUUUGGAAGAAGAGGAAGAAGAGGAGAGCAACCCCGAAGAUACAAAAUAUGAUUAUCACGAGCACAUGGCUCUCGCUUCAAGGCAAUUUUGGAGCAAGAAGAACUCAAGACCCAAUUUCAACAAGAACAACUCAAGUGGCUUCAAGAGCAAGCAACGAGUUAGAACUUGUUUCCACUGUGGCAAUGUGAGCCAUUUCGUUGCGGAUUGUCCUUACGAGAAGUAGGAAGACAAUGGUGGCAAGCUCAUCCGGAGAGACAAAUCCAAGUCUUUCCCCAACAAGAACAACUUCACCAAGAAGACUCCUACUAGAGGGUUGGUGGUUCAAGAGGAGUACCGUGAGGAUGACGAUGAUGAUGAAGAUAGUGAAGCAAUGGCCAUGGCAUCCGUUUCCAUUGCCAUAACUCCCCGGGUGUCUCUCUUUGAUUCACCCAAUGAGAACAUCACCGCCAAGUGCCUCAUGGCUAAAGCCACUAACAAGGUAAUCCCAACAUGAAAACCACCAUCAUUACUAAUCCUUCUUUGAUGGUUGGGUUUGAUGAUGGUAAGGGGUCUAAUGAGGAAGUAAAUGAAUUUGAGUCCUUUAUGAGUAAGCUCAAGGGCAAAUCCAAGAAGCACUUUGUUGCUCUCUUGGAACAACUUGGUGAAGCCAAUGACAUGAUCGAGGUUCACGAAGAAACCAUCUCUAAGAUGGAAGGUCAUAGUCGUGACUAUGCCGAUGAGAUAUCGGAUCUCUCUAAUGCUCUUGAGGAAGAGCGUGGGCAUCGUUUGGCUCUUGAGGAGUCACAAAACAAUGACCAUGCCAAGUUAAAGUAAGAUCUCGAUCAUGCUCUUAUUGUGUCUCGUGUGCUAACUUCCGAGAAGGCUAAACUAGGGGUUGAUCAUGCUAGACUCAAGGAGGAGUUUGAUGUGCUUGACAAGGCCCACAAGGUCUUGAAGGGUGCUCAUGCUAACCUCAAGGAGUCUCAUGCUCAACUCCAAGUUAAUCUAACCAAGGAGAAGGCCACCUUUCCUCACAUGAUCUUAAUUGAUAACGCAAAUGUUACUAACCCGUGUUGUGAGCAUGUGCAUCUUGUGGAGGAGAAUGCCAAGUCGAAGGAACAACUCGAGAGAGGCCUUGUGUCAUGCAUACAAGGUGAGAAGAACCUAAAUGACCUUUUGAGCAAUCAAAAGGAAGUUGUGGCUAAGGAGGGAGUUGGGUUCUCACCCAAGUCCAAGAACAAGAAGAAGAACGAGAAGAAGAAUUACAAGACCAAACGACCUCCCCCGCUUAAGCAAACUUUUGUGAAGGAGGGAGAGGGUGCUCCUAAGGAUAAGAAGAACAAUGCGAAGAGUGGUGAUGCCAAAAAGGGCAAAGUCAUCUCUCCCAACAAAGCCGACGACUUUAACCCUUCUUAUGUGUUGUGCCGUGCUAGUGAUGGGCAUGUUUAUGCUCGAUUUGUUGGUUCUUCUUAUGAGUACAUUGAAUGGUCUAUUUGGGUUCCUAAGACCCUUGUUACUAACAUCAAAGGACCCAUUACUAAAUGGGUACCUAAAACCAAGCAUUGAUCUCUUGUAGGUGUUUGCUUCCGGUGGGGGAUCAUGGUUUCUCGAUAGUGGAGCAACAAAUCAUAUGACCGGGAGCAAGGACUUGCAGUGGCGAAUGCAGAAAUAAUUUUCAGGUGUGGCGGAGCUUAUGAAGGAGAAAAGCAUGUAAAAUGCAACUGACCAAAAACUGUCUAGAAUAUUAGAUAUAUAAAUACUUUGUGUUUUGCAAAUACAACUAAAAUACAAAUUUAAGUACCAUAUUCUAUUAUCCUGCAUGUACUCGUGCUCUGUUCGGCGGAGUUUUACAUCAUCCCCACCGGCUACGUACUUGUAGUACCAGGUCCAUAUCCAGCACGUAGGUGUACUAGUACAUUCGGUUCAAAUUUAGGUGUGGCAGCUGCCAGGCCUUGCCAGAUAGCUGGCUCCGCCACUGAGGACUUGGUGGUGGACGUGCAAAAGAUCCCAUCUAUGCCCACCAAUGUCGAGUGGGGUGAUGCCUCACAUUCUAAGGUAUUGGGUCUUGGCAAGGUUGUCAUUUCUCAUGAUCUAACGAUCGAGAAAGUCAUGCUUGUUGAGUCCCUUGCGUACAAUUUACUUUCCGUUCGUCAACUUGCACUCAUGGGAUUUGCCACCUUCUUUGAUGUUGAUACCGUGGCCCUCUUGUGGAGCAAGACUCUUAAAGUAGCCUUUGUUGGGCAUGUCGAGAAUGGUCUCUAUGUGAUUAACUUUUCGGAGCGACCCACUAAGACCGCGACAUGCCUAAUGGCUAAACUUGAUGUGGGAUGGCUUUGGCAUCGCCGUUUAGCCUACGUCAAUAUGAUAUCUUUGCAAAGUCUUCUCAAUGGGGACCAUGUCCAUGGACUAACAAAUGUUAGUUUUGCCAAAGAUCGUGCUUGCAGGUCUUGUAUCGAAGGAAAGCUUCAUGAGAUGGCUCACCCUCCCACGACUAUCAUCUACUCGAAGAGACCCUUGGAGCUCCUUCACAUGGACCUCUUUGGUCCUCCAUCCUUUGAUAGUCUUGGGGGAAGAAAGUAUUGCUUGGUGAUUGUGGAUGAUUAUUCAAGAUACACAUGGGUAUAUUUCUUCAAGAGGAAGAGUGAAACUCAACAAACCGUCAUCGACUUUGCAAAUGAAGCUCAACGACAACAUGAUGCAAAGAUCUUGACAAUAAGAAGUGACAACGGCACCGAUUUCAAGAACUACACCUUGGAUGAGUUCCUUAGUGAUGAGGGGAUCAAGCAUUAAUAUUCCGCUCCAUACACCCCUCAACAAAAUGGUGUUGCGGAGAGGAAGAACCGGACGUUGAUGGAUGCGGCAAGGACCAUGAUGGCGGAGUUCAAGUCUCCGUACAACUUUUGGGCCGAAGCCAUCAACACCGUGUGUCAUGCAUCAAAUCGGCUCUAUCUCCGCAAAGGGUUGAACAAGACUCCUUAUGAAAUUCUUACCGGUAACAAGCCCAAUCUCAAGAACUUCCGGGUGUUCGGGUGUAAGUGUUUCAUUCUCAAAAAGGGUGUUCGUUUGUCUAAAUUUGAGGCUAGAGCUUAUGAGGGCAUUUUUGUUGGUUAUGCUACAAACUCUCAUGCUUACCGUGUUCUCAACAAGUCCACCGGACUCAUUGAGGAGACGUGUAACGUGGAGUUUGACGAAAAUAACGGCUCCCAGGUGGAGCAAAGUGGUACUUGUGAUGUAGGUGAUGAAAUUCCUCCCCAAGCCAUAAGAAUAAUGGGUAUUGGUCAUAUUCUACCCAUUGAGGAACCCCUUGUGGCCGAAGGAGAAGGACAAUGCUCCACUCAAGUGGAGCCAUCACCCCCAAGAACCACACGCUUCCGAAGAACAAAGUGAAGUCCCUCAACCUCAUGAACAAGACCAAGGGCAAGAUCAACCUCAAGAUGGUGGUGAACCACCACAUGAUGCCCAAGGUCAAGUUCUCCCCCUCGAGCAAGCUCAAGACGGCGCUCAAGAUAAUCAAGUUGAUCCUCCUCCUUCCACAUCCGAGGAGGAAUUAGAGCGUCGUGCCGCGAAGAUUGCUUCCAAGCUCACCACCAAAGGCCAUCCAAUGGAGAAUGUGGUUGGAAGCCUAAGAAAGGGGGUAAGCACUCGUAGACAAUUAGCAAACUAUUGUGAACAUCACGCGUUUGUCUCUUGUGUUGAACCCCAAAAGGUCUAUGAGGCGCUCGAGGAUUCGGAUUGGCUCAAUGCCAUGCAUGAAGAACUCAACAACUUCGAGUAUAACAAGGUGUGGAGAUUGGUGCCUCGACCGUCGGGGAACCAUAACGUCAUUGGAACCAAGUGGAUUUUCAAGAACAAGCAAGACGCUCAUGGGAACAUCAUUCACAACAAGGCAAGAUUGGUAGCACAAGGCUACUCCCAAGUCGAGGGUAUCGACUACGGUGAAACCUUUGCUCCCAUUGCUCGCCUUGAAUCCAUUCGUUUGUUGAUUGCUUAUGUUUCCCAUCACAACUUUAAGUUACAACAAAUGUAUGUGAAAAGUGCUUUUCUUAAUGGUCCUAUUAAUGAGUUGGUGUAUGUCAAGCAAGCCCCCGGGUUCGAGGAUCAUUACUUCCCGGAUCAUGUGUAUCAACUCGAUAAGGCACUCUCUGGCCUUAAACAAGCCCCACGUGCGUGGUAUGACCACCUUACCAAGUUGUUACAAGAUCGUGGAUUUGAAGUUGGGCAAAUUGAUCCCACUCUUUUUACUAAGAAGGUCAAAGGGGGUUUGUUUGUGUGCGAACUAUAUGUUGAUGACAUUAUCUUUGGUUCCCCUAACAAAGCUUUCAAUGAAGAAUUUGACGCUCUCAUGACCUCUAAGUUCAAGAUGUCUUCGAUGGGAGAGUUGAAGUUCUUCCUUGGUUUUGAUAUCAAACAAAGAAGAGAAGGUACCUUCAUCAACGAAGCCAAAUACACUCAAGACAUGCUUAAGAGAUUCAAGCUAAGUGAUGUCAAGCCAGCUUCUACUCCAAUGCCUACCAAGUGCCAACUUGACAUUGAUCCCAAUGGUAAAGCGGUGGAUCAAAAGGUAUAUCGCUCUAUGAUUGGAUCCUUGCUUUACCUUUGUGCAUCUAGACCGGAUAUCAUGUUGAGUGUGGGUAUGUGUGCACGGUUUCAAGCCGCACCGAAGGAAAGACAUUAUGUGGCGGUCAAGCGAAUCUUUUGAUAUUUGGCUCAUACCCCAAACUUUGGCCUAUGGUACCCACACGCGUGUACUUCCGCACCUUAGUGCGGUACUACCGCUGGGCGUCCGGAAGUAAAAAAUUACUUCCGCCCCACGCGCGGUACUACCGUGCUGCCCCGGCACGGUACUACCGCGGUUGGAGCGGAUGUAAUUUUUUACAUCCGGAACCCCGCCCGGUACUACCGUAGAUCAUCCUGCGCCCUUUUGUUUUUGUCCAAGUUGCAUGUGUUUGUGUUUUCUUUCGGUUUGGUUUUGAUUCAUUUUGUUCCCGUGUGUGUAUUUGUGUCUUUCUGUCUAGGUGGUGGCUCCAUUUUUCCUCAUCGCUUGAAUCCCAGCCGUGACACAGGGUCCAAGCGUUUGCGCAACCCAUAUGAUGUUCCAGAGGGGUCUUCUGCUGCUCCCCAACGCAGGACCAAGCACACCGCCAGCAAACAGAAGGAGCCCGUCUUGGGCAUGGGUGAGAUGCCCCAGGCAGAAUUUGUCAUUCGAAGGAAGAUCAAUCCCUAUGUGUCUCCCCGGUCUAGCACGCGAGGCAAUGAACUCUUCUGGAACAAGCAGCCGAAUCUGAUCUAUAUGGAUGUGAUCAAGGCCAAGCAGAAUCACUAUGUUGAAGUUCACUAGAUUGACAUGAUUCACAUGAGGCAUGAGAAGCACCAUGGGUACUUUGGAGAGGCCUUGGAUCUUGUGGAGCAGUUCGGCAUUGAACACAUUCUCACCUUCCACAAGGAUUUUGAUCCAGAGAUCAUUGCACAGUUCUUUGCUUCGGUCCACUUCGGCGUCAAUGAAGAAAGGACCAUGACUUGGAUUACUAAUGGUCGAUAGCUGUCUGCUACCUGGAAGGAGUUCAUGGAGUUGCUCCUUAUUCCCGAUGAAGGACUCGACACGCCAGUUGGAGUUCGCCCUCACGCCAACUCUGAGUCUGCCAACAAGAACAAGCUCAUGCCAUACCUUGUUGAGAAGACGCUUCCAAACAAGAAGAAGGUGUGGGUGCUCAACCCCUUCCUUGACAUCAUGCAUAGGCUCUUCCGGAACACGCUCUUCCCGCGCAUUGGUGACAUGGGAUAGGUGCAUGCUUACCUCGUUGACAUGAUGCUUCUUUGUGAGGAGGCCCGUCAGGCUCAUACUCAGCCACUUGAUGUCUCACAUAUCAUGCGGUGUGAGCUUCAGCUCACCAUGUUCAACCGUAAGGUCCCCAUCUAUGGGCCUUACCUGUUUUACCUGAUCUCCAAGACUUGGGAGAAGCUCCUUCCCAAUGAUGAGUUUGAAGCUCCAGGCUGGAUUCGUCAUGAGCCCAUCAAGCUACACAUCAAGCCCCAAUGGGCUAACACCACCACUGCUGCAGAGGCUGCCAAGAUGGUUGUGGAUGAGGAGGAGAUUGAGGAGGAAGACACUGCUGAGGCUGGUUCUGCGUUCACGCUCCCUCUGCUGAGUCUUCUUGGGCAAAGAAGCUGAAGAACAAGAUGAAGAGGCUGUUCUGCAUGCAGGUUCAGGGUCAGUACAAGGCCCAUGUGUUGGAAAUAUGCCCUAGAGGCAAUCAUAAAUUAGUUAUUACUAUUAUAUUUCCUUGUUCAUGAUAAUCGUUUAUUAUCCAUGCUAUAAUUGUAUUGAUAGGAAACUCAGAUACAUGUGUGGAUACAUAGACAACACCAUGUCCCUAGUAAGCCUCUGAUUGACUAGCUCGUUGAUCAAUCAAUGGUUACGGUUUCCUGACCAUGGACAUUGGAUGUCAUUGAUAACGGGAUCACAUCAUUAGGAGAAUGAUGUGAUGGACAAGACCCAAUCCUAAGCCUAGCACAAAGAUCGUGUAGUUCGUAUGCUAAAGCUUUUCUAAUGUCAAGUAUCAUUUCCUUAGACCAUGAGAUUGUGCAACUCCUGGAUACUGUAGGAAUGCUUUGGGUGUACCAAACGUCACAACGUAACUGGGUGGCUAUAAAGGUGCACUACAGGUAUCUCGGAAAGUGUCUGUUGGGUUGGCACGAAUCGAGACUGGGAUUUGUCACUCCGGUUAUCAGAGAGGUAUCUCUGGGCCCACUCGGUAGGACAUCAUCAUAAUGUGCACAAGGUGACCAAGGGGUUGAUCACGGGAUGAUGUGUUACGGAACGAGUAAAGAGACUUGCCGGUAACGAGAUUGAACAAGGUAUCGGCAUACCGACGAUCGAAUCUCGGGCAAGUACAAUACCGCUAGACAAAGGGAAUUGUAUACGGGAUCGAUUGAGUCCUUGACAUUGUGGUUCAUACGAUGAGAUCAUCGUGGAACAUGUGGGAGCCAACAUGGGUAUCCAGAUCCCGCUGUUGGUUAUUGACCGGAGAACAUCUCGGUCAUGUCUGCAUGGUUCCCGAACCCGUAGGGUCUACACACUUAAGGUUCGAUGACGCUAGGGUUAUAAAGGAAGUUUGUAUGUGGUUACCGAAUGUUGUUCGGAGUCCCGGAUGAGAUACCGGACGUCACGAGGAGUUCCGGAAUGGUUCGGAGGUAAAGAUUUAUAUAUGGGAAGUCCUGUUUUGGUCACCGGAAAAGUUUCGGGUUUUAUCGGUAACGUACCGGGACCACCGGGAGUGUGCCGGGGGUCCACCAAGUGGGGCCACCAUCCCCGGAGGGCUGCAUGGGCCAAGUGUUGGAGGGGACCAGCCCCAGGUGGGCUGGUGCGCCCCCCCCCACAAGGGCCCAAGGCGCCUAGGGUUUGGUGAGGGGGGCGCACCCACCUAACUUGGGGGGCAAGUUUCCCCUCUCCCCCCCCCUUAGCCGCCCCUCAGAUGGGAUCUUGGGCUGGCCGCCGCCCCUAGGGUGGAACCCUAGGUGGGGGCACAGCCCCCCCUCUCCCCGUAUAUAUAGUGGAGGUAAAGGAGCAGCCCAACACACGAAGUUCUUCUCAUGUUGGCGCAGCCCUACCUCUCUUUCUCCUCAUAUCUCGCGGUGCUUGGCGAAGCCCUACUGGAUCACCAGGCUCCUCCAACACCACCACGCCAUUGUGCUGCUGCUGGACGGAGUCUUCCUCAACCUCUCCCUCUCUCCUUGCUGGAUCAAGGCGUGGGAGACGUCACCGGGCUGUACGUGUGUUGAACACGGAGGUGCCGUCCGUUCGGCACUAGGAUCUCCGGUGAUUUGGAUCACUACGAGUACGACUCCUUCAACCCCGUUCUCUGGAACGCUUCCGCUUAGCAAUCUACAAGGGUAUGUAGAUGCACUCUCCUUCCCCUCGUUGCUGGUUUCUCCAUAGAUAGAUCUUGGUGACACGUAGGAAAAUUUUUGAAUUGCUUCUACGUUCCCCAACAGUGGCAUCAUGAGCUAGGUCUAUUGCGUACGAGUAGAACACAAAGUAGUUGUGGGCGUUGAUUUUGUUCAAUAUGCUUACCGUUACUAGUCCAAUCUUGUUUCGACGGUAUUGUGGGAUGAAGCGGCCCGGACCGACCUUACACGUACACUUACGUGAGACAGGUUCCACCGACUGACAUGCACUUGUUGCAUAAGGUGGCUAGCGGGUGCCAGUCUCUCCCACUUUAGUCGGAUCGGAUUUGAUGAACAGGGUCCUUAUGAAGGGUAAAUAGCAAUUGGCAUAUCACGUUGUGGCUUUUGCGUAGGUAAGAAACGUUCUUGCUAGAAACCCAUAGCAGCCAAGUAAAACAUGCAAACAACAAUUAGAGGACGUCUGACUUGUUUUUGCAGGGUAUGCUAUGUGAUGUGAUAUGGCCAAGAAGAAUGUGAUUAAUGAUAUGUGAUGUAUGAGAUUGAUCAUGUUCUUGUAAUAGGAAUCACGACUUGCAUGUCGAUGAGUAUGACAACCGGCAGGAACCAUAGGAGUUUUCUUUAUUUAUUGUAUGAGCUGCGUGUCAUUGAACAACGCCAUGUAAUUACUUUACUUUAUUGCUAACCGGUAGCUAUAGUAGUAGAAGUAAUAAGUUGGCGAGACAACUUCAUGGAGACACGAUGAUGGAGAUCAUGAUGAUGGAGAUCAUGGUGUCAUGCCGGUGACGAUGAUGAUCAUGGAGCCCCGAAGAUGGAGAUCAAAAGGAGCAAAAUGAUAUUGGCCAUAUCAUGUCACUAUUUGAUUGCAUGUGAUGUUUAUCAUGUUUAUGCAUCUUAUUUGCUUAGAACGACGGUAGUAAAUAAGAUGAUCCCUCAUUAAAAUUUCAAGAAAGUGUUCCCCCUAACUGUGCACCGUUGCAAAAGUUCGUCGUUUUGAAGCACCACGUGAUGAUCGGGUGUGAUAGAUUCUUACGUUCACAUACAACGGGUGUAGGCCAGAUUUACACACGCGAAACACUUAGGUUAACUUGACAAGCCUAGCAUGUACAGACAUGGCCUCGGAACACAAGAGACCGAAAGGUCGAGCAUGAGUCGUAUGGUGGAUACGAUCAACAUGAAGAUGCUCACCGAUGAUGACUAGCCCGUCUCACGUGAUGAUCGGACAUGGCCUAGUUGACUUGGAUCAUGUAAUCACUUGGAUGACUAGAGGGAUGUCUAUCUGAGUGGGAGUUCAUAAGAUGAACUUAAUUAUCCUGAACAUAGUCAAAAGAUUUUUGCAAAUUAUGUCAUAGCUCGCGCUUUAGUUCUACUGUUUUAGAUAUGUUCCUAGAGAAAAUAUAGUUGAAAGUUGAUAGUAGCAAUUAUGCGAACAGUAGAAGGCUUAUGUCCUUAAUGCACCGCUCGGUGUGCUGGACCUCGGACGUGGUCUGUGGAUGUUGCGAACAUCUGACAUACACGUUUUGAUGACUACAUGAUAGUUCAGUAUUGUUAAAUGGUUUAGAAUUGAGGCACCAAAGACAUUUUUGAAAUAUCGCAGAACAUAUGAGAUGUUCCAAGAGCUGAAAUUGGGAUUUCAGGCUCGUGCCCAUGUCAAGAGGUAUAAGACCUCCGACGAUUUUCUUAGCCUGCAAACUAAGGGAGAAAAGCUCAAUCGUUGAGCUUGUGCUCAGAUUGUCUGAGUGCAACAAUCACUUGAAUCGAGUGGGAGUUGAUCUUCCAAAUGAGAUAAUGAUGUUUCUCCAAAGUCAUUGCCACCAAGCUACUAGAGCUUUGUGAUGAACUAUAACAUAUCAGGGAUAGAUAUGAUGAUCCUUGAAGUAUUCGCGAUGUUUGACACCGCGAAAGUAGAAGUCAAGUAGGAGCAUCAAUUGUUGAUGGUUAGUAAAACCACUAGUUUCAAGAAGGGCAAGGGCAAGAAAGGGAUACUUCAUGAAACGGCAAAACAGUUGCUGCUCUAGUGAAAACCCAAGGUUGAACCCAAACCCGAGACUAAGUUCUUCUGUAAUGAGAGGAACGGACACUAAAGCAGAACCACCCUAGAUACUUGGUAGAUAAGAAGGCAGGCAAGGUCGACGAAAGUAUAUUGGAUAUACAUUAUGUUAAUGUGUACUUUACUAGUACUCCUAGUAGCACCAGGGUAUUGGAUACCGGUUCGGUUGCUAAGUGUUAGUAACUUGAAAUAAAAGCUAUGGAAUAAAAGGAGACUAGCUAAAGGUGAGUUGACGAUAUGUGUUGGAAGUGUUUCCAAGGUUGAUGAGAUCAAGCAUCGCACGCUCCCUCUACCAUCAAGAUUGGUGUUAAACCUAAAUAAUUGUUAUUUGGUGUUUGCGUUGAGCAUAGACAUGAUUGGAUUAUGUCUAUCGCGAUACGGUUAUUCAUUUAAGGAGAAUAAUGGUUACUCUAUUUAUUUGAAUAAUACCUUCAAUGGUCUUGCACCUAAAAUGAAUGGUUUAUUGAAUCUCGAUCGUAGUGAUACACAUAUUCAUGCCAAAAGAUAUAAGAUAGUAAUGAUAGUACCACAUACUUGUGGCACUGAGUCAUAUUGGUAUAAAAUGCAUGAAGAAGCUCCAUGUUGAUGGAUCUUUGGACUCACUCGUUUUGAAAAGUUUGAGACAUGCGAACCAUGUCUAUUGGUGUAUAUGCAUGAAGAAACUCCAUGCAAAUGGACCGUUUGGACUCACUUGAUUUUGAAUCACUUGAGACAUGCAAAUCAUACCACAUGGGCAAGACGACUGAAAGCCUCGUUUUCAGUAAAAUGGAACAAGAAAGCAACUUGUUGGAAGUAAUACAUUUUGAUGUGUGCAGUCCAAUGAGUGCUGAGGCACACAGUGGAUAUCGUUAUGUUCUUACUUCAUAGAUGAUUUGAGUAGAUACUGAGUAUAUUUACUUGAUGAAACACAAGUCUGAAUUAUUGAAUGGUUCAAGUAAUUUCAGAGUGAAGUUGAAGAUCAUCGUGACAAGAGGAUAAAAUGUCUAUGAUAUGAUCAUAGAGAUGAGUAUCUGAGUUAGGAGCUUUGGCACGCAAUUAAGACAUUGUGGAAAUUGUUUCACAAUUAAUGCCGCCUGGAACACCAUAGUGUGAUGGUGUGUCUGAACAUCAUAGUUGCACCCCAUUGGAUAUGGUGCGUACCAUGAUGUCUCUUAUCAAAUUACCACAAUCAUUCAUGGGUUAGGCAUUAGAGACAACCGCACUCACUUUAAUAGGGCACCACGUAAUUCCGUCGAGACGACACCGUUUGAACUAUGGUUUUGGAGAAACCUAAGUUGUCGUUUCUUAAAAGUUUGGGGCUGCGACGCUUAUGUGAAAAGUUUCAGGUUGAUAAGCUCGAACCCAAAGCAGAUAAAAUGCAUCUUCAUAGGACACCCAAAACACUUGGGUAUACCUCCUAAUUCAGAUCCGGAAGCAAAAGAGAUUGUUUCUAGAAACGGGUCCUUUCUCGAGGAAAAGUUUCUCUCGAAAGAAUUGAGUGGGAAGGAUGUUGGAGACUUGAUAAGGUUAUUGAACCAUCACUUCAACUAGUGUGUAGCAGGGAACAGGAAGUUGUUCCUGUGGCACCUACACCGAUUGAAGUAGAAGCUUAUGAUAGUGAUCAUGAAACUUCGGAUCAAGUCACUGCUAAACCUCGUAGGUCGACAAGGAUGCGUACUACUUUAGAGUGGUACAGUAAUCCUGUCUUGGAGGUCAUGUUGCUAGACAACAAUGAACCUAUAAGCUAUGAAUAAGCGAUGGUGGGCCCGGAUUCUGACAAAUGGCUUGAGGCCAUAAAAUCCGAGAGAGGAUCCAAGUAUGAAAACAAAGUGUAGACUUUGGAAGAACUACUUGAUGGUCGUAAAGGCUGUUGGGUACAGAUGGAUUUCAGAAGAAGACGGACAAUGAUGGUAAAGUGUCACCAUUAAGAAAGCUCGACUUGUCAUUAAGAUGUUUUCCGACAAGUUCAAGGAGUUGACUAUGGUGAGGCUUUCUCACUCGUAGCGAUGAUAAGAGUCUGUUCAAAUUGGAUUAGCAGUUACUGCAUUAUUUAUGAAAUCUUGCAGAUAGGAUGUCAAAAACAUUGUUUCCUGGACAAUUUUCUUGAGGAAAGGUUGUAUGUGAUACAACUAGAAGGUUUUGACAAUCCUGAAGAAAGCUAACAAAUAUGCAAAACUCCAGCAAUCCUUCUAAGGACUGGAGUAAGCAUCUCGGAGUUGGAAUGUACGCUUUGAUGAGAUGAUCAAAGAUUUUGGGUUUAUACAAAAGUUUAUGAGAAACUUGUAUUUCCAAAGAAGUGAGUGGGAGCGCUAUAGAAUUUUUGAUGAGUAUAUGUUGUUGACAUAUUGUUGAUCAGAAAUGAUGUAGAAUUUCUGGAAAGCAUACGGGGUUAUUUGAAAAGUGUUUUUCAAUGGAGAACCUGGAUUAAGCUACUUUAACAUUGAGCAUCAAGAUCUAUGAGGAUAGAUCAAAAAACGCUAAAUGGUACUUUCAAAUGAGCACAUACCUUGACAUGAUCUUGAAGGUGUUCAAGAUGGAUCAGUCAAAGAAGGAGUUCUUGCCUGAGUUGUAAGGUAUGAAGUUAAGAGUUAAAGCUCGACCACGACAGAAGAGAGAGAAAGGACGAAGGUCGUCCCCUAUGCUUCAGACGUAGGCUCUAUAGUAUGCUAUGCUGUGUACCGCACCGGAAGUGUGCCUUGCCAUGAGUCAGUCAAGGGGUACAAGAAUGAUCCAGUAAUAGAUCAUUGGACAGCGGUCAAAAUUGUCCUUGGAGUAAAUAAAGGACAUGUUUCUCGAUUAUGGAGGUGAUAAAGAGUUCGGCAUAAAGGGUUACGUCGAUGCAAGCUUUAACACCUAUCCGAAUGACUCUGAGUAGCAAACCGGAUACGUAUAGUGGAGCAACCAUUUGGAAUAGCUUCAAGUGGAGCGUGGAAGCAACAUUUACAAUAUGACAUAGAGAAUUGCGAAGUACAUACGGAUCUGAAUGUUGCAGACCCGUUGACUAAAACCUCUCUCACAAGCAAAACAUGAUCAAACCCCAUGACUCAUUGAGACUUAAUCACAUGGUGAUGUGAACUAGUUUAGACACUAGUAAACUCUUUGGAUGUUGGUCACAUGACGAUGUGACCUAUCAGUGUUAAUCACAUGGCGAUGUGAACUAGAUUAUUGACUCUAGUGCAAGUGGGAGACUGUUGGAAAUAUGCCCUAGAGGAAAUCAUAAAUUAGUUAUUAUUAUUAUAUUUCCUUGUUCAUGAUAAUCUUUUAUUAUCCAUGCUAUAAUUUUAUUGAUAGGAAACUCAGAUACAUGUGUGGAUACAUAGACAACACCAUGUCCCUAGUAAGCCUCUGAUUGACUAGCUCGUUGAUCAAUAGAUGGUUACGGUUUCCUGACCAUGGACAUUGGAUGUCAUUGAUAACGGGAUCACAUCAUUAGGAGAAUGAUGUGAUGGACAAGACCCAAUCCUAAGCCUAGCACAAAGAUCGUGUAGUUCGUAUGCUAAAGCUUUUCUAAUGUCAAGUGUCAUUUCCUUAGACCAUGAGAUUGUGCAACUCCCGGAUACUGUAGGAAUGCUUUUGGUGUACCAAACGUCACAAUGUAACUGGGUGGCUAUAAAGGUGCACUAUAGGUAUCUCCGAAAGUUUCUGUUGGGUUGGCACGAAUCGAGACUGGGAUUUGUCACUCCGGUUAUCGGAGAGGUAUCUCUGGGCCCACUCGGUAGGACAUCAUCAUAAUGUGCACAAGGUGACCAAGGGGUUGAUCACGGGAUGAUGUGUUACAGAACGAGUAAAGAGACUUGCCGGUAACGAGAUUGAACAAGGUAUCGGCAUACCGACGAUCGAAUCUCGGGCAAGUACAAUACCGCUAGACAAAGGGAAUUGUAUACGAGAUCGAUUGAGUCCUUGACAUCGUGGUUCAUCCGAUGAGAUCAUCAUGGAACAUGUGGGAGCCAACAUGGGUAUCCAGAUCCCGCUGUUGGUUAUUGAUCGGAGAACGUCUCGGUCAUGUCUGCAUGGUUCCCGAACCCAUAGGGUCUACACACUUAAGGUUCGAUGAUGCUAGGGUUAUAAAGGAAGUUUGUAUGUGGUUACCGAAUGUUGUUUGGAGUCCCGGAUGAGAUCCUGGACGUCACGAGGAGUUCCGGAAUGGUCCGGAGGUAAAGAUUUAUAUAUGGGAAGUCCUGUUUUGGUCACCGAAAAAGUUUCGGGUUUUAUCGGUAACGUACCGGGACCACCGGGAGGGUCCCGGGGGUCCACCAAGUGGGGCCACCAUCCCCAGAGGGCUGCAUGGGCCAAGUGUUGGAGGGGACCAGCCCCAGGUGGGCUGGUGCGCCCCCCCCCCCACAAGGGCCCAAGGCGCCUAGGGUUUGGUGAGGGGGGCGCACCCACCUAACUUGGGGGGCAAGUUUCCCCUCUCCCCCCCUUGGCCGCCCCUCAGAUGGGAUCUUGGGCUGGCCGCCGCCCCUAGGGUGGAACCCUAGGUGGGGGCACAGCCCCCCCUCUCCCCGUAUAUAUAGUGGAGGCAAAGGAGCAGCCCAACACACGAAGUUCUUCUCAUGUUGGCGCAGCCCUACCUCUCUUUCUCCUCAUAUCUCGUGGUGCUUGGCGAAGCCCUGCUGGAUCACCACGCUCCUCCACCACCACCACGCCGUUGUGCUGCUGCUGGACGGAGUCUUCCUCAACCUCUCCCUCUCUCCUUGCUGGAUCAAGGCGUGGGAGACGUCACCGGGCUGUACGUGUGUUGAACACGGAGGUGCCGUCCGUUCGGCACUAGGAUCUCUGGUGAUUUGGAUCACGACGAGUAUGACUCCUUCAACCCCGUUCUCUUGAACGCUUCCGCUUAGCGAUCUACAAGGGUAUGUAGAUGCACUCUCCUUCCCCUCGUUGCUGGUUUCUCCAUAGAUAGAUCUUGGUGACACAUAGGAAAUUUUUUGAAUUUCUGCUACGUUCCCCAACACCAUGUUGCUCAGAAGGAGAGUCGCCGUCACGACAUCAAGAUCUUGAGGGCUUGCAGGGAGGACGUGGCCAGCGGCUCUGAGAAGCACAUCACCCUAGAGACUGCAUGGAUGGCGAAGCAGGGCUACCAGUGGACCGAUUCGGAGGAGGAGUAUGUUCCUGGUGUGGAGUCUGGCAACGACGAGUCGUUUUCUGCCUGAGCUACCACCUGUGUUGUCGGUGACCUCUCUGCCUUUUUGGUGUCUCGAUGCCAAAGGGGGAGAGAGUGUAGGAUUUGCGUGCGUGUCGUGUGUUUCGUCGUUUGCUUUGCUUUCCGUCGUUGAACCUGCUUGCUUUGGUUUGGUUGUGCUCGUGAGACUAGGUCUAUCAUAUGGUGUAAUACAUAUGCACUCUCUCGUUAUCUCCUUUUUGAGCUUCUGCUAUUUCAUGCUAUUCAUGUUAUGCUCAUAUCUUCUUUCUUGUUUAGUAUCAGCCUUACCAUUGCAAGGUAUGCUUUGUUUCUAAAAUAUAGGGGGAGUGGUGAUUCUAGUAUUCGUGCCGUGUAGUCCAAAGCACUUUACCCUCUAGCACGAAUCUAGGGGGAGCUCAUCUAUAUUUUAGAAGAUGUGGGGUUUGCCUGUGCUAUAUUCAUUUCAUUUAUGCAAAUCCCGUAUUGUCAUCAAUCCACCAAAAAGGGGGAGAUUGUAAGGGCAUUCUUGUCCCUCAGUACAUUUGGUGAUUGAUGACAAUGCCUUUGCGGACUAAUCGUGUGUAUUGAGCUUUUCAGAUAUAUCACAACUAAACACAAGACGAUUUGAUGCCCCUCGGAGAUUAUUGAAGACGGCUUUUCUCUACAGUUCGGUUCGGUGGAGUUGAGUCGUAGGAAAGCCGUACUAUUAAGAGGGAGUACGCUUUGGAAAGGUUUGGGUGGAAUCUCACGUACACAUUCCCUUUUGCACCGCCUUUCCUCGAGCUCCUCGGAGUGUUCCUCCGUCUCACCUUGUCUCUGCGAAAUGAAGGCCUCCGUCUUGCUCUUCUCAGGCUAGCGGUAGUACUGCUCUUCUGAGCGGUACUACCGCAGGAGCCAGCGGUAGUACUGGGCUCCGGCACGGUAGUACCGUAGGCACCCACGGUAGUACCGCUCCUCUGAGCGGUAGUACCACGAGCUCUGGUCUGGCACCGCUGCUCAAGCGGUGGUAGGCGCGGAUGUAAUUUUUUACAUCCGCGCUCCACGCGGUAGUACCGUGCUGUGGCGCGGUAGUACCGUGGCACCAGGCUAGGUUCAGUAGCAGGAGCGGAGGUAGGGGCGGAUGUAUUUUUUUACAUCCGCACCCUUCACGGUAGUACCGCACUCUCGGUCACGGUAGUUCCGUGUCGGAUUUUUGCAUGACAUUUUCUCAGCGGAGGUAGUCACGAAUGUAAUUUUUUACAUCUUUGCCAACCGGGCCUGGCUUGUGGCUGUCUUGCGGUAGUAUCGCAUGGGGCCGCGGUAGUACCGCUCCUACGGAUCUACCGCGCCCUGUCGGUGCUCCUUUUGCCUGGUCUGGACUCUGUCGUGCUCACGGUAGUUCUGCGGUCCACCGCGGUAGUACCGCAGGCCCGUGCGGUAGUACCGCGCCUGUGGAGCGGUAGUUCCGUGGGUCGCGGGCUGAGUGGUGGGUAACGGUUGGAAUUGUCCCCCCACUAUAAAAGGGGGUCUUCUUCUCCAAGAAGACUCACCUCUUCCAACCCUAAACUCCAUUGUUGCUCCAAGCUCCAUUUUCGACCGAUCUCUCUCCCUAGCCAAUCAAACUUGUUGAUUUGCUCGGGAUUGGGUGACAAGGCCCCGAUCUACACUUCCACCAAGAGAUAUUCUAUUCCCCCCACUAAUGCCUAGCAGAUCUUGUUACUCUUGGGUGUUUGAGCACCCUAGACGGUUGAGGUCACCUCGGAGCCAUAGUCCAUUGUGGUGAAGCUUCAUGGUGUCGUUGGAAGCCUCCAAUUAAGUUGUGGAGAUUGCCCCAACCUUGUUUGUAAAGGUUCGGUCGCCGCCUUCAAGGGCACCAAUAGUGGAAUCACGGCAUCUCACAUUGUGUGAGGGCAUGAGGAGAUUACGGUGGCCCUAGUGGUUUCUUGGUGAGCAUUGUGCCUCCACACCGCUCUAACGGAGACGUACUUCCCCUUAAAAGGAAGGAACUUUGGUAACACAUCCUCGUCUCCACCGGCUCCACUCUUGGUUAUUUCGUGCCUUUACUUUUGCAAGCUUACUUGUGUUGUAUCCCUUGCUUGCUUAUGUGCUAGUUGUUUUUGCAUCAUAUAGGUUGCUCACAUAGUUGCAUAUCUAGACAACCUAUUUUGUUGCAAAGUUUAAUUUGGUAAAGAAAAGCUUAAAAAUUGUUAGUUGCCUAUUCAACCCCCCCCCCUAGUCAACCAUAUCGAUCCUUUCAAAGUCCAAUGUUGGCACGGAAGGAUCCGGCGAACAAGCAUCACCUGGAUCACGUUGACGAGCUUGAUUCCUUGUUUAUCAUGUUCUGGACGCGUGUCUGGAGCCCCAUCAGCUCGUCCAGGGAAGACCAGGUCAGGCCUUUCUCUUUCCAGGAGGUAAGCCGCAUCAGGACUCCGGACUGGAAUGCGGGAGCCGCUACCCAGUUGGUGUCGCGUGGCUCUGUGAUGUAGAACCACCCCGACUGCCACCCUUUGACAUCUCCACGAAGGAGCCUUCAGGCCAGGUGACAUUGGGCAUCUUGCCCACCAUGGCUCCUCCGCACUCUGCUUGCUGACCGCUCACCACCUUUGUCUUCACAUUGAAAGUCUUCAGCCAUAGUCUGAAGUGAGGUGGGAUGCGGAGGAAGGCCUCGCACACGACAAUAAAUGCCGAGAUGUUGAGGAUGGGGUUGGGGGCUAGAUCGUGGAAGUCCAGCCCGUAGUAGAACAUGAGUUCGCAGACAAACGGGUGGAGAGGGAAUCCCAGCCGGCAGACAAAGUGUUGAGAUAAACACCACCCUCUCCGGGGGCUCCGGGGAGGGGACGAUCUGUCCCUUGGCCGGAAGCCGAUGGGCGAUUUCCUUGGCGAGGUACCUGGCCUCUCGGAGCUUCGUGAUAUCCUUAUCCUUGACAAAGGAGUCCAUCCAUUUGCCUCCUGCUCCGGAUCUGGACAUGGUUGGAGUGCUUUUUGGGCGGAGAAGGCGAGAGCUUGGGCGCUGGAGCUCGAGAAUGGAUGGGCAGAGGAAGGAGAAGGCGUGGGUGAAAAGGGUGAAUCCUUAUCCCUUUAUAAAGGCAGUAAAAGUCAUGUGCCUCCCCACUCGUCUUAAAACUCGCCUAUUCCCCAAAGGCUGUGUAGAUGGCAUAGUUGGGUUACCCAUGCCCGUAUUGAUGAGAAUCCCGUGAUAAGGGGACACGAUCUCUGCUUUGACAAGACGUGCAAAUAAAACCGCACCUCGAAAUAUGAAGCGGCGGGCUACAAAACGGUUCGAAUAAUGACCGUGCGGUGACAUGAUGUCGCACUAUAAAAGGUUGUCAGUAGAUUGGACUCGUAAAAUAUUAUACUCUCUACGGUUGUGUGUGGAACUUGUUUUGUAGAGCCAGACACGAUUCUUGGGUUUGAAGUCUACUUUGAAGUAUUCAAAGAAGGAACCCGCCUUGCAAUGCCGAAGACAAUCUACGCGCCGAACUGAUCAUCAUUGAAGUCUGGUUCAAGGGCUACUGAGGGAGUCAUGGAUUAAGGGGUCCUCAGACGGCUGGGCUAUUAACAUGGGCCAGACUGUUGGGAUAUGAAGAUACAAGACAGAAGACUUCUUCCCGUGUCCGGAUGGGACUCUCCUUUGCAUGGAAGGCAAGCUUGGCGAUUCGUAUAUGUAGAUUCUUUUCUCUAUAACUGACUUUGUACAACCCUAGUCCCCUCCGGUGUCUAUAUAAACCGUAGGGUUUAGUCCAUAGGGCACAACCAUAAUCCCAUAGGCUAGACUUCUAGGGUUUUAGCCAUUAUGAUCUCGAGGUAGAUCAACUCUUGUAAUACUCAUAUUCAUCAAGAUCAAUCAAGCAGGAAGUAGGGUAUUACCUCCAUAGAGAGGGCUCGAACCUACGUAAACAUCGUGUCCCCCGUCUCCUGUUACCAUCAACCUUAGAUGCACAGUUCAGGACCCCCUACCCGAGAUCCGCCGGUUUUGACACCGACAAGAACCGCCUGGGCUGAAGAGAAGACUGCUCUUACGCAGCGGGCUGAAAAAGCGGAAGUUGCUAUCCAAGAGGUGACCACCGAGCUUACCGGUUUAAAACGUCGUAUAUCCCAGAUGGUUUUUGCUAUCUUCGGUAAGCAUCCUAACCGAGUUUUAUCUUUCAUGUCAUAAACUGCCUCUGAUCAAUCGGCAAUUGUUACAUAGGUCCUAGAUGCAGCAAUCUUGGUCAAGAGAUCUUGUGAAGCUCAAAGUCGUAUAUACGCUCGUUGAACAGCUAUAUACUGGAACUUAGCGCACGCUGGCCACAAUUUCUCCAACUAAGCAAGCACCCACUCUGUUGAGUGACGUCUUGAAAAACUUUCUAUUCUGUCUGCUAGGAUUGAAGAGAUAAAACGAUCAUCUACAAGAGCCAGUGCUGUGAAGGCUUUAAGCCGGGCUAAAGCAUGGAAACCAGAGCUAUACUCGACCGAUCUAGCUACUGGGUAUCCAAGUUUAAAACAAGACGACACACCCUUUGACAAGAAAGACUUCACUACUUGUGUGAAAGAAAUACGUCCCUUGGCCAGUCUGACUGCUAAUGAGACGGAUAUUUCAAAAUAUCAACCAGCUUACGAUAUGGAGAAUUAGAAGAUGCCCACGCUGGCUUACAAAGUGAUGGACCUGAUCCCUCCAGCCCGUAAGCAUACUUUCGCCCAUGAAGUUGAUUUGUCCGAACUUAUAGAUGAUGAAGCUGAAUUCCAAACCUUGUGUGUCAUCGAUUGGUCAUCACCAAACUUCCAGGCAGCAAAGGAGGACGAAGAACCAGAGAAGGAUGAUCCAGAAGCUUCAAGCUGUCAAGGCCAAGAAAAUUGAUCUGCUGGGCAGUUUAUAUAUUUGAUCUUUUGAAAACACUUAAUCAUUUUGGCUCAUUGAGUCAUGUAAUAGGAUAGUAAAACUUUGAUCUGCCGUGCCGUCAUGCAUGUUUUGUUUUGCGCAACACUGCUGAUCCACCAGUUGAAAAACCACCACUUUAUGCUUAUGAUAGGUUCAAUCAGAUUUAGCAUUAUCCUGCAUAUAGACAGAUCACAAGUGCCCUGGCAGUUUACCGUAUGGUGGGUCAUAAUACCUCAUAUAAAAAUACUGGUGACUAAAAUAGUUCAUGACCAGGUCCGGUUUAAACAUAACCAUAUAUAAUCAUAACAAAAAACAUCAUACCUGUUAUAUGUAAUCACAUUGUCGGCUUAUCAAACCAGUGUGGUACGGGUAACAACCGAGAAUAUUGAGCAUAUAAUGCUAUGUUUAAUCAUUAUAUACUGUUGGCUUACAACACCGUUUGCAGCAAGGGAUAAUAUCUCAAAACUUAGAGCACAAUGCUUCCAGUAUCAUCAUGUACUGGCGACUUAUAGUCCAAAGCCAGGCCGGGUUAUCAAAACCACGGAUACACUCAGGAUGAGCGAUAGAAAUUAAGGCUACAAGGCCUGAAUUGGUUUUUAAACCAUAUGUCAAUAUGGUACAAAGAUGAACCCAAAAAGUUCAAAUAGAGAACAAUAAAACAGAAAAACAAGGCUUUUAUAGGCUGCCAAGCCGAAAUCUCAAGUGCGUUCAAUGGGCUGCAUAACCACUGGGUUAAACCUUCAUGCAAACCUUAUAAGCCGGGCCUCACAUGACCAAUCGUCGUUUUAACUUUUGACAAAUUCAGGGUCUUAUAUAAGAUUGACUGUCAAAAGUACGGCAGGUCAUUCCAGUCAAUCUGGGCGGAGUGGCAGACUUAAAAAGGCAGGAUAACCCGGGUUUUUAGGUGAAUACACCUGGCUUCCAAGCCUGGCUUUUAAGCCUAUUACAAGGGUCAUAAAAACUCUUGUCCGUUGAACAAGGAGCCCCAAGUAGCAUUUAAUUAAGUCGGAUCAAGAGAGUAAUCAAGGCUCUGCUCAUGAAGCAGGUCACCCCCAAGUGAUCUCAAAGCAGGGUACCUAUGUUUGAGUUGUGCUUUGCAACAGACUCUCUUUGGUCCCUUUAUCUCAGGUAUCAAGCCCCCAAGUGUUUUGUAAGCAUGGCGUAUAAGCCGGAUUGAAGGGUAAUCAUAGCUUCAUUCAAUGAACAAGAAUCCCCCAUGUGACCGUAUGAAGUGUCAAUAAAGACUCAUUAUUAUCAUAAAUGAAAUGACAGAGGCCCUGCUUGAUUAGGGAUGCUGGCUUUAUCAUAUUCAUCAUACUAUAUACAUUAUCAAAAUAUGUACAUCACAAGAGCCGGUGGCUCAGGUGUAAUAAGGCCGAAGAUGAGCAAUAUUCCAUGGCCGGCGGGUCUCCUCCUCCAAUGUGUAUGAGUCCUUGUGGUCUCGAACAUCGAUAAGGUAGUAUGACCCAUUGUUCAGAUUUUUGCUGACCACAAAGGGCCCUUCCCAAGGUAGGGAUAACUUGUGCAUAUCAGAUUGAUCCUGGAUAAGCCGGAGCACCAAGUCGCCUUCUUGAAAGGUUCUGGUUUUAACCUGACGGAUGUGAUAAUGGCGUAAAUCUUGCUGGUAAAUUGCCGACCGAGCCGCCGCGAGGUCACACUCCUCAUCUAACAGGUCAAGUGCAUCCUGACGUGCUUUUUCAUUGUCAGCUUCAACAUAAGCCGCCACACGGGGCGAGUCAUGACGGAUGUCACUAGGGAGAACCGCCUCUGCUCUGUAAACCAUGAAGAAAGGUGUGUAACCCGUAGAUCUGUUGGGGGUAGUAUUGAUACUCCAUAACACAAACGGUAACUCCUCCAACCAACAACCCAGUGUUCUCUGCAAAGGAACCAUAAGCCGGGGCUUGAUGCCUCUCAAAAUUUCCUGAUUGGCUCUCUCAGCUUGACUGUUGGAUUGGGGGUGAGCCACUAAUGAUACAUCAAGUCGAAUAUGCUCACGUUGACAAAACUCUUUCAUAGCUCCCUUUGACAUAUUAGUGCCAUUAUCAAUUAUAAUGUUGUGGGGAAAUCCAAAGCGGAAAAUCACCUUUUUAAUGAACUAAACCGAUGUUGCCGCAUCACACUUACUCACCGGCUCUGCUUUAACCCACUUUGUGAAUUUGUCAACUGCCACCAAAAGGUGGGUCUUUUUAUCCUUGGACCUUUUGAAAGGCCCAACCAUAUCAAGCCCCCAAACUGCAAACAGCCAAGUAAUUGGAAUCAUCCUCAACUCUUGAGCCGGCACAUGAGCUCGUCGUGAAAAUUUCUGACAACCAUCACAUUUACUGACCAAAUCCUCUGCAUCAGCAUGAGCCAUCAGCCAAUAAAAUCCAUAACGAAAAGCUUUAGCCAUAAGAGAUUUAGAACCGGAAUGAUGACCACAAUCUCCUUCAUGAAUCUCGUGAAGAAUUUCAUGGCCCUCUUCAGGAGAAACGCAACAUUGAAACGCCCCAGUAACACUGCAAUGGUGCAGCUCUUCGUUGACAAUUGUCAUUGAUUUAGACCGCCGGGUUAUCUGUCUGGCUAAGGUAUCAUCCUCAGGUAACUCGCCCCGGGUCAUAUAAGCCAAAUAUGGAAUUGUCCAAUCGUGAAUAGCAUGAAGAGCCGCCACCAAUUAUGCCUCCAGGCCAGGAACAACAAGAUCCUCCUCUGUAAGCAAUUUGAUUGAAGGGUUAUGCAAAAUAUCCAGGAAAGUGUUAGGUGGCACCGGCUUACGCUAGGACCCUAACCGGCUCAAAGCAUCAGUCGCCUCAUUCUUCCUACGAUCAAUAUGUUCAACUUGAUAACCUUUGAAAUGACCAGCAAUAAUAUCAACCUCACGACGAUAAGCCACCAUGAGUGGUUCUUUAGAAUCCCAUUUGCUUGAAACUUGUUGUGCCACCAAAUCUGAGUCACCGAAACAUCUCACCUGGCUUAAAUUCAUCUCCUUAGCCAUCCGAAGACCAUGGAGCAAGGCUUGAUACUCAGAUGCAUUGUUAGUACAAGGGAACAUCAACCUUAAGACAUAACAGAAUUUAUCACCUCGUGGGGAAGCCAAGACAACUCCAGCCCCCGAGCCUUCCAACUGCCUGGACCCAUCAAAAUGAAUAGUCCAAUAUGUGUUACCCGACUUAUCCUCAGGCAUCUGCAGCUCUGUCCAGUCAUUGAUGAAAUCCACAAGUGCUUGGGAUUUGAUGGCCGUGUGAGGCAUAUAUUUCAAACCAUGAGGUCCAAGCUCAAUAGCCCACUUGGCUACUCUACCUGUGGCUUAUCUAUUUUGAAUAAUGUCCCCUAACGGAACAUAACUAACCACAGUGAUAGGAUGACCAAGGAAAUAUUGCUUGAGCUUUCGACUAGCCAUAAACACCCCAUAGACAAGCUUCUGCCAGCGCGGAUAUCUCUGCUUGGACUCAAUAAGCACUUCACUGAAGUAAUAAACGGGCCUCUGAACCGGAUAUUCCUUGCCUGCUUCCUUCCGUUCCACCACAAUAGCUACGCUGACAGCCCUGGCACUAGCAGCCACAUAUAACAACAAUGGCUCCUUAUCAAUAGGAGCAGCAAGGACUGGCGGCUCAACCAGUUGUUUCUUCAAGGCUUCAAAUGCUUCAUUAGCAGCAUCACUCCAGACAAAAUUAUCUGUCUUUUUCAUCAUCUAAUACAGAGGGAUAGCCUUCUCUCCCAGCCGGCUUAUAAAUCAGCUUAAGGCCGCGAUACGACCCGCCAGACGCUGAACAUCAUUUGAACAUCAUUGACACACGCAGGCUUAGCCAAGGAAGUAAUAGCCUUAAUUUUUUCCGGGUUAGCUUCAAUACCCCGUUGAGAAACCAAAAAGGACAAAAUCUUGCCUGAUGGCACACCAAAAACACACGUGGUCGGGUUAAGCAUCAUCUUGGAGACUCGGAGAUUGUCAAAGGUCUCCUUCAAAUCAUCUAUCAAAGUUUCCUUCUUUCUGGAUUUCACCACAAUAUCAUCCACAUAAGCAUGAACAUUGCACCCAAUCUGAUCAUGAAAACAAUUUUGCACACAGUGCUGGUAAGUCGCCUGGGCACUCUUGAGCCCGAAAGGCAUAGACACAUAACAGAAGGCUCCAAAAGGAGUGAUGAAAGCCGUCUUAUCCUCAUCCUUAACUGCCAUCUUGAUCUGAUGAUAACCAGAAUAAGCAUCCAAAAAACUCAAACACUCACAACCCGCUGUAGCAUCAAUGAUUUGAUCAAUACGAGGGAGAGCAAAAGGAUCAGCCAAACAGGUCUUAUUUAAAUCCGUGUAGUCCACACACAUACGCCAAGUGUCAUUCUUCUUAAGUACCAGCAUCGGGUUAGCCAACCACUCCGGAUGAAAGACUUCAACAAUGAACCCAGCCGCCAAGAGCCGGGCCACUUCUUCACCAAUGGCCUUAUGCCUCUCCUCAUUGAAGUGACGAAGGAAUUGCUUGGCCGGCUUAAACUUUGGAUCAAUAUUAAGAGUGUGCUCAGCGAGUUCCCUCGGUAUACCUGGCAUAUUAGAAGGUUUCCAUGCAAAGAUGUGCCAGUUCUCACGGAUGAACUCGAUGAGCGCGCUUUCUUAUUUUGGAUCCAGGUUAGCACUGAUACUGAACUGCUUGGAUGAAUCGCCAGGAACGAAGUCAACUAGCUUAGUGUCAUCGUCCGACUUAAACUCCAAUACUGGAUCAUGCUCUGUAGUUGGCUUCUUCAAAGAUGCCAUAUCCGUCGGGUCAACAUUGUCUCUGUAGAACUUCAAUUCCUCUAUUGCUCAGCAUAAGAAGCGUCGCCUUCUUCACACUCCAAAGCUAUUUUCUGGUUUCCAUACACUAUGAUUGUCCCCUUGUAACCCAGCAUCUUGAGCUGCAGAUAAACAUAACAAGGUCGUGCCAUGAACUUGGCAUAAGCCGGCUGCCCAAACAGAGCGUGAUACGGGCUUUUAAUCUUGACCACUUCAAAGGUUAGCCUCUCGGCCCUGGAAUAAUGUUCAUCCCCAAAGGCUACUUCCAAAUCAAUCUUGCCUACAGGAUACACCGACUUACCAGGCACCACUCCAUGAAAAACAGUAUUGGACGGCUUAAGAUUUUUAUCAGUUAACCCCAUACGACAGAAAGUAUCAUAGUAAAGGAUAUUAAUGCUGCUACCUCCAUCCAUGAGUACCUUAGUGAACUUGUAUCCUCCAACCUGAGGCGCCACCACCAAAGCCAAAUGACUCAGAUUAUCAACCCGGGGCGGGUGAUCCUCUCGACUCCACACAAUGGGCUGCUCGGACCAUCGCAAGUAAUGGGGAAUCACCGGCUCAACAGCAUUUUAUGGAGCUUUUGAUCCCGCUUGCAUAGACUUGUGGUGAAGACAUGAUACUGCCCACUAUUCAACUGCUUUGGAUUACUCUGAUAACCCGACUGCUGCUGCUGAUCCCCCCUGACCGGGCUAUUGAUUAUAACCACCCUAAUUGCCUUGAUUGCCCUGGCCUUGAAAACCGACAUUAGAACCGCCACCACCGUAACCCGGACCAUGAGAACCGGAACCUGAGCCGCCACCCGGCCCAUGAUUAUUCUGGAAAAUACAGGAAUUUUUGUACUCUUUCAUGAUGAAGCAAUCUUUCCAGAGGUGAGCGGGCGACCUUUCAUGUGUACUAUGCUUCGGACAGGGCUGAUUCAACAUCUGCUCAAGAUUGAAAUUUGACCCUCCAAACCGGGGAGGCGGCUUUCCCUUACGACGAUGACCAUUAUUCUGCAUGUUGGUAUUAGCCAGAAAGUCCAAACUGUUAUCAGCCUUGUGUUUACCAUUGCCCCCUGAUUCACCGGGUUAUGAUGAUGUCUCUUAGCGUUGCCACUCUUCUUUCCCUUUCCCGGCUUUUCAUCAUCAGACUCGGGGUCCUUGGUACUAUCAGAGUCGGCAUACUUAACCAGAGCUGCCAUCAGUUCCCCCAUGUCACUACAGUGGUGCUUGAGCCGCCCUAACUUCUGUUUAAGGGGCAAAAAUCGGCAAUUCUUCUCUAACAUCAAUACUGCUGAGCGUGCAUUGAUGCGAUCCGAUGAGUGCAGGAUAGUUGAGACCCGGCGCACCAAAUGGGUUGUUGACUCGCCCUCUUCCUGGAUACAGGCAUCCAAAUCCACAAUUGACAUAGGCUUCUUGCACGUAUCUUUAAAAUUCUGAAUAAACCGGGCUUUUAACUUGGCCCACGAGCCAAUGGAGUUGGCAGGUAGCCCUUUCAACCACGUGUGAGCCGUUCCAUCCAACAUCAUGGUGAAAUACUUAGCACAUGCAGUAUCGCUAACAUCCAGCAGUUCCAUGGCCAUCUCGUAACUCUCGACCCAAGCAUCAGGGGGUAAGUCAGUGGUGUAGUUAGGCACCUUGCGAGGACCCUUGAAAUCCUUAGGCAAGCGCUCAUUACGUAGAGCCAGCACUAAACAUGGCACACCCAAAGUUCUGAAGGUCAAGCCUGUUUCCACCGAAUUUGUCGGGUGAGCCGGAGAAUGCUGACGAGCUGCAUAUUGAGCUGCCAGCUCAGUCUCCCGACACGCUCUACCCUGAUCCACAACAUUCUGAGCAUUACCUCCACUCUGCGCCGGCUCAUGCCCACGAGGCGGGUUGCGGUUUCGUCCACUGCUUGACACGGCCGGUUCAUCAAUAUGCCUGCUAUAACUUUUGCUUGGACGUGGUGUAGAGUGGAUACGGUCCCGACUGUAUGAAUAAGCUUCCUGUUGAGCCACAGCCGUCUGGAGUAGCUCCCCGCCUCGUCGUAUUUCCACCGCUGUCGGUGAUUCGCCCUCAACCGGCAGAGCCGCCAGUCGUGUUGCCGCGGCAAUCAUGUUAUCCAAAGGAUUAGAAUAAUGACCCGACGGUGUCAGUACAUACUAAGGCGGGGUAGUAUUCAGACAAGGUGGCUCCGUCGUGCGCGGCUGAGCCGGCGCUCCAGCCCCAGGUGCUUCAACCUGGUUUAUCUCUGGUUGGUUACUGGUCCCCGCUCCAGGUGUGCAAAAGAGGUUUCUCGCCUCGUAAACCGGAGGUAGACGAGACUGAUGCCUCCUCCUCGUGACUUCAUUUGAAGCAUUUUGAUCCAUCGUAAGCCGGAAGGCCUCUGACUGAAUCCGCUGUGCCUGAGCAUCUAAAGCAGCCCGCUCUGUGUCCAUCCUGAUGUUCUCUGCAUUCAGUCCUCCUUGGCAUGUGCUAUCUCAUCACGCAAUUUUGCAACUUCCGCAUUGUGCUGAACUUGAUUUGCUGGGUUAACCUCCGUUGUUAACAAUGUUGUCAGAUUAUCCAGCAAAUCAGUCAAAACCUGAGCUGGCGGGCGCACAGGGCCUCCUGCCCCAGCUGCCAUUGCCGUUGCUGACCCGGAGACCAUUGCUGCCGCAGUCGAAGAAUUAUGUGCGGGCUGUGUACCGGUCAUGAAAAUCGCAACCCUAUUUGGUGGCUCAUAGGGGUCCGGAAUACUAUCGCCAUCGGAAUAGCCCCCAAGCUGGUCAUCUUGCAAUUGGUACGGCGAAUCUGUAUCACUAGUGGACGACUCACCAUCGGAGUAGACAACCGUCUCACCACCAGACACCGAUCUAUCCUCAAAUUCCGCCCCAUGGACGAAUCCCACGAAGGCACGCUUCAUGGCAGGCUGAACUCGGGCGGGUCGCGCACGCUGAGCCGUCUCGAUGAUGUCGAUGCAGAUGUCCGGCUCAGGGCCCGGUUCACUGAUCUUGCCAAUGAAAGUGUGGAUUCCGCCGAAGGGGACCCAGUACCCGUACUGAGUUGAUCCGGCCUUGGGGCCCCAGCCUGCAUCGUUGAUGUAGAGCUUGCCGCGACGACUCUUGGUCAUCCGGCCCACAGCGUAUCCCUUGAUCCCUUCGAAGCUGCCCUUCAAGAACUCAAAACCACCGCGCACUGGCCCCAUGGUGGGCGCCAACUGUCAUGGAAUUGUCACGACAGAUGUCCUAGUGUGAGGGCUUAGUCGUGGAGCCAUUGCAACUAGGUCCCGAGUGCCAUGAUUUCAGAUAUGAACCGUUCAUGUUUUCACCAUUGUAUCUAUGUUCUGGAUCCAAUCUUGCUAGUCAUAUGCACCUGCUACGUGUUAUGAUCCGUAAAAGCUAGAGUGACAGUAAUUGGGAUACUUUCCGGUGAUGACCGUAGUUUGAAGUAUUCAUGUAUUCACUAUGUGUUAAUCCUUUGUUCCGGUUCUCUAUUAAAAGAAGGCCUUAAUAUCCCUUAGUUUCCUUAUUGACCCCGCUGCCACGGGGGCGGGAGGGGGGGCGGGUAGGACAAAAGGUGCCAUGCUAGUUCUAUUCCAUAAGAACGUAUGACUAUUUACGGAAUAUAUGCCUACAUUAUAUUUAUGAACUGGAGCUAGUACUGUGUCACCCUAGGUUAAGACUGUUAUAUGAUGAAUAUCAUCAAAUGAAUUCACCGAUCCAAUGCCUAUGAGUUUUCCACAUAUUGUUCUUGCUAAGUUACUAUUGCUAUUGUCACAACUGCUACAAAAUUGUUACUGCUAUUACUGUUACCACUGCUAUCGUCACCACUACUAUCAAACUAUCAUAUUGUUGUGCUACUGAUCACUUUGCUGCAGAUAUUUAAUCUCCAGGUGUGGUUGAAUUGACAACUCAACUACUAAUACAUGCAAAUAUUCUUUGGCCCCCCUUGUGUAGAAUCUAUAAAUUUGGGUUGAAUACUCCACCCUCGAAAACUGUUGCGAUCCCCCAUACUUGUGGGUUAUCACCCACCACCGACCUCCCGCCACUGCUAUAACCGCAUCAGUGGCGGGUGCCCACCCACCACUGGUACAUAGCUUCCUGUGGAGGGCGCUAGUUCCUACCCGCCACAGAAACCACUGUAGUAGUGGCGGUUCUGCCACAACGCCUGCCACUGGAGAGAUAUGAUAGAAUAUACCAAUUGCUGGUAUUACGGUUGACACAUUACUCCAAAAGACAUAGUCAUAUGAUUAUCAAUAUAACUGAACCAGACUGAAUCAUUUUGGAAACAAAUGACCAAUUAAUUAAGUAAAACUGCAAAUUUGUUCGACUCAAGAAGCAACAUCAAUGUAUCGAUCACAUCCAUCUUAACAUACUAAUUAACUAACAGUUCAUCGGCUAAUAUAUUCAUGACUUAGACCAUAUUUCUAAACAUGGUCAACGACAACCAUCAUCUGAAAGUUAUUGUGGUUGCUCUUCCUUAUGGUGAUUAUCACAAGCGUGUCCACCCUUAGUUCUCUCUUUCCCGUCAUGAACUCACACCAGCCGGACUCAUAGAAGGAUAUGCGCUCGUCGGAUUCUGUCUUGUAAUAAAUGUUGGUCACAUGCCCCGUUGUUCCAUGUCGUACUCCAGCAGUGCCGACAACGGUGAUGUCCACUCCAAAAAACAUUUUCAUAAGUAACUUCUGAACUCCCCAUCAUUAAGAGAAAAAAGAAAGCAUAAAAUGUUAGACAUCUCACCAUACUUGGUUACGAACAAAAAAAAUAUGAAAGAAUACAAAACAUCUCACCAUGACUUUUUUGAUGUCAUUGGUUUUAGUUAAACGGUGCACAAAGGGCUUCCCAACGAAGGUCACACUCGAUGGUAACAUCGCGGUAACAUUCAAGGUCUCAUCCUGAGUAAGCUUCCUUAUUCUUUGAGAGAAAAUUACUGAACUGAAUGGACCAUCGUCAACAUCCUCCUCAUCAUCAUCAUUUGGCUCAUCCUCGUCAUUCCGGCCGUCAUCAUCAUCCGAUCUAUCCUCAUCUUCACGGCUGCCCUCAUCAUCUUGGUUGUCUCCAUCAUCCUGGUGAUCCUGGCUAUCAUCAUGAUCCUGGUCAUCGUCAUCGUCAUUGUUGCAGAAAUACAUUGUCCUUAACCUAUUGACCUAUCCAUUCACAGAAAGGCUAUGUACUCUCCUCCGGUGAAAUUAUUCUAUGCAAUGUCCUGCUCCCAUCCGUCGCCAUAUAGUUCUAUCCUUUCGUUUACGCACAUCCAGUUCGAAUGCCCAUAUCAUCCUCAAAGUAAAUAAUUUUACCGCAUAAAUAGUUGAAGUCAACCCUCAUGUUGCAUACGAUACACUAUGCAGCAGUUAAUCAUUAACAAUAAAGUCAGCAAAGUAAUUAUACAAAUGGUUAGAAUAGAAUAUUAAUUGAAGUUAAAGACUGUUACCAUAGAUUUUUGAAAUCAAUUUGUCAACAAGAGUUUGAAAUCUACUACAGUAUCCAGACUGUCCAUACAUGGACAUUUGCAGAUAUGGUAGAUCUGACGCCUCAUGAUCCCUAAUAAUCAUUAUAAAGCACUUAUCAAUUAUAAAUGAUUAACAUGAAUACUAGCUUAAGAAUUGAGAGGAGAACUGACUAACAAGGAUUCAAGAAAAUUUGGCAUGACCUUUGCUGAAUAUUGAACAUAUUUUGUGUACCAGACAUUUGAAAAAAUGGAAGUUAAUCAAUGUUUCAUUAAAACACUGGCACUCAUUUUCAAAACCCAUGCACUUGUCAUAUGUAAGCAAAUUAAAUAAUAUUGUCAUAGCAAAUGAUAUUCGACAUGAACUUUGCUUACAAAGUUGACGUAUGGAGUGACAAAAAUUUGGUGAAAUGGAAAUGAAUCAAUGUUUUGCAAAAACUUGGUCACUCUUUUUCAAAUCCCUGUGAAUAACAUGAAGCCCAUGCACUUCUCAUAUGUAAGAAAAUUCAAACAUCAUUGCACUUGUCAUAUUUAGCAAUUCUGAUGCUAAACCCAUGCACUUGUCAUAUUAAACAAAUUAAAAAAUAUUGUCAUAGCAAAUGAAAUUCGGCAUCAACUUUGCUUACAAAGUUGACAUAUGGAGUGACAGAAAAUUGGCGAAACCGAAAUUAAUCAACGCUUUCCAAAAACUUUGUCACUCCUUUUCAAAUCCAUGUGAAUAACAUGAAGCCCAUGUACUUCCCAUAUGUAAGAAAUUCAAACAACAUUGCCACUUGUCAUAUUUAGCAAUGUUGAUGCUAAACCCAUGCACUUGUCAUAUGUAAGCAAAAUAAAAAAAAAUUGUGAUAGCAAAUGAAAUUCGGCGUGAACUUUGCUUACAAUGUUGACAUAUGGAAUAGCAAAAAUUUGUCGAGAUGGAAAUGAAUCAAUGUUUCGCAAAAACUUUAUCAUUCUUUUUCAAAUCCUUGUGAAUAAAAUGAAGGCCAUGCACUUCUCAUAUGUCACUUGUCACUUAUCAUAUUGCCACUUGUCAUAUUUAGCAAUGUUCCAAAUAUUCGGAUACCUAUGGAUACGAAAAAGAGCUAUUUCAAUUAUCUAGUGCUACUCUGCUGUUGUGAUGCUCUCUUAUAUGAUGUACAACUAGUUAAUCCAGAAAUUAAUAAGAUGCAAAUUCUAAACCCUAGAGCAUAAUUUAGUCACGGAGAUAUAGUAUACCAUUGGCGGGUUUUUCGACCGCAGUCGAGGCGAAGGAUGGCGGUGGUGGUCGAGGCAGAGGACGAGGCAGUGGCCAAGGCGGAGGACGACGGCGACGGUCGAUGUAGAGGACGGAGGCAAUGGUCGAUGCAGAUGAUGGAGGAAGUGCGCCAUCGAAGCGGGCGGCAUCGGUCAAGGCGGACGGCGCGACGGCGAGCAGAUCCUGCGGCUCUCGUGGAGCCGGACGCGUGGAAGGCAGCACCGGCUUGUCGGAAGGACGACGGCGGCCAAGGCACGGGAUAUCGGAAGGGAAGACGAGAGGAACUAGCAGAGAGAAAGAAAACAAUGGAAAUGAAAAUGUUGUAGAUGGUUGGGCGGGUGCGGAAGGGGAACUUUCCGUGGAGAACAGUGGGGCAAGAACAGGCACCCGCCACAGCAAAGUUUUUCAAAGUUUUGAUUUAUUUGAUGCGUCUUGGCAAAAUAAGUUGUGCUUGGUGCCUGGCAGUGCCCGCCGGGCAUUAGAAAAGUGCCCAUCACUACAGUUUCCAUUUGGCAGCCAUAUAUGGAAGAGCCUAGCUGUGGCGGGUGCUUGCUACCGCCCGCCACUAGCAUGCCCGUAACCGUGACGGGUACGCGCCACUGCUCUUUUGGGAAAGUAGUAGUGGCAGAUGACCUGUCUUGCCCGUCACUAUUUUUAGUUCACCUAUGAGGCUUUUUUCAGUAGUGGAAUCAUUUGUCCACUCCCCGUUGAAUGGCAAGUCCAGCUCUCGUCACAACCGUGUCGCCCUAGAGGUGAAACUAUGAGCAUGAUUAGUUUGAUGCCAAAAAUUGGCAUGCCAACAUUUGGAAAAUGCCAAAAUAUUGGCUAGUGCUUGUUUUCUUACCAAUUUUACUUGCCAACCUCACAAGAAGUUGCCAAUUUUUGGCAACUUUAUUGCCAAUUGUUGGCUUGCUAGUAUUUAGAGAAAAGGCCGAGGCUCGACUUUAAAUUAAUAAAGCCACCAGGCAGCGAGAGUAACAACCAACCAACCAGUACACACAAGGUAGCAACACCAACGUUAGCCAAUAAAACGGCCACAACCGGCAAUAAGGCACGUAGGCCGGGGGGAACCCAACAAAAAACAGACUAGGGCUACGGGGAACCAGAAGUAGCGCCCACUAAGGCAUCCUGGCCAGAUCCCUCCCGGAGAUAGAAGUAGCGGACGCACGCACCCGAGCGAUGAGGACCUCCACAGUCACCUUGUUAGCCUCCUUAAUCAGAGAUUUCCACUGCUGCAAAAAUAUGGAUAGUUUGAAGAUGAUAUUAACUGCAGAGUUAGGGAACACCUGCUCAAUAGUAAACUUAUUUCUAGUCGUCCACACGGUCCAACACAUGACUGAGAAGCCAAACCAAAACAACCUCUUGAGCUGACCAGAUAGGGAGGCCGCAAGUAAUCAGAGAGCAGAGAAAUUAGAGGGAGCCCAAGGGACACCCAUCCACUCCCUGAGACAACUCCACAGCAAAGACGCCGUGGGGCAACGAAACAGGAUGUGUUCAGUGUCCUCCAAGCUCCCACAAAGAGAGCAAAACUCCGUACCCGGGCUAUGGCGUUUCUUAAGCUAUUCAGUAGCAGGCAGACGGCUCCUCAUGUCCUGCCACAUGAAAAUUUUGAUUUUCGGAGGCACCCUAGCAGACCAAAUGGGCCUGAACUUAAACACCGAAGGACCAGAACAUAAAACACGGUAACAAGACUUAACUGAAAAAUGGCCAGAGGCAAAAUGAGGCCAGGAGACCUCAUCUUGAGCCUUCGAGAGCAUAGGGAAGAGGGCAGCAAAGGCGGUGCCAAUCUUCCAGCUUUGCAGGAGACAAGACCCGACGAAACCAAGGUCCCAACACUGGCCGCGAGCUUGCCAAGUAUUAGCAGUGUCAAAUGUUGGCAUGAAACCAAUUAGCCUUUAUGUCAUGUGUGUUGCCCUUCAGAGAUCACGGUGAGGCCAAUGUUGGGAUUGUCGACAAUCCAGGCCAUCUGAGGAACUCGCUGUGGGUCACUGUGCUCAUGUCCGCGCCUCGCUGUUCGUGUAUGGUUGUACCCCGGGCGUUUCCCGGCGAGAUAUCCAUUGACAAGUACGUAGCAAAUCAAUACAGCAGAUAGCUUUGUGGAGUAUGUGAGUUCACCAAAGAGCAAUCAACCUGUCUGGGGAGAUCAGCCAGCACUUUCGUGUGUGUCUCCACCAAGAGGCGGCAGGCCAUCUUGGGGUCAUAGCAGCGCUGCUCGUAGCAAGGGGGCGAGGCUGGCAGAGGCAGGCAGCUACCUAGUAGAGGCGGGCGGGCGGCGUCGGGAUUGCCGAGAAGUCGUCUCAUGCGUGUCGUGGUGAAAGGAACUACCUGCAAUUACUAAUUUGUCCUCGAAUUAGAAUUAAUACCCGAAUCAUAUCAACCACUGGAUCAACUUAAUACUACCCUUUAAUUUGUGUAGUAUGAUGUACCGUAAAAAUUCACUCCGUAAUCGGGAGCUCAACCUUUUUUGCAUUCUUCAUGGUCCUAGUGCAACGGUCUUCCCCAGAAGUGUAGUAUUUUCUUGUGUCAAUCAAGGAAAUAUAUGAAAAUAAUUGCCUGUAUACUAAUAGUUUUAAAUAGCGCGCUAAGCAUCUUAGCGGCGGACCUCUUCCAAAUGCUAUAGCGUGCUAUAGCGGAGCUAUAGCGCGCUAUUUUAAAUGUUUAUUUAUUUAUUUGGACCAAAGUUUCUUAGCGCAAGACCUUUUGUAAACGCUAUAGCGUGCUAUAGCGGAGCUAUAGCGGGCUAUUUAAAACAGUGACCAGUAUUCGUUUGUAAAACAUAAUAUAACUAAAAAAAUCCAAUUCAGAGGAACAUAAAGAUGAGCAUGCAGCGAUUACAACUUCUUUUAUUCCAAGAUGUUCAUGGCAAUAAUCUGACGCGGUGUCUUAAGGCAAAGGGAGGGGAUGAGGUGAGGUUGCUUCUAAAGGAGGGCAAGCAGAACCACAAAUGCAUUCUUGGCUGGUUCUAAAGCAUUUGUCUUGCUCCAACGCACAACAGAAGCACAAACCAUUUGGGCAUGGUGGAGGAUUCUUUUGGCACAAGCAAAUUUGGAUUUUGCUGCUAUCCAUAUCAUCAGGUUUUUGAGCUGCAUGCAAACAAGUGUCCACAUUAAACUAGGUAAUUUGUAAAAUUAUGCACAAAGUCACAUAAAUUAGUAAUGCUUCUUAACAAGAUCGCCAAAAGUAAUAUAGAACUAACAAAUAUCGAGAAGUUGACCUAAUUGUUGUUGUGUACUCGCCCUGAGAAAAUGUUAUGAGACACGGAAGGAUGAUCAUCACGAGCAUAAUCAUCUUGCUUCUCUCCAUGGCAAUAUAUGUUUUCAGAUAUGAGUAGUAUCUUCUAAGGAGUACUUGCUAAUUGCUACAUGUUUCACACAUAUAUGUAUAUAUAUCCAACCAAUCUGAUCUAUGUUUAGGUAACAAUUAAUUGUGCCGAGUUGUGCUUAUCCAUAUUAAUUACAAGAAAUAAAAUGCUCUAUAUUUGGUGAGUAGUAAUGCGGCCAUAUCCUUCAGAUUGUGUAGUGUUGAUUAUUCAACCCUUGAAAUAAAAGGGAAUUCCCUAGGGACAACCAUUGGAUGGCAUCCCAGUGAGUGGUGGAUGAUUCACACACGUGUGGAAAGAAAUAAUACAUCUCGUUAGCUUAGUGCGUGUACAAGGUGUUACCUUAGAAAAAUAAAUAUUGCGUGAAGAGAGAACCAAAAAAAAAGGUUUGCCUUCUCUAAAUUUAUUUUUGACGUGAUGCCUACUCUAAAUUAGGACACGAUCUAUUGCCAACAAUAUCUCUCACCACAUAUAUAGGUAUAUAAGUAUCUCUCUAGCUACUAUAUACAUAGUAAUAUACUCACUCCAUUCCUAAAUAUAAGGCUUUUUAGAGAGUUAAUGAAUAUAGACUACUACAUACAGAUGGAUAUAGACGUAUUUAGAGUUUAGAUUUAUAAUAUCUCUCACAUAUAUAUAGGUAUAUAAUAUCUCGUCACACCUCCCCACCCGCCGGCCGGCGCGCGCUACUAGUCGCGCCUCCCCACCCGCCAGCCACCACGCACUGCUCGUCGUGCCUCCCCAUCCGCCGGUUGCUGCACCCUGCUCCUGCACGGGGUGUGGGGGAGAGAGUAAAAGGGAGGGAGAGUGGCAGUGUGGGUGACAAGUGGGUCCAGCCCAUUCACGCGCGGACGCGAGCGGCGCACAGAGCGUCCGUCUUCUGUCCGCUCGGCCUGAAAUCCAGAUCAACUUUGGGUUGGGAACGGAGCAGAAUGGACACGGACCGGAUGAAAAAAUGAGGAUGCUCUCACGCGUUGGAUUCCGUCCUGUCUGUUUGACCCCAAACGGACGCCUCGCGGCGUGGUGGCAGGGCCCAUCUGCCCUUGCCCCGUUUCAUCGUGGCUCGUCCGAGGCAGCGAAAACCUGUAAAGUGGUGCUCGCUGGCUCGGCAUGUGGCGGCAGGCCCUGCCGCCUCAGCGUGUGGUGGCAUGUGCUGGUCUUUUAUGCCAUUUUGACUCAGAGAUGGUCUUUUUUAUCAAUUGCAUUCAUCAGGUGAUCCUUUUAGACAAAAAUUCGAGGCGGACUCCUCUGUCCUCGUCGGAGUCGUGGCGCGGCAGAGAUGAGGCGGGCGGUGGCGGGGAGGAGCUCCACCGAACCAAGCAUCGAGGCGUCGCGCGGUGAAGACGAGGCGGACAACCGUGGGGAGGAGCUCCAUCAGCCCGCGCCGGCCGUCGCGCCUCCCCACCCACCAACCGCCGCGCGCUGCACGUCGCGCGCCCCGCCCGUCGACCGUCGUGCCCUGCUCCUACACGGAUUGUGCGGGGAAGAUAAAAAGGGGUGUGGGGGAGAGAGAGUGGCAGCAUGGGUGACAAGUGGGUCCAGCCCGUUCACGCGCGGACGCGAGCGGCACACAGAGCGUUCGUCUUAUGUCCGCUCGGCCUCAAAUCUGGAUCAACUUUGGGUUGGGAAUGGAGCAGAACGGACACGGACCAGACAAAAAAAUGAGGAUGCUCCCACGUGUUGGGUCGUUCGUCCUGUCCGUUUGACCCCAAACGAACACAUCCGAACGAUUUGGGGUCGUGCGUUGGAGUUGGCCUUAUCAUCAAAUGCUUGUGUUGCUUCGAUCACAUCGGCCGAACAGAUGUCGCCUCGCGGCGUGGCGGCAGGGCCAUCUACCCCUGCCCCGUUUCGUCAUGGCUCGUCCGGGGCAGCGAAAAUCUGUUACGCGGUGCUCACCACCUCGGCAUGUGGCGGCAGGCCCUGCUGCCUCAGCGUGUGGUGGCAUGUGCUGGUCUUUUAUGCCAUUUUGACUCAUAGAUGGUCUUUUUUAUCAAUUCCAUUCAUCAGGUGAUCCUUUUAGACAAAAAUUCAAGGCGGGCUCUUCUGUCCUCGUCGAAGUCGUGGCGCGGCAGAGACGUGGCGGGCGGUGGCGGGGAGGAGCUCCACUGAACCAAGCAUCGGGGCAUCGUGCGGUGAAGACAAGGCGGGCAGUGGUGGGAAGGAGCUCCACCGGCCUGCGCCGGCCAUCCCGCCUCCCCACCCGCCCGCGGCGUGCCCUGCUCAUCACGCAUCGGGCUCGCCAGCCGUCGCGCCUCCCCACCCGCCAACCGUCACGCGUUGUUCGUCACGCGCCCCGUCCAUUAGCUGUCGUGCCCUUCUCCUACACGGGGUGUGGGGGAGAGAGAAAAAGGGGUGUGGGGGAGAGAGAGAAAGGGAGAGAGAGUGGCAGUAUGGGUGACAAGUGGAUCCAUCCCAGUCAUGCUUGGACGUGAGCGGUGCACAGAGCAUCCGUUUUUUGUCCGCUCGGCCUGGAAUCCAGAUCAACUUUGGGCUGGGAAUGGAGCAGAACAGACACGGACCAGACGAAAAAUGAGGAUGCUACCAUGCGUUGGGUCGUUCAUCCUGUCCCAGACGAUUUAGGGUCGUGCGUUGGAGUUGGCCUUAUCAUCAACUCCUUGUGUGGCUUCGAUCACAUCGGCCGAAUAGAUGUUGCCUCGCAGCAUGGUGGUAGGCCUAUCUGCCCUGCCCCGUUCCGUAAUGGCUCGCCCGAGGCAGCGAAAACCUAUUACACGGUGCUCGCCACCUUGGCAUGUGGCGGCAAUCUUUGCCACCUCUGCGUGUGGUGGCAUGUGUUGGUUUUUUGUGCCAUUUUGACUCAAAGUUGGUCUUUUUGUCAAUUGCAUUUGUCAGGUGAUCCUUUUAGACAAAAAAUCAAGGCGGGCUCCUCUGUCCUCGUCGGAGUCGUGGCACGGCAGAGACAAGGCGGGUGGCGGCAGGGAGGAGCUUCACGGGACCAAGAAUCGGGGCGUCACACAGUGAAGACGAGGCGUGCAGCAGUGGGGAGGAGCUCCACCAGACCAGAAUCGGGACGUCGCACGGCAGAGAUGGGGCGAGCUGCUCUGUCCUCACCAAAGUCGCAGCACGGUAGAGACGAGGCGGGCGGCAGCAGGGAUGAGCUCUACUAUACCCAACAUCGGGAGUCGCACCGCGAAGACAUGGCGGGGUUCUUUGUCCACGGCGGAGUCGCGGCUUGCGCCACGCCUUCCAAACUCUCCGGCGCUGAGCCUCGAGCUUGGGCUCGGCAGCCUCAUCCCAUCGCUGACAGCUCAUCGUACGGGCAAAGGCUGAGCCACGAUGUGAUGGUGGUCGGCUAUGGGCCGAAUGGCGACGGGCAGGUGUAUUAGUUUCCGUUGAUACAAGCGACUGCACGAGGGUGGCUGCCUUGACGGCUACGUGGAGGCGACCAAUUGAAUGGCGCAGCGCACAGCCACUAGACGCGCGUGAUGUGAUGGUUGGUCGUGCGGCCUUGCAGCAGAGGGGGCAUCGAGCGGGCAAAUUUGACAAUUUUGACCUCCGAACGAAAUUAAUUCACAGAAUGAACUGGGUGUGAAACUAUUUCACACCCCUGACCCUUUUGUGUAGCGCCCGCGACGUCAGCGCCACACCAUACGGUGCAGUGCCCAGCUAGCGGGCGUUCCAUGCCAUUCCACCAUGGCAGCCCUGGGCCCCGCACCCAGCUGUGCAACGCCUCGGCGCUAGGCGCCACACAAUGUGCAGCGCCUAGCCAUCGGGCGCCACACAUUUAAAGUGCAGCGCCUAGCGCUUGGGCACUGCACUGUGGCUUAUCCGGCGGGCCCCCCCUCCCCCACUCCCCCACACCACAUACUCUCCCACUCCCAACCCGAGCUUUCCCCCCUCUCCCACUCUCCCCCCCUCUCAAAUCCUCUCCCAAAUCUUGCAAAUCUGAAGAAUUUGUCCGUGGAUUUUGAAGUCAAACCCUCCCUCAAGGUAAUCUUCUCUGAUCCCCUUGUUUUGAUCCAAGUUAUGUUAUCAAAUUGCUCAUUUGUUGCUAGUUUGUGGAAACCCUAGUUUUGUUUGGAUCUAGAGAUUUGCAUGGAGAUGUGAGAUGUUUGUUUGCCAAUUUCCUAUCAUUAGGCUUUGUUAGUAUGUUAGGGUUAUUCUUAUGGGUGUUCUUAUGUUGGUGCUAGGGUUAGGUUUUGGGCUAGGGUUAUGGUUUUGGUUAGGGUUAUGGUUAGGGUUAGGGUUGUUGUUUCAUACAUAUAUUAGGGUAUGUAUCCUUGGAUUAUUACUCAUGGAAGCAAUGUUACCUUGUGUUCUUUGAAUGCUUAUAGGGAUGGAAAGAACAUGUGUGUUUGUUCAUCAUGGGGACAAAGAUGCCUUCUUGAAAGGCAAUAUUGAACCGGACCCGGGUGAGAUUGACAUGGUGUUUGAUAGUAGUCCUAGCUAUGCAGAGCUUUUGCAACAAGUUAGGAAAGAUUUGAAUUGGAUGGACCCUAGUGAUAGCGUUGAGUUGGAAGGAAGGCAUAAUGUUGGUUUUGGAAUGCACAUCCGUUGGAAGACAAUGCGUGUCAACUCGGAGCAACGUUGGGUUGCAUACAAGGAGACGGUGGCCAAAUCACUAGACAAGGCUCUUGAGUUAUUUGCAACGAAGAAGGUUGAUUCAUGGUUGUAUUUGGACUUGAACCGGAGCCCCUCCUCUUUGGUUGCUAGUAGCCCCCCACCCUUGAAGCGAGAUGAAAUUGUUGAACCUCUUUUGACCCGAGAAGUGAGGCCAACAUUGAGCCUGUUUACAAGCAACCAAGAUGAAGCUUUGCAAGAGGAGAAUGAUGAGUAUGCGGAGGAUGACAAUGAAGUUGAUCUUCAUGACAACAAUGUGGGUGAUCUCGACAAAUAUCAUGUGCAAGAGACAAUGGACCAUUCCAUCCCUUUUUCCCGUGCAUAUGCAUCGGACUCGGAUGACGAUGAUCCCAAUGAACAAGUUGAUGCGGAGGGGUUCAUGGUGAAGGAGGCGAAGCUUUCGAGAAGGUAUUCGGUCAUGAUCAUCAUACUACAUUGUUCAAGGAUGAUAGUCUCACGGAUGAAGCCGUGGUAGAUGGUGGCCAAUAUAUAUCUGUUGGGGUUAGGCCAAGCUCUCACCGUGAUUUGGGAGAUGACAAGAACUGGAUUGCAAAAGGGUCUAAGUUUGAAACCUUCUUGGAAUUGAAGAUGUGGCUCGACAACUACUCGGUUACGCAUUAUCGUCCACACAAGGUGGUGCACUCGGACGUCAAUGUGCGCUACACGGUUGCAUGUGCAUGUGAAGAUGAAAUAUGUCCGUGGACUGUGCGUGCAAGACCAUGGAAAGGAGGUCCCACUUGGCAUGUAGUGAGUUGUGUGACAACUCACAUGUGCCAAGGCAAAAGGGUGGAUGGCAAGAUUGUGUCCCAAGACCACAAACAACUCACGUCGGAGUUCAUCGCUUAUAGGCUCUCCAACUCAAUAUCCACACUUCCAACAAUGAGCGUCCAACAUGUCAUAGACCUUGCGAAAGCCAUCUUUCAUUACAAGGUGAAGUACGGCAAGGCAUGGAAGGCGAAGCAAGCCGCAUUUAAGAUGUUGUAUGGUACUUGGGAGGAAGCAUACAAUCAAAUCCCUAGGUUGUUGUUAGCCAUGGCCGCGACAAACCCGGGCAUGGUUCAUGUGGUCGAGCCUCAUGGGCACAAAACAACGGUUCAUGAAGGAAGGAAAGUCUGAGUAUUUGGCCGUGCAUUUUGGGCGUUCGAGCAAUGCGUGAGGGCUUUCGAACACUGUAGGCCGGUCAUCGCCAUUGAUGGCACGUUUUUGACAGGACAAUACAAGGGCACCUUGUUGGUUGCGAUAGCAAGUGAUGCCAAUAACCGGGUGUUGCCAUUGGCAUUUGCUUUAGUUGAGGUGGAGAACAAUGACAACUGGGAGUGGUUUUUUCAUCUUUUGAGGACAAAGGUGUUACCCGCUCAAAGGGAAAUUUGUGUCAUAUCGGAUCGGCAUCCAGGAAUUCUUAACGCGGUGGAGAUUGACAUUCCCGGGCAUGCUCCGUUGCACCAUCGAUGGUGCAUGAGGAACUUUUUUUCAAACUUCUAUAGGGCAUGUGGCCUUAAGGAGUUUGUCGAUGAUCUUCAAGAUUGUUGUCUCGCUUUCUCCGACAAGCGCUUCACCACUUUGUACAACAAAUUGCUUGCACACAAAAAACUUGAUCCCGGGGGUCAAGAAUUUCUCAAUAGGCACAUUCAAUACCGGAACAAGUGGGCACGUGCUUUUGAUGAAGAUGGCCGGAGAUACGGUCAAAUUACAAGCAAUAUGGCUGAAUGCUUCAAUAGGGUGCUCAAAGGUGCACGUGGAUUACCCGUGACAGCAAUAGUUCAAUACACAUUCGACAAGAUGAAUGCAUACUUUGUAAAGUACUCGAUGGAAACAGAUGCACAGAUAGCGGGAGAGAACCCAUGCAAGUACAAGUACAAGUUCCCACCCAAGGUUGAUGAAUGGUUGGUAUUUCAAUCACGGAAGGCUGACUCAGAAGAAGCUAUAUUAUAUUGUUGGGGAACAUAGUAAUUUCAGAAAAACUCCUACGCACACGCAAGAUCAUGGUGAUGCAUAGCAACGAGAGGGGAGAGUGUUGUCCACGUACCCUCGUAGACCGUAAGCGGAAGCGUUAUGACAACGCGGUUGAUGUAGUCGUACGUCUUCGCGAUCCGACCGAUCCAAACACCGAACGUAUGGCACCUUCGAGUUUAGCACACGUUCAGCUCGAUAACGAUCCCCGGACUCCGAUCCAGCAGGUUUUCGGGGAUGAGUUCCGUCAGCACGACGGCGUGGUGACGAUGAUGAUGUUCUACCGACGCAGAGCUUCGCCUAAGCACCGCAACGAUAUGACCGAGGUGGAAUAUGAUGGAGUGGGGCACCGCACACGGCUAAGGAACGAUCACGAAGAUCAACUUGUGUGUCUAUGGGGUGCCCCCUGCCCCCGUAUAUAAAGGAGCAAGGGAGGAGGAGGCCGGCCCUAGGAGGGGGCGCACCAAGUGUGGAGUCCUACUCCCACCAGGAGUAGGACUCCUUUCCUAGUCCAACUAGGAGAAGGGGGGAAAGGAGGGGAGUGGAGAAGGAAGGGAGAGGGGGGCCACGCCCCAAACCCCUUGUCCAAUUCGGACUGGGCUUGGGAGGGGCGCGCGCCACCUCCUGGCUCCUUCCCACUAAGGCCCGUUAAGGCCCAAUACUCUUCCUCGUAUUCCCGUAACUCCCCGGUACUCCGAAAACUACCCGAAUCACUCGGAACCUUUCCGAACUCCAAAUAUAGUCGUCCAAUAUAUCGAUCUUUACGUCUCGACCAUUUCAAGACUCCUCGUCAUGUCCCCGAUCUCAUCCGGUACUCUGAACUCCUUCGGUACAUCAAAACUCAUAAACUCAUAAUAUAACUGUCAUCGUAACGUUAAGCGUGCGGACCCUACGGGUUCGAGAACUAUGUAGACAUGACCGAGACACGUUUCCGGUCAAUAACCAAUAGCGGAACCUGGAUGCUCAUAUUGGCUCCCACAUAUUCUAUGAAGAUCUUUAUCGGUCAAACCGCAUAACAACAUACGUUGUUCCCUUUGUCAUCGUUAUGUUACUUGCCCGAGAUUCGAUCAUCGGUAUCCAAUACCUAGUUCAAUCUCGUUACCGGCAAGUCUCUUUACUCGUUACGUAAUGCAUCAUUCCGUAACUAACUCAUUAGCUACAUUGCUUGCAAGGCUUAUAGUGAUGUGCAUUACCGAGAGGGCCCAGAGAUACCUCUCCGACAAUCGGAGUGACAAAUUUUAAUCUUGAAAUACGCCGACCCAACAUGUACCUUUGGAGACACCUGUAGAGCUCCUUUAUAAUCACCCAGUUACGUUGUGACGUUUGGUAGCACACAAAGUGUUCCUCCGGUAAACGGGAGUUGCAUAAUCUCAUAGUCAUAGGAACAUGUAUAAGUCAUGAAGAAAGCAAUAGCAACAUACUAAACGAUCAAGUGCUAAGCUAACGGAAUGGGUCAAGUCAAUCACAUCAUUCUUUUAAUGAUGUGAUCCCGUUAACCAAAUGACAAUUCAUGUCUAUGGUUAGGAAACUUAACCAUCUUUGAUUAACGAGCUAGUCAAGUAGAGGCAUACUAGUGACACUAUGUUUGUCUAUGUAUUCACACAUGUAUUAUGUUUCCGGUUAAUACAAUUCUAGCAUGAAUAAUAAACAUUUAUCAUGAUAUAAGGAAAUAAAUAAUAACUUUAUUAUUGCCUCUAGGGCAUAUUUCCUUCAGUCUCCCACUUGCACUAGAGUCAAUAAUCUAGUUCACAUCAUCAUGUGAUUCAACACCAAUAUUCACAUCUGUAUGUGAUUAAUACCCAUAGUUCACAUCGUCAUGUGACCAAUACCCAAAGGGGUUACUAGAGUCAAUAAUCUAGUUCACAUCACUAUGUGAUUAACACCCAAAGAGUACUAAGGUGUGAUCAUGUUUUGCUUGUGAGAGAAGCUUAGUCAAUGGGUCUGUCACAUUCAGAGAUGUAUGUAUUUUGCAAAUAUUCUAUGUCUACAAUGCUCUGCACGGAGCUACUCUAGCUAAUUGCUCCCACUUUCAAUAUGUAUCCAGAUUGAGACUUAGAGUCAUCUGGACCGGUGUAAAAGCUUGCAUCGAUGUAACUCUUUACGACGAACUCUUUUAUCACCUCCAUAAUCGAGAAACAUCUCCUUAGUCCUCACUAAGGAUAUUCUUGACCGCUGUCCAGUGAUCUACUAUUAGAUCAAAAUUUUAUUCCUUUGCCAAACACAGAGCAAGGUAUACAAUAGGUCUGGUUCACAGCAUAGCAUACUUUAUAGAACCUAUGACUGAGGCAUAGGGAAUGACUUUUCAUUCUCUUUCUAUUUUCUGCCAUAGUCGGGUCUUGAGUCUUACUCAACUUCACACCUUUACAUCACAGGCAAGAACUCCUUCUUUGACUGUUCCAUUUUGAACUAUUUCAAAAAUUUAUCAAGGUAUGUACUCAUUGAAAAAUCUCAUCAAGUGUCUUGAUCUAUCUAUAUAGAUCUUGAUGCUCAGUGUGUAAGCAGCUUCACCGAGGUCUUGCUUUGAAAAAACUCUUAUUCAAGUAUCCUUUUAUGCUAUCCAGAAAUUCUAUAUCAUUUCGAAUCAACAAUAUGUCAUCCACAUAUAAUAUUAGAAAUGCUACAGAGCUCCCGCUCACUUUCUUGUAAAUACAUGCUUCUCAAAAAAUCUGUAUAAAACCAUAUGCUUUGAUCAACUCAUCAAAGCAUAUAUUCCAACUCCGAGAUGCUUGCACCAGUCCAUUGAUGAAUCGCUGGAGCUUGCACACUUUGUUAGCACCUUUAGGAAUGACAAAACCUUCUGGUUGCAUCAUAUACAACUCUUCUACAAUAAAUCCAUUAAGGAAUGCAGUUUUGACAUCCAUUUUCCAGAUUUCAUACAAUGUGGCAAUUGCUAACAUGAUUCAGACAGACUUAAGCAUCGAUACGAGUGAGAAAAUCUCAUCGUAUUCAACACCUUGAACUUGUCGAAAACCUUUCGCAACAAGUCGACCUUAGUAGAUAGUAACACUACUAUCAGUGUCCGUCUUCCUCUUGAAAAUCCAUUUAUUUAACAUGGCUUGCUGAUCAUUGAGCAAGUCAAUCAAAGUCCAUACUUUGUUCUCAUACAUGGAUCAUAUCUCAGAUUUUAUGGCCUCAAGCCAUUUCGUGGAAUCUGGGUUCAUCAUCGCUUCCUCAUAGUUCAUAGGUUCAUCAUGGUCUAGUAACAUGACUUCUAGAACACGAUUACCGUACCAUUCUGGUGUGGAUCUUACUCUGGAAGACCUACGAGGGUCGGUAGCAACUUGAUCUGAAGUUUCAUGAUCAUCAUCAUUAACUUCCUCACUAAUUGGUGUAGGAAUCACUGGAGCUGACUUCUGUGAUGAACAACUUUCCAAUUUGGGAGAAGGUACAAUUACCUCAUCAAGUUCUACUUUCCUCCCACUCACUUCUUUCGAGAGAAACUCCUUCUCUAGAAAGGAUCCAUCUUAGCAACGAAUAACUUGCCUUCGGAUCUAUGAUAUAAGGUGUACCCAAUAGUUUCCUUUGGGUAUUCUAUGAAGAUGCACUUUGCCGAUUUGGGUUCGAGCUUAUCAGGUUGAAAAGCUUUUAUGUAAGCAUUGCAACUCCAAACUUUAAGAAACGACAGCUUAGGUUUACUGCUAAACCAUAGUUCAUACGGUGUCGUCUCAACGGAUUUAGAUGGUGCCCUAUUAAACGUGAAUGCAGUUGUCUCUAAUGCAUAACCCCAAAACGAUAGUGGUAAACCGAUAAGAGACAUCAUAGAUCGCACCAUAUCUAGUAAAGUACGAUUACGACGUUCGGACACACCAUUACAUUGUGGUGUUCCAGGUGGUGUGAGUUGCGAAACUAUUUCACAUUGUUUCAAAUGAAGACCAAACUCGUAACUCAAAUAUUCGUCUCCCCGAUCAGAUCAUAGAAACUUUAUUUUCUUGUUACGAUGAUUUUUUCACUUCACUCUGAAAUUCUUUGAACUUUUCAACUAUUUCAGACUUAUGUUUCAUCAAGUAGAUAUACCCAUAUCUGCUCAAAUCAUCUGUGAAGAUCAGAAAAUAACGAUACACGCCGCGAGCCUUAACACUCAUCGGAUCGCAUACAUCGGUAUGUAUUAUUUCCAAUAAGUCAGUAGCUCGUUCCAUUGUUCCGGAGAACAGAGUUUUAAUCAUCUUGCCCAAAAGGCACGGUUCGCAAGCAUCAAAUGAUUCAUAACCAAGUGAUUCCAAAUAUCCAUCAGCAUGGAGUUUCUUCAUGCUUUUACACCAAUAUGACCUAAACAGCAGUGCUACAAAUAAGUUGCACUAUCAUUAUUAACUUUACAUCUUUUGGCUUCAAUAUUAUGAAUAUGUGUAUCACACGAUCGAGAUCCAACAAACCAUUUUCAUUGGGUGUAUGACCAUAGAAGGUUUUAUUCAUGUAAACAGAACAACAAUUAUUCUCUAACUUACAUGAAUAACCGUAUUGCAAUAAAUAUGAUCAAAUCACAUUCAUGCUUAACGCAAACACCAAAUAACACUUAUUUAGGUUCAACACUAAUCCCAAAAGUAUAGGGAGUGUGCGAUGAUGAUCAUAUCAAUCUUGGAACUACUUCCAACACACAUCGUCACCUCACCCUCAACUAGUUUCUAUUUAUUCUGCAACUCCCGUUUCGAGUUACUACUCUUAGCAACUAAACCAGUAUCAAAUACCAAGUGGUUGCUAUAAACACUAGUAAAGUAUACAUCAAUAACAUGUAUAUCAAAUAUAUCUAUGUUCACUUUGUCAUCCUUCUUAUCCGCCAAAUACUUGGGGUAGUUCCACUUCCAGUGACAUGUCCCUUUGCAGUAGAAUCACUUAGUCUUAGGCUUAGGUCCAGACUUGGGCUUCUUCACUUGAGCAGCAACUUGCUUGUUGUUCUUCUUGAAGUUCCCCUUCUUCCCUUUGCCCUUUCCUUGAAACUAGUGAUCUUAUCCAUCAUCAACACUUUGAUGUUUUUCUUUGAUUUCUACCUUCGCCGAUUCAUAACGUCUGCAUCUGCUCCUGCAAUAGGUUUGUCACUUAGCGGUGCAUUUAAGGACAUAAUUUUUCUGUGCAGCAAUGAGGAUAAACCUCGGAUCAAGGAUCCAAUCCGCAUCAUUGCUACUAACAUCUUUCAACAUAAUUUUCUCUAGGAACAUAUCAAAAUAAACAUAUGAAAGCAACAACGCAAGCUAUUGAUCUACAACAUAAUUUGCAAAAUACUACCAGGACUAAGUUCAUGAUAAAUUUAAGUUCAAUUAAUCAUAUUACUUAAGAACUCCCACUUAGAUAGACAUCCCUCUAAUCCUCUAAGUGAUUACGUGAUCCAUAUCAACUACACCAUGUCCGAUCAUCACGUGAGAUGGAGUAGUUUCAACGGUGAACAUCAAUAUGUUGAUCAUAUCUACUAUAUGAUUCACGCUCGACCUUUCGGUCUCCGUGUUUUGAGGCCAUAUCUGUUAUAUGCUAGGCUCGUCAAGUUUAACCUGAAUAUUCCGCGUGCGCAACUGUUUUGCACCUGUUGUAUUUGAACGUAGAGCCUAUCACACCCGAUCAUCACGUGGUGUCUCAGCACGAAGAACUUUCGCAAUGGUGCAUACUCAGGGAGAACACUUCUUGAUAAUUUAGUGAGAGAUCAUCUUAAAAUGCUACCGUCAAUCAAAGCAAGAUAAGAUGCAUAAAGGAUAAACAUCACAUGCAAUCAAUAUAAGUGAUAUGAUAUGGCCAUCAUCAUCUUGUGCUUCUGAUCUCCAUCUCCGAAGCACCGUCGUGAUCACCAUCGUCACCGGCGCGACACCUUGAUCUCCAUCGUAGCAUCAUUGUCGUUACGCCAUCUAUUGCUUCUACAACUAUCUCUACCGCUUAGUGAUAAAGUAAAGCAAUUACAGGACGUUUGCAUUUCAUACAAUAAAGUGACAACCAUAUGGCUCCUGCCAGUUGCCGAUAACUUCGGUUACAAAACAUGAUCAUCUCAUACAAUAAAAUAUAGCAUCACGCCUUGACCAUAUCACAUCACAACAUGCCCUGCAAAAACAAGUUAGACGUCCUCUACUUUGUUGUUGCAAGUUUUAUGUGGCUGCUACGGGCUGAGCAAGAACCGUUCUUACCUACGCAUCAAAACCACAACGAUAGUUCGUCAAGUUAGUGUUGUUUUAACCUUCGCAAGGACCGGGCGUAGCCACACUCGGUUCAACUAAAGUUGGAGAAACAGACACCCGCUAGUCACUUGUGUGCAAAGCACGGCAGUAAAACCAGUCUCGCGUAAGCGUACGCGUAAUGUCGGUACGGGCCGCUUCAUCCAACAAUACCGCUGAACCAAAGUAUGACAUGCUGGUAAGCAGUAUGACUUGUAUUGCCCACAACUCACUUGUGUUCUACUCGUGCAUAUAACAUCAACGCAUAAAACCUAGGCUCGGAUGCCACUGUUGGGGAACGUAGUAAUUUCAAAAAAAAUCCUACGCACACGCAAGAUCAUGGUGAUGCAUAGCAACGAGAGGGGAGAGUGUUGUCCACGUACCCUCAUAGACCAUAAGCAAAAGCGUUAUGACAACGCGGUUGAUGUAGUCGUACGUCUUCACGAUCCGACCGAUCCAAGCACCGAACGUACGUCACCUCCGAGUUCAGCACACGUUCAGCUUGAUGACGAUCCCCGGACUCCGAUCCAGCAGGUUGUCGGGGAUGAGUUCCGUCAGCACAACAGCGUGGUGACGAUGAUGAUGUUCUACCGACGCAGAGCUUCGCCUAAGCACCGCAACGAUAUGACCGAGGUGGAAUAUGUUGGAGGGAGGCACCGCACACGGCUAAGGAACGAUCACGAAGAUCAACUUGUGUGUCUAUGGGGUGCCCCCUGCCCCCGUAUAUAAAGGAGCAAGGGAGGAGGAGGCCGGCCCUAGGAGGGGGCGCACCAAGUGUGGAGUCCUACUCCCACCGGGAGUAGGACUCCUUCUUUCCUAGUCCAACUAGGAGAAGGGGGGAAAGGAGGGGAGUGGAGAAGGAAGGGAGAGGGGGGCCACGCCCCAAACCCCUUGUCCAAUUCGGACUGGGAUUGGGAGGGGCGCGCGCCACCUCCUGGCUCCUUCCCACUAAGGCCCGUUAAGGCCCAAUACUCUUCCCCGUAUUCCCAUAACUCCCCGGUACUCCGAAAAAUACCCGAAUCACUCGGAACCUUUCCGAACUCCGAAUAUAGUCAUCCAAUAUAUCGAUCUUUACGUCUCGACCAUUUCGAGACUCCUCGUCAUGUCCCCGAUCUCAUCCGGGACUCCGAACUCCUUCGGUACAUCAAAACUUAUAAACUCAUAAUAUAACUGUCAUCGUAAUGUUAAGCGUGCGGACCCUACGGGUUCGAGAACUAUGUAGACAUGACCGAGACACGUUUCCGGUCAAUAACCAAUAGCAGAACCUGGAUACUCGUAUUAGCUCCCACAUAUUCUACGAAGAUCUUUAUCGGUCAAACCGCAUAACAACAUACGUUGUUCCCUUUGUCAUCGGUAUGUUACUUGCCCGAGAUUCGAUCGUCGGUAUCCAAUACCUAGUUCAAUCUCGUUACUGGCAAGUCUCUUUACUCGUUACGUAAUGCAUCAUUCCAUAACUAACUCAUUAGUUACAUUGCUUGCAAGGCUUAUAGUGAUGUGCAUUACCGAGAGGGCCCAGAGAUACCUCUCCGACAAUCGGAGUGACAAAUCAUAAUCUUGAAAUACGCCAACCCAACAUGUACCUUUGGAGACACCUGUAGAGCUCCUUUAUAAUCACCCAGUUACGUUGUGACGUUUGGUAGCACACAAAGUGUUCCUCCGGUAAAUGGGAGUUGCAUAAUCUCAUAGUCAUAGGAACAUGUAUAAGUCAUGAAGAAAGCAAUAGCAACAUACUAAACGAUCAAGUGCUAAGCUAACGGAAUGGGUCAAGUCAAUCACAUCAUUCUUCUAAUGAUGUGAUCCCAUUAAUCAAAUGACAACUCAUGUCUAUGGUUAGGAAACUUAACCAUCUUUGAUUAACGAGCUAGUCAAGUAGAGGCAUACUAGUGACACUAUGUUUGUCUAUGUAUUCACACAUGUAUUAUGUUUCCGGUUAAUACAAUUCUAGCAUGAAUAAUAAACAUUUAUCAUGAUAUAAGGAAAUAAAUGAUAACUUUAUUAUUGCCUCUAGGGCAUAUUUCCUUCAUAUAUGACAACGAACAGUGGAAGUACAAAGUGAAAGAGCCAGGAGGAACCACAAACGAUGGCCGCCAACAUGGAGGUCGGGCUUUCAAGGUGUCGUUAACACAAUGUGAUUGCUCUUGCGGGAGGCCAUUGUUUCUUCAUCUUCCAUGCUCACACUUGUAUACCGUCGGUCGCGUUAGGAAUGUGGACAUCAAUCACUCAUGCACCAUGAGGGAGUCGGAGUUCUCAAUCAUGACGGUCAAGAAAACAUGGGCUCCCCGCUUUCACCCAUAUCUUGACCAAUCACAAUGGCCGGAGUACCAUGGUGUUCAAUUAUGGCCGGAUCCGGAGUUGAAGGUUGUUAAACGGGGUAGACGUAAGACAAAGCGUCUUAGAGGCGACAUGGACGGAUGGGGCCAUGGUGGCCGCCGUGAAGCGGCAACGACCGAUUCCAAGAGCCUCGUGAGAGCUCCCAUUGUGGGCAGUGCAAAGGUCAUGGCCACAACAAAAGAAAAUGUAUGAAACCAAGGAAAAGGUCCAAGAAAAAUGAUGCAAGCACAAACUAACAAGGAGCUACAGAAGGAAGCCAACCAAGUGGUAGCCAACAAGUGCCAAGGCAACCAAGUGGUAGCCAACAAGUGCCAAGGCAACCAAGUGGUAGCCAACAAGUGCCAAGCCAACCAAGUGUUAUCCAAAGAGGAUCUAGGCAACAAAGAGGUCAGCAACUAGGACUUACAAGAGGCCAUGAUGGUGGUAGAGCUCGUGGUGGUGGUGUAGGCCGUGGUGGUGGUAGAGCUCGUGGUGGUGGUGUAGGCCGUGGUGGUGGUCUUGGCCGUGGUGAAGGUCUUGGCCGUGGUGAAGGUCUUGGCCUUGGUGGUGGACUUGGCCAUGGUGAUGGUCUUGGCCUUGGUGGUGGACUUGGCCGUGGCGAUGGACAGGGACAAGGUUGUUAUAGAGGAAUGUUUGGAUACCUUGAUGGACCAUUUCCGUAUGUUGCUCACUAACUAUAAUGUUUCAUAUGUUCUUCUUUUUCAUAUGUUCUUCUUUUUAAUAUGUUCUUCUUUUUCAUAUGUUCUUCUUUUUCAUAUGUUCUUGUUGCACAUGUUCUUCCAUUUGUUUUUAUUGUCUUUACUGACCAUUAUGUUUCACUCAUUGUAGGUAUGGCGGCUUCCCAACCCAACAAACCAACAAUGAAGGAGGAUGGCAAAGAUGAGAUGGCGGGAUGGUGGGAGAAGGCUGCGAAGAAGCUUAGAGAUGAGGAUGAAGCCGCACUAAAGAAGAAGAAGGAAGAGGAACUUGAGAAGGAGAGGAAGGAAACAGAGAGAGCGACACGUGAGAUGUGGGCUAGGGAUCAAGCGUUGGUGAGGAAAUGUGAGGAGGCACAGAAGAAGCAUCAAAAGGAUUUUGAAGAAAGAACCCUGAAACUUUGGGCAUUCGCAGCUGAAAAAGAGGAGAGGAAGAACAAGAUAUUCAUGGAGAGGGUGGUUAAGGAGGCUCACCUCAUAAGGAAAAGGGAGUUGGAAGAGGAAGAAGAGAGGAAGAAGAAGAAGGGAAAGGGGCCUUGCUCUAUGCAAUAGAGCUAUGUCAUCUUCAACUUCAACUUGCUUGUGGACUAUGCUCUUUGAUUUGGUUGUGAACUACUAUGUGUCAUGAACUAUGCCUCCUUCUCGAUUUGGUUGUGAACUAGUAUGUGUCGUGAAGUACUAUGUAUUUCCUCCUAAAUUUGGUUGUAUGAACUACUCCUCAAGUUGAAGUACUAUGUGUUAUGAACUACUAUUUGUCGUGAAGUACUUUAUGCAUAUGUUGUCUUCACAGUUGUUUGCUUGCCAUGUAUUAAUCCUACUUCACAUCCUCGUACUAUGUCUGCAUAUGCUACAAAUUUUACUAAGUCACCAUGCAACGCCUAGCAAGCAGGCAUUGCACUGUGUAGUGCGGCGCCUGCCAUCUAGGCGUUGCACAACUCUGUAACUAUCUAGAGAGCAACUGAAAGGUGGCAAGUUGCAGACCUGUGCGGCGCCUAGCGUGUAGGCGCCACACUAUAUAGUGCAACACCGGGGUGCUUGGUGUUGCACUAUAUAGUGUGGCGCAUGCACGCUAGGCGUUUCACAACUCUGUAACUAUCCAGAGAGCAACUAAAAAGUGGCAAGUUACAGACCUGUGUGACGCCUACCAUGCAGGCGCCACACUAUACAGUGCAACACCAAUGAGCUAGGCGUUGCACUAUAUAAUGUGGCGCCUGCACGCCAGGCGUUGCACAACUCUAUAACUAUCCAGAGAGCAACUGAAAAGUGGCAAGUUACAGACCUGUGCAGCGCCUAGCAUGCAGGCGCCACACUAUACAGUGCAACGCCCGGGUGCUAGGCGUUGCACUGCAUAGUGUGGCGCAUGCGUGCUAGGCGUUGCACUACUCUAUAACUAUCCAGAGAGCAACUGAAAAGUGGCAAGUUACAUAGUAGUGCAACGCCUGGCAAGCAGGUGCCACAAUAUACAGUGCAACACCAAUGAGCUAGGCGUUGCACUGUAUAGUGUGGCGCCUGCGCGCUAGGCGUUGCACUACUCUGUAACUAACCAGAGAGCAACUGAAAAGUGGCAAGUUACAGAGUUGUGCAACGCCUAGCACGCAGACGCCACACUAUACAGUGCAACGCCCUUGAGCUAGGCGUUGCACUGUAUAGUGUGGCGCCUGCAUGCUAGGCGCCACACAGGUCUGUAACUUGCCCCCUGCCUUCUUUUGCUCUCUGUCUCUGUUGCCCUGCCUUCUUUUGCUCAAACUGGGUGAUUUUAAGUCACAGCAUAAACAGUAAUUUCAACAUUACUAUGAGCUAAGACAUUUUGUACAGUGACCAUCAGGACAAUUUCAACAUUACUAACAGCUUCAAGUUCAACAUUACCUAGAGUGACCAUCACGACAAGUUCAACAUUACCACCAACAUAGAGUUCAACAUAGAGCUACAACUAACAUAGAGCUACCAUUACAAAUAGAGGACGAUGACUAGUUCCUUGAGCGCUUGUUGGCUCCUCCCCCCCUCUUGACUCCAAUCUUCUUCACCUUCCUAGUAAGAGGAACCCGCGCCGGCUCCGGCUCCGGUUCCUCCACGUCAUCCACAUCGUCAUCCAAAUAGUCAUCCAAAGCCACCAUCCGCGAGGUGCCGACCGUCCUUCUGCCUUUAUGGGUGAAGUAUUUAGGUGUGUAUUUAUUGAUUCCCCUCCUAGGCUUUAACUCGUAUGCAGACCGGACCUUGUACGUCCCCAAGGUCAUAUCAUAAUCAACCUAUGCAUCAACAAAAGAUAUGGAAAAACCGUGUGUGAGGAUAUAGUUAGCAAUGCAUCAACAAUUGGAUAUAUGCUCAUGCCAUACCUCUUGGGUGAUCACACCCACAUCUUCAUCCUCCAAAGGAUCACCAUGGCCCUGGCCGGAAGUGGGAUCUGAUGGUGUCGCCGACCUAGACCGUUCUGGUGGUACAUACUCGGGGUCACGACAACUGAAAAGGUUUGACAAACGCCUUAACUUUUUUCCCUGGCGCUGCAACAUGUACAAGUGAAUGAGACAUCGAACGUAGCAAUGAACAUGUUAAAUGCUAGUUUGAAGGAGAUGUGAACCUUAAGGAAUGCUCGAAGUGCACCUUCCCCAUCGCUUUUGCUAGGCGAGGUUGUUUCUAGAAUAGUCUCGGUCUCAUCAGCUGCUUUCUUGAUCUGGGCACGCUAUGAACAGAAACGGUAUUAACGUGUUAGGCAAGCGAAGAUGAGAAUACUGUGAAUGGAAAAGCAAAAAGAGAAAAUACCACAAAGUUCAUCAUUGGAGUUGAAGGGAUCACUGAGUUGAUUUUCCUGACUAAUGUGUUGUACUGGUGCUGGGCUAGCUCAUCAAAAACGGUGGGAUCCUCCAAGAUCUCAUCAGCAUAUGCCAGCUUGCAUACCUCCACACGGGUACUUGCAAGAAACCAUGUGAGAUAGUUGUUGAAUGCGAUCGGGCAGUGCUCACGAAGCUUCGGUCGUUUUCCAGCCCUAGCUUGCUCCACACUAAGCGCGAACUCUACGACAUACUUCCUGUGAUGCGAGGCCCAAUCCUUGAUCUUCCGCUGCUUUUUCCUAUCCAACCUGCAAGUUAGAAACAGAAUAUUACCACCAUUGAAACUACCGAGAAACCGCAAAGUGCUCAAAGUUAAUUAUAUCUUACCCGUGUAGCACCUUGUCCGUGUCCACCCACUGCGACGGAAAUGACUGGAACAAGCCAAACUGGCGGAAUACCCGAUGUGGCAGGUGAAGCUCAACCGCCCAGUUGCAUAUGAGUGGGCACCGCAUAUGCCAGAGAUCCCUAUCCCUAGUGCACAUCUGAUUCAGCCUGAACCCUAUAGGGUUACCAAAACUCUCUCCUUUUCCAUACGGCUCCCAUUCCACCUGCAAAAUGGGAUACAAUGCAAAAUUGAUAUCGAGUUGCGAUAGAAGCAUGAUAAUCACUUAUGCAAUGUCGAUUCACCUACUCAGGCGUGAUCGCGUCCAGCUCGCUCUUGUACAGCUUGUACAUGACCGAUGGAUCAUCCGUCGUCUCAUUUAACACAUCCCACUUAUGAACCCAAGUGGGGAGCCAUAGUGGGUCGUUUUUUUCGUCCCAAUCCUCGUACUUCACGAUCUUCGGUCGUCCAACCGGCAAACGCUCCCAGCUCCAUACGGAAAAUGCGACCAUACAACCACCAAUACCUUCAGAUGGCCUACAACAGACUUCGUCCAGCUACACAUAAAAGAGAACAUAGUUGAAUUAACAGCAAGAUCGCAUUGAUAAUGUAGCAAUGAAGUGAAAAAGAAACAACUUCAUACCUGUUGAUACAAAUAAGCCAGUGUCGCCGAACCCCAACUCCAUUUGCUACCGAAGACAGUCAACGCCUUCAGCCACAUCCAUGGAGCAUUCUUGCCUGUGCCAUCAGCAAACAUAGUCCUGGAUAUCACGUACCACAUGUAGACACGAGCAUAUGUCUUCACCGUGUCCUCAUUAGCAUCCUCAGGGCAAGUACCAAUGUUCGAUUGAAUCCACGUGAAAGGAGCACCGGCUGCGACUCUUUCCUUCUUCUUGUCUUCUGCUUCUGGUUCACGAGGCUCCGGAGGAACCAUACCGAUAAGGGCAUGCAUCUGCGCACGCCACCCAUCAGAAUCGGUGUUCAUACACAAAGGGUUCCCAUCGAUAGGAAGACCGGUGAUCAUAGCCAUAUCCUGGAGCGUCAUAGUCAUCUCCCCGGUCCGAAGAUGGAAAGUGUGUGUCUCCGGCCUCCAAUGAUCAACAAGCGCGGUGAGUGCUGCAGCAUUGUUGGGUGGCGUCGACCGGCUGACCAACUGAAUGAAAGGGAGAAGUCUUGUCUCCCUUACAUACGGUGUGUACCGCUCAUCAUAGCGCAUCCACCCAAGGGUGACCCCGUGAGACCGAAUCUUCAAAGGUGCAAGCUCCUACAAACAAACAAACAAACAAACAAAUCAUUACAUAUGGGGCAUUUGUGUUUGAAAUAAACAUGAAAUUCAUAACACCGGCAACUUUCAUUAUUACCCGCUGCUCCACCGACAUAGCAUACGACCGGUGUUGUUUGUCCCAGUGAUCAACGAGAAGCCAAACCAUCCUAACAAUUAAAAAAAACUUUCUUGUCAACACAAUUAUCUUUGGAAUACAAAUAAACUAAACUAUGCUUACUAGAUGCAAAAUUCAAAGCAUAUGUAUCCAAAGCAUUCUUGUCAAAACAAAUAUAAGUUCCACACAAAUAAACUAAACUAGGCCUACUUCAUACAAAUAUAUUUUCCAUAGAAAUAACAUGUCAACCUAUGUAUCCAACCAUAUUUUUCGAAAAAAUAAACUAAACUAGGGUUCCGAAAUCAAACAAUGAAGAGUUCUAAUACAUGCAAGAUUAUAAUACAUGCAAGAUUCUAAUCUAAUCAAAUCAAACAAAGGUUCCCCAAAUCUUCAAAAUCUUCAAAAUACUAUAUUUUCUAUGGAUAGCAAGAAGGAGAUCGGAGGAGAGUACCUUCUAGUAUGGAUUGGUGACGAAAUCCACAGACUAAAUCGUCGGAUUUGAAGGAUUUGAGAGAGGGGAUUGAGAGGGGGAGUGGAUAAGGCCGCCGCCGCGGCUUGUUUUGUUUCUGGAACUGCUGCAAUGGGGUGGGUGAGGAAGGAGAGGGCCGCCGCGGCUGGACAUAACUCACAGUGCAGCGCCCGACGGUUAGGCGCUGCACAUUGUGUGGCGCCUAGCACCGAGGCGUUGCACAGCUGGGUGCGGGGCCAGGGCUGCCAUGGUGGAAUAGCGUGCAACGCCCGCUAGCUGGGCGCUGCACCGUAGGGUGUGGCGCCGGCGUCGCGGGCGCUACACAAAAGGGUCAGGGGUGUGGAAUAGUUUCACACCCAGUUCAUUCUGUGAAUUGAUUUUGUUCGAAGGUCAAAAUUGUCAAAUUUGCCGAUCGAGCGGACGUCUAGCUCAUCGUUUUUGCCCUUGGUGUGUCCCCAUUUUUCUACUACUGGUACCAUCCACAUUUUCUUCAGUUGUGAUGUUUGCUAGUACUCUGUUAUCUCCAAGUUUUGAUUUGUUUUAGCUGAAAGCACCAUAUUGUAAUUCCUUUUUUUUGUUAUGGCAACUUAACAUGUUUCCCCAUGGCAAUUAUUUGGUCAUGUUUGAUAUCAUUUUAGUUCCAUUCCACUAAUAGCUAUAUGGCAGUGAGGUGAUCAUUAUCAUUGCGUUUAGUAACUACUCCCUUCGUUUCUAAAUAUAUGUCCUUUUAAAGAUUUUUAGAGAUUUUAAUGUGGACUAUAUACGAAUGUAUAUAGACAUAUUUUAGAGUGUAGAUUCAUUUUGCUUCGUAUGUAGUCCAUAUUGAAAUCUCUAAAGGGUCUUAUAUUUAGGAACGGAGGAAGCAUCAUUUUCAUGAAUAAGGUGAUCCAUAAAUGAAAACAUUUUUGCCAUGGCAAACUUAUCAUGUGUUGAUGAUACGUCAUUUUUACGGUGUUUUUGCCAUGAAAAGUGAAAUAUUCUUUUUGCCAUGGCAACUUAAGAUGUGUUGUUUUGCCAUGGCAAUUCGGAGUUAUAUUCACACUCCAAUUAACACUUGCCAUGACAACUUAACAUGUGUUGCCAUGGCAAGUGUAUAUGUUUUUCCCACACGUCGACCAUGGCAAAUUGGCCAUCAUAGCCAUAUUACAACUUAAGUUGUUUUUCCAUGGCAACUUUUAUAUUUCUUUUUUAUACACGACAUGUUUUUAAAGAUGGAUUUUUGCCAUAGCAAAGUUGUAUUUUCUGACCAUGGCAUUUUUUUGUUUGACUCACGGCAAAUUCUUUUUUGAACCAUGGCAAAUUUACUUCACACUUCACCUUUCUUUAACCAUGACAAAAUUAUUAUUUGUGACCAUGGCAAUUUUGUUAGAGACCAUCGCAAAUUUAGUAUCUUUCGCCAUGGCAAAUUUACUCAUUUUUAAUUGUGGACAAAGUUUCUCCUAUGACCAUGGUAACUUUACAAACACGACAAUGUACUUUCUUCUCUUGAGGGAAAUUUUGCUUUUUAUGAACUAUGGCGAUUUUCACUAACCGAUCCAAAUUAGUUAACUAGACCAUUGUAGUUUGUAAGUAGCACGGCUAUUUUAAUUAUAUUUUUAGACCAUGGAAAAUUAAGCAAUUGACUAUGGGAAAAUUUGUUUCAAUGAAUCAUUGCGGCUUAAGCAAUUGACCAUGUCAAAUUUAGUUUAUGGUUCAUGCCAAAUUUUAGAAAUUGACCAUGGCAAAUUUAGUUUAUGGAUCAUGGCAAACUUAGUUUCAUGUAUCAUGGCAAAUUAAGUUUAUUGCCCAUGCCAAUUUUAUUGUUUUCAUGACAAUAUUAAAAAAAUCAAAGCCUUUUGGCAAUUUAGUUGUUGCUUUCUUAUUUGAGCAUCAUGACAAUUUAUUGUUAUGCAUCAUGGCAUUUUUAGUGUAUGGAGCAUGGCAAAUUUUUGGAUAAUUUUCAUUUUUUAAUUUAAACCUUGGCAAAUGUAUUUAUUUUUAGCACAAAAAAUGUUUUGGGGUUAUUUUUUCAUACACGGAAAAUUUCUCAUACAAAACAAGAAAAAUAAAAUUAAAAUAAUGUAGGAAUUUUUAUUUAUGAAUCUUCCAUGGCAAUUUUUUUGUUCAAAUUUUUUAUUUUUAUUUUGCUCAUUCUAUAUUUUUUCCAUGGUAAUUUUUGCCAUGUCAAUUUUCUGAACUUAUUUUUUACCAUGGCAAUUCUAGAAAUUUGCCAUGUGAUCACUAUCGGUGUUGUUAUUAGAAUAUUACUUUUUAUAUAACUUGGCAUUUUGUUUGGCUGACAACACAACAAAUUUCCCCUGGUGAAUUUUGCUCAGUUUUGUCUAGUUUUUUGCUUACGUAAUUAGUGAGAGAACUCCACGGUAUAAAUCAGAGUGCACAAAAGUCUUAGUUUUUUUGUAGCUAUUCAAAAUGAGGUAAAGUUUUCUGUUUGGACCUUCUUUUGCGGUAUACAUUAGAAUUGAGCAAAAUAUGUGUCAUACAAUUUUGUUUGAUUUUGUCUAGCUAUUAAAAAUGAGGUCCAAACAAUAAUUUUUAAGUGUUGAGGUGUGACAAAAAAAUACUGGGCCAUUUUGGCGUAAUUGGAGGCUGUUAAAGCCCAGUCAGAGUCUGUUUUUGUCUUGCAGGGGGACUGUUCGCGCGGGGGCCUGGGGCGAUUUUGGUUGUCCCAUGUAGUUGUCACGUCAGGGGUUCAUGCUACAAGUAGAUCCUAUCGAACAAUUUCGUUCAAUUGUUCGCUCCUCCCCUGGCGAACCUUUCGUUCAGUCCGGGAGAUCUCCAAACCGAACGUCAUGUGGACGUCGGGGUCCCUUUUUUGCAGGGAUUUUCUCUUAGAGGUAUUGGCCUAUCUUUCCCUUAAAAAGGUGUAUUGGCUUAUCUUUCACUACAUUUCUUAUGUAUACAUGCAUGAUUGAUCUGUUAUAGUGGAAUCGUGUGGUGCUGUAGUUGACAGCGUCCAUCGCAUUGAAGUAGAGCCAAGGCGGGGCAUGCUCUGUUACAUGGGAACUGCGCACGGGUGCGGGAGGACGACCAAUACGUACCAUGCAAAAUACAUGCAGUCGCGUACAUAAACGUCGCUCAGGAUAAUUUGUUCAAUCGAUAUUUAACUUUUUCGCAAAUCGAGAUCAUUUUCGCAAAAUCCUAGGAAGGAGGAGAUUGACAAGCUAAUGGAGAUCAUCAACAGGUUUGGGGACCCAUCGGGGCUGCAUCUAAACAUCAACAAGUCCUCGGUCACGCCCAUUAGGUGCGAGAACAUUAAUCUUCAAGAGGUUCUACAGAAUUCUGGUGGCAGCAUUACUGAUUUCCCGAUCAAGUAUCUUGGUCUCCCAAUCAUUUUGGGGCGAACCAGACUCGUUCAUCUUCAGUUCAUCUUGGACAGAAUUAGAGCUCGCUUGGCCGGGUGGAAGGGUCGGAUGAUGUCUAUUGCUGGGAGGAGAGUGCUAGUCAGAAGUGUGUUGUCCACCAUACCUACCUUCGCCCUCUCUGUGUUGCGCCCACCCAAAGGAAUCUUCAGAGAAAUCAACAAAGUGUGCAGGCGGUUCCUAUGGGCACAGGAUGAUCUGCUCAAUGGUGGCCACUACAAGGUGGGAUGGAAAAAGGUCUGCUCACCAGUUGAUCGCGGGGGCCUCGGUGUGCUUGAUCUCAAUAAGUUCCAGAGCUUUGCGCCUCAGAUGGAUAUGGUUAUCCUGGCAAAAUAGUGACCGCCCUUGAAAAGCUCUGAACUUCCCUGUGAUGCUGGAGACUGGGAUUUCUUUAACAGAGCAACAUCUGUGACUCUUGGCAAUGGUCGAUUGCUUCGUUCUGGCGAUCUUCCUGGCUUACCUCUCCCUGCCUGGCAACUUUGUUCCCGGACCUGUACAAGCACUCUAGGGGGAAACUCAAAUGUGUGGCUGAUGCUUUAACUAAUGACAUGUGGAUUAAAGAUCUCAGGCAACGAGCAAAUACUGAACUAGCACAAAAUUUUCUUAUUCUUUGGAGAGCAAUCAGGACAUCAAAUGUGAUCUUGCAUCCCCACUCUGAAGACACAAUCACAUGGAGGUUACACACCUCACGAGGCUACAACGCAUCCUCUUCUUACAAUGCCCAGUUUGAGGAUUUGCCAACAACUGUUUUCAAGACUUUGAUCUGGAAAACUUGGGCCCCUGGCAAGGUUAAAUUCUUUUUCUGGCUCCUGCUCUAGAACCGGCUAUGGUGCAACGAUAGAUUACAACGUAGAGGUUGGGAAAUAACUACUUCUGCCCACUUUGUGUGAGGAGCCUUGAAUCCUCCACCCAUUUGUUCUGGGAAUGCCCACUGUCAAAGGAGAUUUGGCGCCGCACCUUGCUCUGGUCGGGUUGUGAAAAGCUCACCCUCCUAACCAAAGACAGCAGCCUCACCUCUGAGCAACGAGACCGCAACCUGCUCCAACAAGCAAGACCAAACCUCAGAGCAAAGCUGAAAACAAUGAUCUUCUUGAUUAUGGCACAUCUGGCGCGAGAGAAAUAAUCGUACUUUUCGACACACAAACAGCCAGGUUUGCAACAUUGUUUCAACAAUCAACUGUGACAUGGACUCCUGGAAGAUAGCCGAAGCAAAGUGCCUCAAGACACCGUUAGGAGAUCCAGGCUAGAUAGGCAGGUCCUUCUAGGACCAAGGUGAAUCUGUUUUCACCAAUUCUAUAACCCACCAUGAUCACUUGAUCAUGAACGCUUUUCCCAUUCUCUCCCUGCUUAAUAUAUGAAUGUCAGCGAUUGUCGGUUCUUUCAAAAAAAUUAACUUUUUGGUUCAGAGCACUUUGAUUCUUUGGCCACAUGGCUUGUAUACGUGAUGACUUUCUAUGUGAAGCUUUUGUUCAGAAGGGUGUGGAAAUUUAAUUCACUAGCAAGUGCUCAUUUCAACCAUUCAGUCCUCUCUAGAUAUACUCACUCUUCCGAAUUACUUGUCUUAGAUUUGUCUAAGAUACGGAUGUAUGGAUGUAAGUACAUCCGUAUCUAGUAAUCUAGACAAUACAAGUAAUUUGGGACGGAGUUAAAACUAUCCAAAAGCUUUUAGGAAGAUGGAUUUGUCUCUGAUUCCUGUAGUGCCAUCUGCCAUACAUAGAUCAUCUUUCUCUACUUAUCUGAUUCUUCCCAUGUAGAUGUUGGGGAGAAUUUUCCUUGCAUUCUUGAACAAUUAUACACUAUGUAGUGUAAUCUUAUUCCCACGUAGUGUAAUCCCUGAAUGAUGUUGGCUUAUGAUAAGACGAUAAUCUAUGUUGAACAAUGAUGCUAGUCUGAAUCCAAUGUUGUGUAAUCUCUGAAUCUUCCCACGUAGAUACAUAGAAAUCAUCGUGGAUGGUUCAUCUAGGUUGUGACUGUUACAUAAUGAAUUUCAUCCAAAUAUCGAUCGUUAUUCCAUGCCUAUGCGUUCAUAAUAUUGUCUUUGCUCAAGUUACUAUUACUACUACUAUUACACUUGUUACCAAACUGCUACUUUUAUUAUUACUAUUGCUACUAUUGUUUCCACUACUAUCAUAUUACUGUUCUAUUGAUAAAUUGCUGCAAAGAAGUGAGUUCUCAGGUGUGGUUGAAUUGACAACUCAACUACUAAGGCUUAUAAAUAUUCUUUGGCUCCCCUAUGUCGAAUCAAUAAAUUUGGGUGAAAUACUAUCCUCGACGACUGUUGCGACCUCCUAUACUUGUGGGUCAUCACACUACUAGGGCCAAAUCAUCGGAUCCGGGGGCUUGACGUACGUGCCCUGAAAAAUCAACAGGAAUCCAGUAUCUAGGCUACCCAUGUACCGAUAGAGUUCGGCGGUAAGGUGUGUGGCCAGUGCCAAGCAGAGUGUUUCGGCUUUAAAGGCAUAUAUUUUAUGAAGGAUUUUAUUAUUCACUAUUCAUUAAAUAUGGAGGAUUCUAUUCCUGACAAUUAAUAGUAGAUGGUAAGCCGCCAGCUCAACGCAAUUAAAUGCAAUUAAUCAUUACUAAACAUAGAUCAAAUUGGUUGGCUAUAUAUAUAUACAAACAUAUAGCAGUUAGCAAGUAUACGGUUGUCAACCAUCACUACUAGGAAAAAGCCUACUAAUGACGCACUGGUUUUGCCUACUAAUGGCGCAUUACCAGUGCGCCAUUAGUAUCACAUCACUAGUAUUUUUUACUAAUGGCGCACCAUGGUGCGCCAUUAGUAUCUAGUAUACUAAUGGCGCACCAUGGUGCGCCAUUAGUAUCUAGUAUACUAAUGGCGCACCAUGCAGUGCGCCAUUAGUUUUGCCCACAGUGCGCCACUAGUGUAUUCUAUACUAAUGGCGCACCACAUGGUAGUGCGUCAUUAGUAACAAUUUUUUUUCUUAAUCUCAGGUCACUAUUUCACCUAUGAGAUAUCCAACACAUAUAUAUACGACAAGCAUCCAUUUAACAAUCAUAGCCAACACACAAGUUCCAUCAUAUAUACAUACAUAGUCAACACACAAGUUCCAUCAUAUAUACAUACAUAGCCAACACAUAGUUCCAUCGUUACAUAUUACAAAAGUUUCACAUUGUUCAUCCAACACCGUUAUCCAUCAAUUCACAAAAGUUUCACAUUGAUACAAAGUAAAAACACAAAUGGAAAAGAAGCACUCCAUCCAUGCAAGCUUCCGUGAAUUAAAUUAAAUCUGCAAAAUGAUAAACAAGAAGUUAGAAGAAGAAAAAGAAAAAGACUAGAAGAAUACUAGAAGAAGAAGAACACUAGAAGAAGAAUAAGAAGAAUUUUGGAAAAGAAGAAGAAUAAGAAAAAGACUAUAAGCUUAUUAUGUAAACUUGAUCAUUUUGUGCUAACAUAAGUUAUUUUGGAGCUAACCUAUAGGAAACUAAGCAUAUAAGCUCUAAGUUUGUAUAUUAGAGCCAACUUAGGUAAAAUAAAGCUAACCUAUGUCAUUUUGGAAAAAAAGAAGAAUAAGAAAAAGACUAUAAGCUUAUUAUGUAAACUUGAUCAUUUUGUGCUAACAUAAGUUAUUUUGGAGCUAACCUAUAGAAAACUAAGCAUAUAAGCUCUAAGUUUGUAUAUUAAAGCCAACUUAGGUAAAAUGAAGCUAACCUAUGUCAUUUUGGAAAAGAAGAAGAAUAAGAAAAAGACUAUAAGCUUAUUAUGUAAACUUGGUCAUUUUGUGCUAACAUAAGUUAUUUUGGAGCUAACCUAUAGGAAACUAAGCAUAUAAACUCUAAGUUUGCAUAUUAGAGCCAACUUAGGCAAAAUGAAGUAACCUAUAGGCAACUAAGCAUAUUAGAGAUAACAUAGGUAACUAAGUAUAUAUAUAUAUAUCAUUUUGGAGAUCUGACAUACCUGACAAAGUUCAGUUCUCAUGCAUUGUUCUUCUCCUUCUCCUUCCUCAGCCUGAUGCGCCAAGAGCGGCGAGGCGGUGGAGGCGGUGGAGGCAGUGGGAUGUAGUCUUCUAUCACAAUUGGUGUGGUCAUGUCGCCUGGGAUCGCCGGCGCCACCACCGGUGCGUGGUCAUUGUCAGGCACCACCACCAUCGCGAGGCCACCUUCAGGCACGACCAUCGCUAGGUCAUUCUCAACCACCUCCAUCUCUUGCCCAUGGUCAGCCACCACCAUCUUUUGCCCUUGGUCAGCCACCACAAGCGCUAGGUCAUCCUCAGCCUGAUGCCCAUCGGCAUCCUGCAGCUCCUCAUCCCCACUCUGCUCCUCUUCUCCCGCACUCCAGUCUGGAUCAUCCUUCUUGUUGUCUAUGCUGCUGCCAGAAUCGCUGCUGCUUUCGCUACAGCCAGAAUUGUUGCUGCUUUCGCUAUAGCCAUAGUCGCUGCUGCUUUGGCUGUAGCCAGUGUCGCUGCUGCUGCUCCCAUUACCUGUCCAAAAUGCAACAAUGACCGUUAACAAUCGAUGUGAGACAAAGCCAAAUGUAGAGGAAUAAGAAGAGGCAGAACGUACCGGCAUCAUCAUCGUCAGCGUAGCACAUGCAACACAUAGUCGUGUUGAACACCUUCACGAUGAGCAUGAUGGCGUCGUCGUCGUACCUGAAGAGAAGGAAGUACCCCAGCUGCAGGUCGUAGGCACGGUAGAACUUCUCCCACCCACGAGACAAGUACAUGUGGCCCUCCUUGAUCACCAACUCCACAUCCCACUGCCUGCGAAACCCGCUGCCGGCCUGUCGCAGCCUCACAUUAUUUGGCGGAUCUUCACCCAUCAGCAUGUUCAUAAAACUGUCAGGCAGCCUCUGCAGUUUGGGACAAUGAGUGAUGUAGCAAACAACAGAUAUCAUAAUGAGAUGGGUGAAGGGGAGAUCUCUCGUUUUAUAUACCUGCGUCAUGGAUGAUACUGAAGUCUCAAGUAUGAUAGUGAAGAACUCGGAAGCAUCCAACUCGUACUACGGUGUCGCAGAGCGGCGGUUGCUGCUUCCCGCCAUCUCUGAUAAGCAGCAGAAGAGACCCAUUAGUACCCUUACAACAGAUCAUAAAACAUGCAUGAUAACAUGCAUGAUGCCCAUCAUGCAUCAUUUUCUAACUAAGGCAUAGCUCAGGCAAACCACUUGCUUUGACCAGAACUAGCUGAUUACCCCAAAUCUCAUGGUAAAAUUAGCAAGGCAGAGCAUUUCUCUUACAUGACCAUAGCAAGAAUGACACACUCCCCUAAUUAUUUUGCCUGCCACUAGGAUGAGCACUUAAUAUGGAUUGAUUGUGCUUUCAUUUUAAAUUUGCAGGUAAGAACAAUGAACUUAUAGAAACUCCUUAAUAUGAAUAUUAUACCGAUGAUAAAAGAAGUGAGACAAGAAGUGUCUGCAGCCUUGAGUAGAUUCCCGGGACCUGAAGGUUGUUCACCCUGCUCAUAUCAAAUAUUAUGUUGUAUUAGCAGCAAGUAGAUGUAAACUAACCUAUAGCUGGAAACUAAACAUAUAAAUGGUUGAAAUACAUAAUUCUAGCUGUAAACUAACCUAUAGCUGGAAGAAACUAACUAGAAAAAGUGAAACAUGGGAGGAACCUCCUGUCAGUUUUAAAGAAGCUGAUUUUUUUGAGGGGUAAGAAGAUGAAUUGGUCAUUCUCCAUAGAAAUCAUACCAAUUCUAGCUACAUGGGGGAGCUGCUAAUUCAUCUUCACCAACCAAAUUCAGUGAAUUAAGCACAUAAUCCAGUCAAGCUAGCUACCUAUCGCUACCAAUUGCUGCUACUUCAGUUUUAAGCAAGCAUCACUAUGGUACUCCAAAUCAUUAAGUCAAGCUACUACAGUGCAAGCUAGUGCUACUGCAUCAAUGGCCAUGUAAUACUUCUGGGGCCUGAGUGGAUAUGUUUAUAUGCAAAUUGACCAUAAAGCAGUGAUCUGCACAUUGGUCCACAUGUCUGAGUCAACUAACUUGGGACAUCUAAGUAGGAUCUUCGACACAAACAGUAUAUCCCCCAUGGUCAUGGAAGCAACUGACAAGCGUCGACAGAUCAGAUCAACAACUACGUUCGUUUAAUACAAAAAAUCAACUAGAAAUUCAACAGACACAAUUAAAUAAAGUAAUUUUACAAUGAUAUUAAGUAGGACAGACAAAAGGCCAAGUAGCACAAGGGAGGAACAUUUUUUGCAAGAACAUCUACACGGUACAUGCACACUUCUGUACGGCUACACUAUCUAACCUUUCCUACUCCUACUCCUCCCAACUACCUACACCUACCUAUGGCCAAGCAGGCCAGGGGGGACACACACACAAGCAGCAUUCUUCUUGGUGCUGCCAUUUUCGCGUCAGGAACUGAAGCAGAAGAGGGACGCGCUGGCACAUCUUCCCCUCUCCAAAACCAAAACAAGAUGUGCGGCCAACAUCCCUCGCUAGUGGCUAUUCCCUAGGAGACAGCUAGUUGCUGUAGUCUACAGAGGAUCGUUUACGCGCAGGUGGGGGCGGCGUGCCUCCGCGGCGGCGCGAGCAUGAAGAGGGACUCGAUGUCCGGCGGCUGGAAGUAGCUUAGCAUCAGCAUCAGCGGCGGCGGGGGUGGAAUUUGGCGGGGGUCGGGGCGGGUGGAUCGGCGCCGCACCUGGGGUUGGGGCCGGGGCGGGAGCGGGCUGCAGCUGCGGCGGCCGGGCGGAGGUCCGGCAGCGCUCCAUCUGGAGAGGGGAGGNNNNNNNNNNNNNNNNNNNNNNNNNNNNNNNNNNNNNNNNNNNNNNNNNNNNNNNNNNNNNNNNNNNNNNNNNNNNNNNNNNNNNNNNNNNNNNNNNNNNNNNNNNNNNNNNNNNNNNNNNNNNNNNNNNNNNNNNNNNNNNNNNNNNNNNNNNNNNNNNNNNNNNNNNNNNNNNNNNNNNNNNNNNNNNNNNNNNNNNNNNNNNNNNNNNNNNNNNNNNNNNNNNNNNNNNNNNNNNNNNNNNNNNNNNNNNNNNNNNNNNNNNNNNNNNNNNNNNNNNNNNNNNNNNNNNNNNNNNNNNNNNNNNNNNNNNNNNNNNNNNNNNNNNNNNNNNNNNNNNNNNNNNNNNNNNNNNNNNNNNNNNNNNNNNNNNNNNNNNNNNNNNNNNNNNNNNNNNNNNNNNNNNNNNNNNNNNNNNNNNNNNNNNNNNNNNNNNNNNNNNNNNNNNNNNNNNNNNNNNNNNNNNNNNNCAGGGGACGGAGGGGACGGAGGGGGCGGCAGCGGCGGCGGCGUACGGUUGGGGCGGAGGGGGCAAAUUAGGUCGAGUGGGGAGGAAGGGAGGGAGGGGAACGAGUGGAGUGAGGGGGAAGCUUACUAAUGGCGCAUCGCGUGGUAGUGCGCCAUUACUAGUUAGAACUAGUAAUGGCGCACUUCGACCUGAUGCGCCAUUAGUAUGUAUGGAAAAAUGGAAAAAAAAAAUUAAUACUAGUGGCGCACCCUCUUUCUGGUGCGCCAUUAGUGUCUUCCGCACUAAUGGCGCAUCACCAACAGGUGCGCCAUUAGUAUAUAGUAGUGGCGCACUACUUCCAUGAUGCGCCAUUAGUAUCGAUCUUAUCUAUAGCCCUUUUCCUAGUAGCGCAUAUGCAAAAAAAAUCCUUACAAACUAAGACUACUCAUAUUAGAAAGGAGAAAGCUUAUAUUACCAUGGAGAGAGGCAAAGUGAUUAUGCUUGUGAUGGUCAUCCUUCCAUGCCUCAUCAUAUUUUCCCAGGGUGAGUACCCAACAAUAAUUAGUUGAACUUCUCGUAAAGAUAUUGGUUAGUUCUAUAUCAUUUUGGGAAAAAUCCCAUUGAGAACCAUCACUAAGUUAUUUUGAAAUUUUGUAUAAAUUUUUGUAAUACUUAAUUGAAUGAGAACACACUUAUUUGCAUAUGCAGCUCAAGCAACUGAUCAGGUGGAUAGCGGCAAGAUCAAGUUAUGCAUAUGCCCAGAGAAAGAUCCACCAUGCCCAAAUGGUUUGUGCUUCUGUUGUGCACCGGAGCAAGAACGUUGCUUUAGGACUAGGAAAUAAUGCAUUUGUGAACCUGGUUGCCACCAGCCUCCUUCGGAUGCAACGGGAAAAUAUUUGGUACUCUCAACCUUGGGGUACUCUCGGUGCUCCAAGUUUAAAAACAAAUCUUAAAUGCUUCAAUAAAUUCCGGUAAAAAAUUUAAAUGUUCGUAAGGUAUGUGACUACAACCCCUAGAAAUUUCAUGUCCAUACUCGAAAUGUACAUUGAGAAACAAAAAUGUGAAAUCCAGAUGUGAAUAGCGUCAAUGUUGAUUUUGUCUUUUUUUUAUACUAUUCAUGCUAGAUUUCACUUUUUUUUCGUAGUGUGCAUUUCGAGUUUGGACCUGAAAUUUUUAGAGGUUGUAGUAACAUUCCUUGCGAACAUUUAAAUUUUUUCUGGAAUUUUUUGAAACAUUUAUAAAUGCUUUUUUUAAACUUGGAGCACCGCGAGUACCCCAAAGAUGGGAGUACCUGAUACUUUCCCCAGAUGCAACCUACCCCCGUCCCCUCUCUUUGCCUUAAAACACUGUUUCAGAUUGUUGUGAUGAAAAGUAUUGUCAUGAAUAUCUUGGAGUAAAGAAAUAAGUUAUAAUCAUCGCAUGGUUAGCUUUAUGUUCCUUUGGAUUGAAUUGAUAUAUAGGCAUAUUGUUUUGUUUCAAAGUGUAGCCUGGGCUAUAUAUGCCAUGAACUACUGGGAGUAUGAACUUUUUAAGGUAUAUUUUUGUGAUUGGCACAAAAGUACUAACCAUUCUAGCGGAAGACCGUUGCACUAGGACCAUGGAGAAUGAUAAAAAGGUUAAACUCCCGACUGUGGCUUCUAAUUUGCGAUCUUCCAUCUUGCCCUCCUUGGAAAAUAAAUUAUAUAUAUGGUUAUGUUAUACAUUGACUUUGAGCGGUACUCCUUCCAUUACAUAAUUAUUGUCAUGAUUUUAGUUUAAAUUUGAACUAAAACUACGACAAUAAUUAUGGAACGGAGGGAGUACAAGGCUAAAUAUUUUCUGAAUGCAUACAAUUUUUUUAUUCAUGCAUAAUGUGGACGGAGUUCUUUAUCAGCUGACCAUCUGCUCGCCUCGGGCUUAAGCCCAAAUAUGGGUUUUGAUUGGACUUUUCCUUUCCUGCAAAUUCAGUGCGACGGGGCCUGAUUUUGUUUGAAGCACUGUUUAAAAUUGUAAAUAGAAUUCACAAAAGCAAAAUUUCCUACAAGCAAGAACUCCUUUGGAACCCUGCAUAUAUAUUCCCUACAUUCCGAACACACCCUUACAGGUUGAACUCUAAUUGUGCUACUACCACACUCUCAUUUCUGAAUCUAGAACACCAUCAAAAGAACAUGUAUUCAUUUUCGCAAAAAAGACAAAAAAUAUAUUCUUACCAAUUAAAACAACACGGAAAAAUACAUUUACUAACGUCCUCACUCUGUCAGACUACCAUUUUUUUUUGCAUAUAUCAAGGUUUGAGAUUGCUAUCCGGGUCUUGCCACCCGGUGUCAGACUACCCAUCUUGUGUCAACACUGGGUUAUUUUGAGUACAUUGAGCGAAUUUUUAGAACUUGGGGGCAUCUUAAAACAUGUUCUGUCCUAUCAGAGUCGUUCCUUUUUCUAAAAAAAUCAGAGUCGUACUGAAAUUUGAAGCAGCGCAUAGGAUGGGAUAUGGAACACAACACAAUGUACAACUUAUGACGUGCCUCGAUGCAGUCUGAUCAAUCAGCAAUCAUGAAUCAUAUAGGAGUAUUAGACGGCAUGUUCGAUACUGGAAAGUUGUUGAGCAAACACCCAGCAGCCUAAACGGGCGCACAUAAAGUUGUCCAGGAGUGGACGCACACAAACACCCAGCAGCCUAAACAGAGCUGCCCUUUUUAAUACAGUACGAAAUAUUAAAUAGCAGAUACAGAAUUGGCUUACAGACUCGUCGGGCUUCUGCACUACUAGGGCCAAAUCAUCGGAUCCGGGGGCUUGAUGUACGUGCCCUGGAAAUUCUACAGUAAUUCAGUCUCUAGGCUAUCCCAUGUACCGAUCGAGUUCGGCGGUAAGGUGUGUAGCCAGUGCCAAGCACUCAAGCAGAGUCUUUCAGCUUUAAAGGUAGAUAUUUUAUGAAGGAUUUUAUUAUUCACUAUUCACUAAAUAUGGAGGAUUUUAUUCCUGGCAAUUAAUAGUAGAUGAUAAGCCGUCAGCUCAACACAAUUAAUUAUUACUAAACAUAGACCAAAUUGGUUGGCUAUAUAUACAAACAUAUAACAGUUAGCAAGUAUACGGUUGUCAGCCAUAUGCAAAAAAUCCUUACAAACUAAGACUAUUCGUAUUAGAAAGGAGAAAGCUUAUAUAUUACUAUGGAGAGAAGCAAGGUGACGCUUGUGAUGAUUAUCCUUCCAUGCUCAUAAUAUUUUCUCAGGGUGAGUACCCAACAACAAUUAGUUGAACUUCUCGUAAAGAUAUUGGUUAGAUUUAUAUAAUUGUGGGCAAUCCCAUUGAGAACCAUUACUAAGUUAUUUUGAAAUCUUGUAUAAUUUUUCGUAAUACCUAACUUAAUGAGAACACACUUAUUUGCAUAUGCAGCUCAAGCAACUGAUCAGGUGGAUAGCAGCAAGAUCGUGAUAUGCCUAUGCCAAGAGAAUACUCCACCCUGCCCAAAUAAUUUGUGCUUCUGUUCUGUACUGGAGCAAGAACUUUGCUUUAGGUCCAGGAAAGAAUGCAUUUGUGGUUCUGCUUGCGGCCACCCUCCUUUAGAGCAUCNNNNNNNNNNNNNNNNNNNNNNNNNNNNNNNNNNNNNNNNNNNNNNNNNNNNNNNNNNNNNNNNNNNNNNNNNNNNNNNNNNNNNNNNNNNNNNNNNNNNNNNNNNNNNNNNNNNNNNNNNNNNNNNNNNNNNNNNNNNNNNNNNNNNNNNNNNNNNNNNNNNNNNNNNNNNNNNNNNNNNNNNNNNNNNNNNNNNNNNNNNNNNNNNNNNNNNNNNNNCGCUUUUCACUGAAAAACGGCCCAGCCACGCCCCCAGCGUCCCCCAGGACGUCAAAAUAGCGCCGGCAAACCUAGGCGAAACCCGGCGCGUUGGGGGGCUCUUGGGGGCGCCGGCGGAAGUUUCGGCAAAUCGUGUCUCACCACAUAUGUCCUUUUUCUUGGCCCACUUAAUCAUUCUCCUCACAAACUUUUGCUUGGGGUGGGGUGUGACUGGGAAGAUGCCCUCUUUAUUUCGCCGGAUUUCGCCGGAUGACCCCCAAGACACCAACUUUUUUGGUUCGGUGGCGUUCUUGGGGGUGCCAAUGGCUGUAGAUGCUCUUAGAUGCAACUUACCCUUAUCCCCUCUCUUUGCCUUAAAACACUGUUUCAGAUUGUUACUAUGAAAAGUAUUGUCAUGAAUAUCUUGAAGUAAAAGAAAUAAGUUAUAAUCAUCACAUAGUUAGCGUUAUGCCAUGAACUAUUGGGAGUAUGAACUUUUUAAGGUAUAUUUUCGUGAUUGGCACAAAAAAAAUACUAACCAUUGUAGCGGAAGACCACUGCACUAGGACCAUGGAGAAUGAGAAAAAGGUUGAGCUCCCGAUUGUGGCUUCUCAUUUGCAAUCUUCCAUCAUGCCCUCCCUUGGAAAAUAAAUUAGAUAUAUGGUUACCUUAUACAUUGACUUAGAGCGCUACAAGGCUAAAUACAUUGACUCGUUUGGAAUCCUGCAUAUAUUCUCUAUGUUCCGAACACACCCUUACAGGUUGAACUGUUAUUGUGCUACUGCCUAGUUUCUGAAUCUAGAGCACCUUCAAAAGAAUAUAUAUACCUACCAAUUAAAACAACACGUAAAAAUACAUUUACUAACGUCCUCACUCUGUCAGACUACCCAUCUUGUGUCGACAAUGGGUCAUUUUGAGUACAUUGAGCUAAUUUUUAUAACUUGGGGCAUUUUUUAAUAUGUCUUUCCUAUUGAGUCGUACUGAAAUUUGAAGCAGCGCAUAGGAUGGGAUAUGGAACACAGCAAUGUACAGCUUAUAACAUGCCUCGAUGCAGUCUGAUCAAUCAGCAAUCAUAUAGGAGUAUAAGACGGCAUUAGAAGCAGAAGUGGAGCUCAAUAUUUGCUCUCAAGAUACUAGAAAGUCGUUGAGCAAACACCCAGCAGCCUAAACGGACGCACAUAAAGUUGUUCAGGAGUGGACUCUCUCAUGGUAGGGUAUCAGAGAGUUAAAGCCAUACAGGCCAUAGGUAGUUCUAGUAGUAGUCAAUAGGAACAACAGGGACGGUGUCGACUUGGAUGCUUGAGCUACAGAAAUACGCCCGAUUUGCAAAUGAUAUGGACCCUCAU
rnacentral:lncRNA from 1 species